rnacentral:lncRNA from 1 species
UGUAGUUGUAGAGUUGAAUACCGAGCCCUUCAUUAGUUGUUUCAUCCCUAGUUUCAUCCUUUGUUGGCUACGAGAGAGGAGUGGAGUUGGGGUCGAUAACACCGGAGCGGAGGUUGGUCACGUCAUUGAAUUGCCUGGCCUUCUACACAAAGGUACGAGACGAGAUUGAAUCACUUACCGUUGAAGAAGCACAGAGGCAUAAUAGGUCUAUAUACAAGAAAGAAUAUGGAACAGGUGAGGAAGCUGUGGAAGUGAAAGUGAAGUCUAGUAUAGUGUUACUUGUGUUAAGCAAUGAGUCAAUUAAGCAAAAUGAGCAAAACCUAAUUGGAUCUUUCGAGUCCAGUCCUUGCACUGCUACCACCUUCUGAUCCCUCUGUGGGCAUUCUCUUAGGCUUCUUCCCCUGCUGAUGCUUGAGACUAAGAUUCCCUAAAUGCUUCUAUACUAAACAAAACUUGCAUGAAAUAAGUGUAUGGCGCCCGAGAGACUUUAUCUUAUCUUAGGAGAUGAUAUCUUCUUAAUACGACUUUCCUAGCACCGACACAAUCACCUCUAUCUAUGACAACACUUGCACCCUCCACUCAAUUACUCGGUUUGUUUAAAGCAAAGGUCUCCGUUAAGGGCCAUUCGAGCAAGGAUCUCUGUGUUGGAUAGUUCAAGUUCUGAAUAAACAUCUUCCAGCGAGUAGGAGCGGGAUGACAUAAACGCUCAAACAAGCAACUCUGGGGAUGUAGUUCAUUCUUUCCUCGUAUUUCACUAAGCUAUUUACCGCUGAACACAUCUAUUGAGCAAGUCCUGUGUUCGGCUUCUCAUACUUUAGAUCAUACCCAGGAAGCCAGCGACUACCUAUAAGUAGUAAUCCGGGAACUAAGCCCAUAUCCCUUGACUCUAUCCUUGCUCUACUAUAUCCCAUGCCGAAACUCCUUAACUAACAAUACUUCAACCAUUAGUCUGUCCCGCCCCCUUCCAUUAGGCGCUUACUUUACUGACUUUGAUUCUGUAACUUGCUACUAUUAGAAUUGGACUAGUGGCCUGGAUACUGUCUUGCGCCAUUGGUUGCCGAGUUUUCUUGUUCAAUUACUUAUUAAUAAGACCAGAUCGAUGAUUAGAGACUAAAAGCCGGUAGUGAUAGGUUUAGACAAGAGAAUGUAAAUACAGCUAAUGAAAGGCGGACUAAUAGACAGGAAUAGAAGGCCAUUACUACUGACGGUAAAUACAGAUUUGAUAUCAGUAGCCUAAGAGCUACGUAGGGGACUCCAGUCUAUAAGCAAGGAUACACAGAGCAGUACCGGAGAAUGAUAGCAAAGGAUAUAUACUUAAAGAAGGCAGGCAAGGGAAAGCUUGGAAGCACUAGUUCCAUUCGUAGUUUAGAGUUCGAUUCCCUAUUUAUAUAUUGAUUCUUUUAUUGACUAGUUGAGUUCUUAUCACCAAUAAGUAAAGUUCUGUCCUAUCCCAGCAAGGGGCCCUAAAGAGGAAAUACCCUGAUAACACUCGAUCGAAACUAAGUAGUACGAGAAUGAGAUAAAGCAUAGUCAGACCAAUAGAAAGGAAAGUCACAUUAUAAGAAGGUGCGUUGCCUACAUAAUUCAAUAGGUAAGCGGAUAAUUCAGUAAGUAAGUGGAAGCCCUAGUUGUUAAUUCCAUUCUAUAAGAGGCCCGUUCCAAGGUUAAGAAGAGGUAUUGUUGGGCACUAGGUUGAUUCUUUCCAGUAGAGAUAUAUAAGCCUUGUAAGUAUAACAGCGAUAACCUUGUUAGCCCCGAGUGCAAUUAUCUCUUUUGAGUGGAAUUACUAGUUUUCUUUUUCACUCUUGUUGGUCUGAGUUCGAGCCUUGUUUUUACUUGUUCCAUUCUUUUACUGAUUGGCUCAAUUCCUUAUCUCACUUACUCAGUUGCUCGGCCCUUCCUAUAAGUUUGUGCCCCUUUUAGUCACAUUUAUCCUACCAGCAAACUGCCUAUCAUGCCUUUCGUUCUUUAAUUAAUACAUUGGGAUCCUUGUUUUGAUUCUGAUAGUACUUAGUUUGGUUCUUUUUCCUAAAGCGGAUUUUUGUUGCUAGUGUUAUUAUUGUGGCUAGGGCUAUUAGACCUAUCCCUAUUAGACCUAUUCCUAUUAGUAGAUUUACUACAUCGUACGUGCUUUGGUCUAGAACAAGUAGUAAAUGAGUACGGUUAAGCAGUUAAGUGGGACAAUGGAAUUCUAUCUCUCUUGCAUCGCAUAUAUAUAUGAUAGAGGAAUGUAACAAAUCAUCUACUUAUUAAGUGCUAAGAGUCAACAAAACCCUAGCGACCUACAUUCUUGACCAUUGAGAGGGGGCGUAGUUCUUUACCGCUACGUGGGCUACGUUGAACAGAGGUAUGCUAAAAUCAAGAUGAAGUGAAAGCCAACAAUGAGAAAGAUUAGUUGACAGCCCGCUAACUCCUGACUGCAUUGCUUCCUUCAAUAUAUUGGAGAGGUUAUUAGGUGGAGGUUUAUAGGUGAUUUAGGUAUAGGUUAUGUAGGCAGUUCUCUUUCAUGUAAGGUAAGCUCCAUUAUGAAACAUUCGCUUUCUUAUAGCUGUUGCUUCUUGCUUCUGGAACUAUACUACUCGUUGCUUUUGUUCUCUACCACAUGCUUGUUCUGUUACUUGUAUUGUCGGUAGAAUAUCGUCGUAGGCGCUCUGACUCUAAAGACUGGAAUUGGGAGCUGCUAGUGCACCCAUCUAUUAUAGAACAUAGGAGGAUGACAAAUACAAAGAAAAUAGUCAAAGAGUUUCUUUCGCCGUUGAGAUACCUUCAUCGAGCUAUCCUUGCUUUCGAUCUACCACUUGUGUUCUUGCGUCAGUGUUUGUAUCUGAGACGGAUAACUUGCCUGUUCUUGCAUCAUUACUAGUUCUUGAACCAAUGCUUGUAUCUGAGAAGGGUUGUUACUUACUAGUUCUUGCAUCAUUACUAGUUCUUGCACUAUUACUAGUUCUUGCACUAUUACUAGUUCUUGCACCGACAUCCCAAUAGACUAGAAUUUGUCUAGCAUAAUCAAAGGUCAUUUACCUAACAUAAUAAAAGGUAUAGAAUUCACCUAGCACAAUAUAGAACUGAAGAAACCGCAUUGCUUCCUAAAAAACUCUCUAGCAUUAGCACUUUUCAACAAGCCGUUAAUCCUGUUGCGCAAGAAGCAACUAAAGAAAUCAGUCCACCAGCACAGUCCAUUCUCGUCGACAACACUGGAACGGAACCUUGAAACUGCUUAUUCUGGGCUUAAACUUCAAGUAAAGCACCGAACAUGAAACUAGCACCGAACCUAGUCCACUUGAACAUCCGAACUAAACUACAGCCGAAAUCCUUACAUGCGGGCGCAUAGUUAACAAGGAAUUCCAGCAGUAUAGUGAAAUCAAAGAGAAAGAUGAAUUGAACUGAUGCUGACGCACAACUAACUAACGGAGCUACGACGCAGAGCUACUAUCUACCUACUUGCUUAUGAACUACAGUCAAUCACCUCUCUAUACCGACGUUAAGCCAAUAACAGAACUAUACGACCCGCGCUGAUGCAGGGUCUUUUUUGACUUACCUAUAGAAUAGUCACACUAGAUUCUAUUCAUGGUUUACUUCACACUGGCCUAUCAUUCUUGUUGAGUAUGGAGCGGGUUCGGGUUCCAAUCAAUAUUCUUUUCCUUAAGCAAGGGAACAAGCAAGGGAAAUAAUUCUUUCACUUUAUGGAAAGGUGCUAUAAUAGGUGACUUUAACGGGUGGGCGUGAGCUUCGUUUUCGUCAGCAUAAGAGGCAGCUGAAUCGAAUCCAAAUGAUUGAGCCCGAAAGAAGCACAGUUAUAGAAUCAAAUGAUUUAGCCGCAAUAGAAUAGGCAAAGUGGAGAAUCAUUUAUAUCCCUUCACCCGAUAUAGGCACAGUUAUAGAAUCAAAUGAUGGAGUUGCUAUAGGCACAGGUUGAGAAUCUUUCAUAUCCCUUCACCAUUCAUUGCAUCUUUCUAGCAUAUUCAAUAAGACACUAACUCCUAACUCAUAACUCACGUAAACACCAAAAACUGUAAGCUUAGCGAGCGACUUUAGCGUUAGUACUUAGAGUGGCUUGUUCAGUGCUUUACUCUAAGUCCAGCUGACUCUUUCAGAACUUAAGGUACAGUGCUAUGUGAAUCAAUUAUAUAUUAGUUGCGCCUUAAGCGUUAGAUUACUUUCCAGUAUUAGUGGCGACUAAAGCUAACGGUGACUUUCCUGGGUUCCUCAAUUCGUUCUUAAAGCUAGGAUAGAAAGUAUUGUUUUGAAACCACCAGUGUGAAGAAAUCCACUAAUAACCUUAUGGGGCAAGUAGUAUCAUUGGCGAAACAAAGAGAGCAGGCUGAAACUAAAAACUAGGCAUUGAGCACUGCCCAACAAGAACCAAACCCGGAACUAGUACUUGGACUAGCGCUGGCAAGGCUUUAACCCAACACUAAGGCUUUCAUUCGGAACUGGGGAUUGAACGAACCACUGAUGACAAAGCGCGCACUGCUGCUUUUAAGGCUUUCAUCAAGGUAGCAAACUACUCGUGGAAUUACUAUAAUCAAACUAACUACUAUUAUUUCUCAUAUGAAAACACACGUAUAAAUGUAAGUGAAAAGAAUAAUGAAUUGGAAUCUUAAUCGGGAGUAGCAGGACUAACUAACACAACUGAAAGGGAAUUCGAGGUACAACGUUGCUUGGUGAGGACGAGUUGAGCUCCUAUGCUUACUGCUUAUACCAAUGAGUUGAGCUCCUAUGCUUACUGCUCUUAGUCUAUUGCUGGGUAUAUUACUACAUGUGGUAGUCCCGUAUUACUAAUGCCCUUACCUUAGCCUUAUAGUUCACCAUCCAAGAAUGGAAGAAGCAAACGUCAGACUUGAAGUCGGGAAUACAAAUAAGGAAUAAUAAUAGUAUUUCCAGAAUACUGAUAUACUUUGACUUAUGUAUUGAGAAUAUCUACGUAGUGGUCCCUACCCUAGUAUGAGUCGCUAGCCUAGUAUGAGUCGCUAGUAGGGAUCGAUCCCUCAUUAAAUACUAACGAGUAAGGGUCGGGUGCUUUUUACCUUUCUUCUAUUUGCAAGUAUUCAUUAUCAUAUCCAAUAUUCUCAAGUAUUUUCUUAGGUGCUUUUCCCCUAGUGUUUUCCUCUAGUCUAUUGAUUGAAAAAGUACAAUUGUUUUUAUGUUUUCAAUAUGUUUGUUUGUUUUUCGAUUUCCAUAUGUCUGUACCGGUUCUUUUGUUUAGAUAAUGGGCUUUGAUGCAAGUUGCCCGAUGGAAUUGAGCUUCUGCUGUCCCUACUAGUUCUAAUUGCUUUCUUGACUUCCUACCUAUUAAUAAAGUGUUGACUUCCUACCUAUUAAUAAAGUGAGUAUAUGGUGCGUUAGCUUAUUAGAGUUUAGGGCGCGCCAGGCAAUAAGUGUGGUAGCAGCGUCUUUUCUUCACGUGGAAUCGGCACCUUAAUUCAAAAACUCUAGGUAAUUCAAUAACACCUGACUCAUGUUAUAAAACAAAGGACAACUUUCUUUCCAUGGUCGAAAUGUGUGAGCGGCAAUUGGCUCAGACAUAGGAGUGGAUUCCAAGUUUCCCUCGACCUGUUCACCACAGAAAGCAAGAUUACGGAAAGGCAGGCAGGCUUUUCAUAGAAGGUUUGAGUCGGAGUUGGGCCUGUGUUCAUGUCGUUUGUGAGUUAAGCGAGUGAAGAGGAGCAUCUUACUCUUAGGAAACUUCUUCUGAUCUCGUUGACUCAACUCAAACAGUCAAACAAUCAUUUCUUACUGAUAUGCAUAUAAAUGAAGUAAUCUGAUUCCUGCUGACUCUAAUGCUCUAUAAACGGACUCUGCUGGCUCUGACCUUACAAGCGUUACUGUUCCUUUCCACUUAACCGACGGAUCUUAUCUUCACGAUGAAACUAUGAUUCACGGCAAACUAAGCAUUCGUUCGGAGUUGACAAGGGAUAUGGCUCACUUUCUUAUAUUAUGUGAGUAUGGAUAUGGAUAGGCCGGCAGCACUCCCUUUUAGGUCAGAAGAGUUCCUUUGCAAGAAAACAACCUCUGAUACGACCAAACAUUUCUAAGGAUUCCUACAAAAUGAAAUGAAAUAAUAUCAUGUUAGAAUAUCUGACAGAAGCAGCACUCUUUCAGUUGGAUGCCCUCUUCUUCCUGGCAAGAUAAGAUCCAGAAUGGCCUUUGGUUUGGCUAGGAAAGUACAGCUAGUGCAACGAAGACUGCUAAAGCAGCAGCAAAGAGAGAGGACCGGGAGAGACAAGACACCUCUUAUGCCGGAAAAGGAAGAAAGUGAAGUAGAAAGUGCUAACGCUCCCAUUCCGAAUCCAAGAGAAACCUAAGAGAAUACCAUGCUACCAGCACCGAAUCUAAGGGAAAGCAUUUGAGCAAGAGGAAUGAAAGAAAAGUGGAAAUUUCCUAUUAGCUACCAGCACCGAAUCUAAGGGAAAGCAUUUGAACAAGAGACAGAAUCCAAAUAUUCAAUGCUAGCCGACCCAUCCUCCCAGAUCCGCAUCAGCGAGUGGUGUGACGACGACCAACUUGACAUUGAAAAUCACGAUUGGAAUGUCAUCUUACUCGGUAAAAGAUAGAAGAAGCGGAACGGAUUUCUCUUUUAUAUGAUAGGACUGCUUGCUGCCACUUCCUUAUGACAUUACCUUAUGACAUUACCUUUUAGACAAUCUCCGAUCUACGAAUACCUUGCUUGGGUCAGGAUCUUAUUAUUAGUGGAAAAACAUAGCCCUAGCUAGAUUCACUUAGUGGAAAAACAUAGCCCUAGCUAGAUUCACUUAGUGGAAAAACAUAGCUCUAGCUAGAUUAACUAAGCCGAAUCUCUCUUUUGACUUUCCUUAAAGGAAUUGAUAAGACAUAAGGAAGAGAUGAAACGAGUUAAGAAAGAAGAAGGGUAGAGAAAUGGGAUAACAUAGAGAGUAUGCCUCAUACUGACCUAAUCCGCUUCAAGCUUCGGUGGAGGCCCUCGCCCUCGCUUCGUAGACGUAGACAACAUUCCUUCCCGUGAAAAGAGUUUGUCUCUUUCCUCAGUUUGUUAUAUCUCUUUCCUCAGUUUGUUAUAUAUGAAUGCAUUUGAAACCCCCCCUCCACUUGAAUCUGUUUGGUUCUACAUAUGUUUGGUUCUACCAUGAUACUUUGGUUCCUUGGCAUAAGUCUGCUAUACUGUUACAAUAAAUUGUCACGGGUUCUGAGGCAUGAGUUAGAAUACCUAGACGCUGCAAUAACCUCCUAAACCAAACUGCUUCCUUGCUUUAACCUAAUCUGAAAACUGCUUCCUUGCUUUAACCUAAUCAAUAUCGGGCCGUGUACACAUCAUAGCAUACAUCAGGCUUCUUACAGCGCAGGAAUAGGUGACUCUUUCUUCUCUCUUACGAUCUUGACACCAAGCACAUAGCUAGCAUCACAGUUCUUUUUUUCUCUGGUGUUCUGUAUUUCUCUUUAGUUAUCUAUAAAUUAGUACUAUGAUAUGAUAUCUUUGCUCAAACUCCCUUUGCUUACUCUUUCUCUUCAGCUUCAAUUACAGAGCGCUUCCUGAGACAACGAGGGCGGGGAUCGGUAAGCCCCUUUUUUCUUUAUAGGAUCUCUCUUCAAUGCUUUCCUCUUUUAAAGACAAAUCUUCUAGUAGUGCUAAUUACGCUUUGCAAUUCUACAAAAGGAUUCCUAUUUGCAAUUCGAUAUUGGAAAUGGAAAUAACACAGCAACCACCUAUUUGGGGAUAUUUUAGACGGGAAUAAUGUUGGACUUUUGAGCGCCAGAGAUCCUCCUCCUCUAUAGCAUAAGUAAAAGCAGAAAAGGUAGCGGGCGAAAAGAUACGCGGCAAGGAAAGCUAAGGGAAAAGAAUAGUCAAUUCCUUUUCUUCCUUAAGCAUCUACUGAUCAAUAACGGAAUCUAAGUCACUAAGGGAUUCACUUUUGAAAAAGUCAGAUCGGAUUGAAGCCUACCGGUGGCUUACUCAUAUAAUAGAGAUCUUCAUUUACCAGGUCCUUGAAUCCAAAAGUCAAAGGGUGAAAGAAAGCAAAAGUAUUGAUAUUGACUUUCAAAGAAUAACCACUUCAUUUACUAAAUAUCAUAUCAGAGGGCUAGAAACGGAUUGAUACUGUCUUCUCUUUUCUCGUUUACAUAAAAGCUAGGGCCUUUCUUCAUUCAUGACCGAGUAAUAUGCUUUAAAUAGACUUCGCCGAAUCCCUUUUCAUUACAUACAACCUGACUUUGCUACUUCUGCUACCGUAGCCACAUACAACCUGACUUUGCUACUUCUGCUACCGUAGCCCUUGCUGAUUUACAGGAUUGGCCCCCUUCCGCUUCCCCCAUUGUAAACUCGCUUGCCCCGGCUCAAAGAACUCUCUUUAGGAAUGGACUUCGCUCACUUCAGCCCAAGCAGCCAUUCUGGAUUAAAGGACACAAGCCUGCUAUUCACUCGCUUUCCAGUUGAAAGCCUUAUUAUCUAGUCUUGCCGGUUACACCCUUUCUUGCCAUUUACCAUUCUCCGGGUAUUUCUUCUUUUAGGCUGACGGCUUGGUCAGAUUAGGAUGUUGCUUCUUUAUCCCCUCCGAUCAGGAUCUGCCAACGCCCGAAGUCACUUCACUCUAUAUCUCUGGAACCGAAAGAGGGUAAACCGUGAGCAAACUUUCGAGCUGGGAGAACUAAGGCAUUUCCUUACUAUUAAAGAACUAAGGUGCUGAAAGCCUACUAUUCAUCGUUAUCUCGAACCAAAGAAAGCGGAGUGAUCAUCGUUAUCUCGAACCAAAGAAAGCGGAGUGACAAGAACAUCAAACUGCUGACCAAGUAAAGUCACUUAUGGGCUACUGAUGCCAUCCCUCUGUCUAAUUGUAUUGGCCUCUCGGUGAUAGAUACUAUUCCUGGCUCUUAGCACCUUCCUUCCAUCCUCUUCUCCGACUUCAGCAGAAACAAACCUAAUUAUCUCAUGUCAACAGCGCAUUCGUUCACUCAAGCAUUUGUUAGCUCCAAGUCCAAGAGCCUAUCCGGUACCAGAAGUGUUGGGUUCAUUUGUAUUUCUCUUCUUUAGCUACAGUAGAAUAGCCUAAACAACUCCGUCGAACUACUUCGUUCCAAACAGAAUUCCGAAUUCUUAGACGGAUGAGACUGAUCACACCUCAUCGUUGAAAGAAGGCUUAGACCCUGAAUGGAAAAGGGCACAGUGUUAGAUGGAAAGGAAAGAGCCAGAAAUCAGAGACCCCUCGCUUCCUUCUAACGCCCAUUAUAGGAUAUAGGUCCAAAAAAGGAGUUCGAUGAUCUUUCCUAGAGCUUCCGCUGCUCUUAUUACUGCUUCCCUUCAGCACGGCGUUACAGAAAGCGCUGACUCAAUGGGCCUCAUGCCUGCCUAUAUGUCUUUAUUCCCCCUUAGAUUGGAUAAGGUCUAUAUUCCUGAACUCUCUUUCUAGAUUGGAUAAGGUCUAUAUUCCUGAACUCCCUUUCCAGAGGGUUUAGAUCCGGGAUUUCCUACUAAGGGCUUCCUUCCCGAGUUCGAUGCCUGCAGAGCCUAUGAACAAACACUCUAACUAAGACUAAAGAUGACACUUGGACAUGUGCUUGUGGAAAGGUCUAAGAAAAGGCUGGGUCAAUAGAGGCAAUAGAAACCAUACUUACUCAUCAUGUAAAUAAAGGGCAAAAGUGGACAAUUGACAAACGAGCGGAGCUAUUUACGGUCGAAACGCAUACGGGGAGGUGGGACUCGUUUAAAUGCAAGGACGCUGGGAGGAAACCCUCUUGGAUUCUCGGGCAAAAAAAACACAGAAUGGGGCUUAGUGAAAACGGGCUUCGAGAAGUCGUUCUUAGCAAGAAAAGAAUAGAGAGGGUCGCAGCUCUUAGCCAGGCUUCUAUUCCAUCGGUUUUACGUGGGUCAGAUUCCUACUAUUCAUUGAUUGAGUCCAAAAGAACGGGGUUGGAUGCGAGAUUGGGUGAUUUAGAAUGGAAGUUCAAUCAAAACAGGAUCCUUAUAGUUCAAUCAAAACGGGAUCCUUAUAUGGGCAAGUUGCUUAAAGGUUUCUAUUGUAUUGGUUUUGUUCUUUGUAUGGGAACUCCUAAUUGUUACUCCGGAAAGGACAGACGAAUCUUAAAGAAUGCGUACACGUGAAAAGGCUUACCUUAAGGCACACGUGAAAAAGGCUUACCCCUGAGGCCCUUCCGUUCUUUCUUUCUCCUCUGGUUUUGAGGUCUAGGUGGGUUGGUUUGGCGUAUGAGUCCGGUUCACUUCUUUUUGCUUGCUGGUGGAGAGCUUUCCCUUGUGAAAUCCAACUCAAACUAUACUCAAAGGAAAUCCAUUGACAAUACUUGAUAGGAUCUAGAAUAGUUGCUUCUCUUUCUAGCAAAGAAGGAUCCAGUCUCGCUAACCGCGUAUCCAAAUAAGCCUUCCUUUUGCAUUGACAGCAGUUAUCUAGUUUUCGCGGGUGCGCAAAAUGUCCUUUUGAGAAUUGAGAAUUGCAGGAAAAAGGGUCAACUAAGAAAAUCCAGAAUGGAUGCGAAAUAGGAAGACCACCAAGUCCAAUCCUAAUAGUUAUUUCUUACUCUCCUACAGCAUAAUAGACUUGCGAAUGGAUCCUAUUUGUUCGAGUGGAAAUCCUCUCCCCAUCCAUACUGAUCAAGGUGGGGAACCAAACCACUUAAAGGAAGUAUGUUCUUAGAUGGUGUUUGCAUGUCAAAGGAAUGGUAGUAGUGGGCUGGAUGUUCGGUAAGCGUGUGAGAUGAGACCCGAUCCUUCCACAAAGGACUCCCGUUUCAACAGUGCAUUUUUCCUUUGAUUCUCCGUCACCCGUUCUUCCCGACCACCGCCCGAUGCAGUCUAAACUCAGGUUAUCUCAAUAGACUUCCCAGCUAUUCUAUUCUAGAUAUCUUAUCUAAGAUGAAAACUGACUGUUUGUUUAUCCGAAAGUAUCUGAUGGUCAGGUCAUAGAAAGACAAAAACGUAUCGCCCACUUAAGAAAAUGAGGUCUGAACGGUAGGCUCCGCUGGAGAAACGACCAUAGCUGCACGGAGUUAGUUGACUGAUUUAGGUAUCAUGAUAGCUUGUUAGCGAUUACACUAUCCCCGGAAUAGCUUUCACUUCAUUGUUAAAGCUAUUGAACAUAGGUGGAGUUCAUACAGAAAAUGCUGUGUACUAUGAAAGAAAAACCACCAAUUCCUUUGAGGCUACUAACACUACCGAAGCAGGCUUGUUGGUUACUGGUUUUGGUAUUGAAAACAUAUAAAGGCUUUCAGCACCUUGCUUCUAGUUUCGCCGGUACCCUCGAGACAGCUUUCCCUAAAAGGACCGGAUUCAAGACAUUCGAUCUCAUACCCACUACAAUAAAUGAAAGUAUACUCGUAGCAAGGAACUCUUUCUUUAUUACUUUAGGUGGAAACUCUCUGAAGUUGGUUCUUUCUUCUCUUUAUUUAUAGUUUCAACUCAUUCCUGGUUGGUUCUUUCUUCUCUUUAUAGUUUCACUCAUUCCUGCCGCUCCGUUUAAGAAGUUUCGGCUCUAUGGCACUUGUUCUCCUUCUAUAGAUCGAGAUGCUUUUGUGGAUUGGAUGCUUUUCUUUUCCGUUGAAUAACAAAACAAAUGGUCGAUGUGGCUUUAUUAUCUUAGGUAGAAAGAAAGGGCUAUCUUUUGCCUAACUGUGAUAGGAGGCUCUGGAAAGACAACAAUACAAGCUGCUUUACUUAUCGGAUAGCUACUGACUUGCGUAUAGAGAAAUGGAACCGUAUUUAACUUAAUCCAAAGGUGGACUCAUACAUACUAUGGCUUUAUGAACUUAAUAAAUGAAUAUGUUACGAUUGAAGAAUACCGUAAUGGGAAGAAUACCUUAAUUGAGAAUAUAAUAGCGGCACCGAGAAACUGUGACUUGAACUGCAAAAAGGAAAAGACCCCAAUCUUCGAGAAAGCGAAACUCAAAUGACAUCCAACCCUAGAAAAAGCCGAGUAACCGCUUACCACCUAUACCUUGAAGCCUGCUACUGAGAAAGUGGCUGUCCUAAGGGUUAAUUAGCUCCUACCGCUCGAACACCAAACUAAGGACUCGGUUAUAGUUGCAGUGCCUACUUUUAGGAAUACAGUGCCCUUAAGUAAUUGAACCCGCCUUGUCAUUAUUCCAUAAUGCCUUCCUUCUUCUUUAGACGUGUGAAAGAAAGCGCCUUUUUGAACUCCGAACCGUGAUACCGAAAAAUCCACUCAUUCGGACAAUGUCCCAAGACAUCUUCGAUCUAUCGAGCUACUAGUCGAUCAACGAUAACAACACUUUCCCACUUGUUUGUUCUGGUGGCAUAUUACAUUGCUUUCUAUUUCCCAGAAAUCUAUUACUUCGUUGUUCGGUGGUCAUUCUUGUCGAGUUUGUCCAGUUGUACGUAAGGAUCUUAUUUGAGCCCAUACUUGUUUCGUUACCCGGAGUCUUGCUUUCACCCUUCGAAGAUUCGAUUUGGCCAUUUCUCAAUUGACCGAGUUGCUGCUACUACUUUUACUAUGACCGUUUGGAUUGUUGCUUUCUUGGUGUUUUACGGAAAUAAUUGUUAUAAUAUAAGGAGUUAUUGAAGUGAGUUAGUUUGGAGAAGAACGGUUUCAUUGUGUUCGUGAAGAUAAGAUAGUAGAGAUCACUAGACCUAGAGCAAGAAUGGGAUGUUACGCCAAUGAGCCGAGCCCUCUAGGAGUAGGACGCCCUUUGCUGGUGCCCGGGUCCCCUAUAGUCUCAGGAGAGAUUAUACAAAGGCCACUAACCCAGGUCCCCUAUAGUCUCAGGAGAGAUGAGAAAAGGCAAACUCGCAAGUCACCUUGUCUCGUAUCCAUCAGAAAACCGGGUUCCCUGUAAGCAAAGAACAAAGGUAGAUGAUAAGUUUACUUGAAAGAACAAAGGUAGAUGAUAAGUUUACUUGAAAAGCCAUAGAGUAAGUAAGGUGACUUUCCAAUUGACUUGAAAAGCCAUAGAGUAAGUAAGGUGACUUUCCAAGAAUAUGUCUCCUUGACUUGCUCAUAACUGUUACUAUUAACUCUGACUAUAUAGUUAGUUGAGCUCCCUUAAACAUAGGACUAUUUCCAGUUUCUCUCUGUGUUUGUUGGUGACAAGAGAGAAAGAUCAUCGGCAAAAGAACGAUCUGAAGCUGUUACUAGUCAAUUCCAUUCUUCACUUUCAGAGGUCAAUUCCAUUCUUCACUUUCCGCUCUUGACGUCGAGUUCGGGGAAGCAUAUUCCUAUUUAGAAGGAACAGGAACAGACAGAAAUAUAAGUCCGCGAGGGUAUAUAUAACAACCUAGUAAUCCAUAAGAGAGGUCCGGUGGGCAAUAGAAGUAGUAGAAUAAGGAGCAGGUAGGCAGAAGAUACGGCAUCAGGUGAGCGAGCUAUAUCCUGAGUGGGUAAAGAAUAAGUAUUUGGAGCCCCCUUUCUUGCAAUUGAGUCCGGGUCGGAAAGCUUCAAGUAAGGGCAGAGGAAAGGCUAGGCUGCCUAGCAGAGUUAUUAAGGUAAGGAGUCAGCAAUAAAAGGAGUCAGCAAUAAGUGAGUAAGUAGUUGAUUGACUAUUCUCUAUUAGUGGUAGAUAACUCUCUUCACAAUCAGCUAGCUAUAUAGAAGGAGUUAUAGGUCAAACAAAUAAUUCAUGGAAUCUUUCUUGCGCUACUCAUGAAUGGAAAUUGGAAACUCCAACUCGUUACACCUAUUCCUCUAAUGUGAAAGACUGAUAUUGUAGGGCGAUGAGAGAGGUUCUGAUUGUGUUGUGGUCGGUGCUUGUCUACGAGAAUUGCCUUAUUGACAGCUUUUGACUGGAAAACGAAGUUAUUGAAUUGAACGGAGUGCACCUAGGAAGAGCGCUACCAUAAAGGAUUCCAGUAUCAAAUCAUUUAAAGAACAGAUGGGGGCCCGUGCGUGUCAUUUGCCCCAUAAGAUUUGUUGACGAGAGUUAGCAAAAGUAGUAUACUAUUUCUUGGCUUUGCCCUUAACCGAGCGCAUUUAUUGAGUUGGGGGGGCUAGUUCCAGUCUUAACCUGGAAUUUCAUCCACUUUCUAGCGCUGAAGCAUAAGAGGGAUUCGAAGAUGGAUCUGAUUCAAAAGAUAGGGAAGCUAUGUCUCCACUUCUUUAUAUGCUAUGAUAGAAGGAAUAGGGUCCAACUUCGUGCUUUUAGAUGAAAGUCAGAGAAAAGUGUCCCGCCCCCCGAGUGCUCUAAACGCCAAAUACUGAAUGGAACUUGCAAAUACAAGAUAAAGGAAUGGAAGAAGAAAUACGAUACGGAACAACAAACUCUUACAGUAGCGCCGAGAAAGCCAUAUCCGGAGUUGGAGAAUAAUAGGGAAAAGAGACUAUUUCCAGAGGAGAAGAUACUAUAUCAGGUGAGUUGGUAAAGAAUAUAUAUAGAGUUGGCGUAGGAACAAGAACUCGAUAAGAAUCAUACUUAGUUGUCAAGAAAUGCAGCAGUAUUAGAAGCUGGUAAAGAGGAGGCAAAAGUGAGCUUAGAAGUAGCGAACAGGAACUAAACUCUACUACUUUGAGCGGGCCGGGCCGGGCAUUGACUUAUCGCUUGCUGCUGAGGAAACUAAUACGGAUUUGCUUUUCUCUCUCCAUAACUACACUUUUCUCGCACAGCUAAAGCUUAUUAUACCGCUGAUGAUACUUAUUCAUAAGAUCUGGAUCCUGCAGAAUCGACAACAACACUUGUUUCUGGUGCCGAGUCUCUUGAAACCGGUGUUUGAGGGUUUGUCUUGUUAGUUCAGAAUCAUAAAUACGAGUAGGGGUUUCAUCCCGUAGUUAAUCCGUAUAAUAUCUGUGCUUGUUGGCUCAAGUGCCCUGCAAUACGAGUAUAAUCUCUGUGCUUGUUGGCUCAAGUGCCCUGCAAUACGAGGUAAGGUCGGCAGUAGUAAAAGAAUGGUUUGCUCGAUGAACAAAAAGGGCGGCUCCCGGGUUGGUUUUUCCCAUCAACUAAAGAGCAAGGCUAUCAGGCCUAUUACGAAAAUGUCUUUCUCAAGAGCAAGAGCUAACACAACUCUUUUCUUUUUUUGUACUUCCCACGGUAAAGCGAAACGAUUACCCGAGACACUACACUAGCUCUUAAAAUGUUUUAGUCGUUUAUGAUCGAAGCGGAUUCUCUCUUCUGGAACCAUACAAUCUGGCUUGACUUGGAUAGCGUCAUGAACCGAGCAAAGGAUAUAGCAAAGGAAACACUUGCAUCUGGCUGAGGACUAAAUAUAGGAGCUCGCCUUGCAUACAAGGGGAAAAGAUGGAAUCUGGUAAAAAGAAAGUUCCGUGCCUAUAGUCAUUCCUUUAUCCAGUUCCGUGCCUAUAGUCAUUCCUUUCUAUGGUAGCAAUCUGGUCUCCAGUCGGUGGAGGAAGUAAGGCUUAGCAGUCCUAUCAGUGCCCUUAUGCACAGAAACAGUUGGAGUCAAGGCAGUCUGUGGUUUCUAAGGCCUAUAGGCCGGUCCUGUCAUUUCGUAUAGAUUUAUAGAAAGGGAGCGCCUUUAAGGCUUUCAGCACCUUCUCUCCUCCCCAACGCCGCUAUCUGUCAUCAAUUCCUUCUCUCCUCCCCAACGCCACUAUCUGUCCAAGGGGAAAAGCAAACUCAAGGGUACCAACGCAAGCUUCCGUUUUCAAGUUAGUUAUGAAUCCGAUGUGAGAUGCCUCGCCUAGCUUGAUUAAUAGCCGCCCGGGCCCAUGUUCUCAGUGCAAUGCAACGUGUGAAAUGACUUAGUCAAGAGAUCGUAGGAUACCGGCAAAGGCAGAAGGUGGAUACUCGUUGUUUUGAUUUCGCAGGUGGAUACUCGUUGUUUUGAUUUCGCAAUUCUAUUAUAUCAUAAGGGGUUGAAACACGAAAAUGAAGGUGCGAAGUUUCGAACAUGGUUGUUAUAAAGUUCCCUAUCUCUGCUAUUAUAGAAUAAGAAAGGAAAGAUAAAGAUAAUAAGAAAGGAAAGAGAAAGGCAGCACAUAUGAAUCUGACUCAAGUGGUCAUCGAGAAGAAGUCGAUUCGCUGAAGCAUAAACAGAGAAGGUAGUUUAGUUAACCCGGGCCAGGCCAGCCCUUAGCAUCUAAAGAAUGCGCUCUUCUCAAGCUUUUCAAAAAGGGGUGUGUGUUGGUUUGGGCAAUGGAAGGCACGAAUCAAACUAUCUAUCUUUAGCAUACGGGAAUCGAGCAGACAUGAUCAAUAAUGAUUCAGAGGACAAGGGCAGCUUGUUCUACCUUCGGGAUAAACGCUCUUUUCAUGGGUUUUUUCUUUGACAGUCUUACUGGAUUUUUAGUUGAUGGGGCAAGGCUUAGCAAAUAAAUAAGCUUGUGUCGGAAGAGAAGUAAGUAGAAAACAAAGCUGUUCGCGGAACCUGAUUGCCCUAAGUCGGAGUCAGAAUAAGGUUUAGGCUGGAAGACAAGCAACAGAUAUCUCGGAUGUUGCCAUUGCCAGGAGCAUGGAUGCCAAGAAUGCCCUCAGUCUAUGUCUUUCUAUAUAGGCUUUAAGGAAGCAAGUAAGCAUUAAAGAGGGGCUUUGUUGGACCUUCCGACCGACUGAAGGAUCUUUUCCGUCUUUCGAGAUGCGAAUAGAUUGACUAUUGGGAUAACGAAGAUAUGACCAUAUUAAAGAUCUCAUUUAUUCAUUUCAUAGAGAAAAGGAUUAGCUGCUUUCUGAAAAUGAUAGAGAGAGAACAGCGCUACCGCCAUGAAUACUUGACUCGCUCAUAACAGAAUUAGAACAUAUUAUUUGGAGUCUUGCAUUUGUAGGAGUUGCUUGGCCCUUUGUAGUAGUUGCUUGGUGGCUUUCAGCACCUUUAUUUUCAUGGAGCUCUUUAGAUAGGUAGAGGAAAGACGUAACUAGACGACCGCGCAGAAAGAGACGUAACUAGACGACCGCGCAGAAAGAAGAAUCUCUUUUAUAGCUUCCGAUUGCUAUGGAGAUUCCUAUGGUUUCUCUAGUUUCUCAGACUAUUAUGGAUAUUCCCCCAGAUGCGAGUUACAGCCUUGUAACCAAGGGUCCCUUACUUCACUUCAUGGAUCUUUAAGAAGUUCAAGAAGAAAGCUACGGGCAUAUACCCCAGCCGCGGGGGAACAAGUGCCACCUAAACAGCUAGAUUAUCUAUCUAUAAGCCUCGCAAACCCUUCCUUUGUAAAGGACCUUUCCCGCUUUCCUUACUUUCCUUCCUUGGCUAGUUCAAAAAACGCUUUUUCCAUUGUUCUGAUAAUAAGAUUAAUCAGAAUUGUCGCUUGGAAUAAUAGGCUUUGAAACAGAAAGGAGGUAGAGAAGCUCUGAGAUGGAAAGGAGGGAAGCUCUAAGUUAGGUAGUUAGGAGCGAAGGUAGUACGAGGCAGAGCCAAGACUCAUCUCAUGUGGAAUCAUCAAUACUUAAAGGAUAGAGUCAAACUCUUGGCAGGUCGGGGGGCAAGCUUGACUUUCACUUCGGGAAUAAUCAAUCUAGCUUUUUGAAUGGGGCGAGCGGUUCUCGGGCGAAUUCCUUCUAUUGGUCUUAUACUAUGGGUGGAUACAGACUCAGAGUGAGGACCCGUGCCAGCAACUCCUGUAAGCGCAAAUCAUUUAGGAGAAGUCAAAGCAUAACCCUGACAAGACAAGUGGUUAGGGCUUUCUUCAACUUACAGAGCGGAUCUAUACUCUUUACCUCGAAACUAGGAAUUUCACUUACUGAAACCAAAAGUGUUUUUUUCUCAAUGGAUAAUAUGGAUCUCGCACCAGCAAUAGAAUAAUUGAAGUACCCCGCUGCGCUGCCCCCUACUGAGGAUACAGCUACAUCACUUGGCUGCGCUGCCCCCUACUGAGGAUACAGCUACAUCACUUGCAACUUCAAUAAGUCCAGUGGAGAAUGUGCUUUCUUGUCUUCUCUCUUAGGGCGCAAUUCCAGAAGGAUAGACAGACCGACCGACCAUCUUCAAACCGACCAUCUUCAAUUUGAUCUAGAAUAAUAAAGAUCUGCAUAAUCAGGAUCAGAAAAAGAGGUCUUAUAGCUUCGAAAGAACACCGACUGCUGUAUAAACAAGGGAAUAAUACGCAAGGAGAGAAAGAUGUAAUGUUGCAAUGCGAGUUGACUCUAAACCAGAAAAAAGGGGAGUUCUGGGCUUGACGUCUACAGGUUAGAGUGUCGGUGCGAGUUGAGUACUUAAUUGAGGCGCUAAUGGAGUUUCCGCUUGAUCACAUUCCUUUUCUUUAUAGGCGAUAGGCGUGUGAGGGUGAUUCAAUUCGUAUGUUCGCUGUCGCGGCAGGAGCUACUGUUACGUGUUCUUUAAAUUCCAGUUUUCGUUCCUUUGUUCGUCCUCCCGUUCUCUCAUAUUAUUUAGUAGGUCCCUUGGUCAACAAUGCUAGACAAGCAGCAUAUAGGUUAUUUAUUCAUUGCAGCAUAUAGGUUAUUUUAUUCAUUGUUCAUUAUGAAACAAACUUUCUUGUUAAUUAUGGGGCGGUCUUUUACCUUACCAGAUUCAUUUGAGCGCCCAUAGCUAUUCAAUUUGGCCUCUUUCCUUUAUUCAGAUCUCUCCCUCCUAAUGUAACUAUCAAGAAUUUGUGUGGAUAGCUCGCAUAAAGAAAAAGGGGAAGGACACUGCUCUUACAGAAAAAGGGGAAGGACACUGCUCAUAAAGAAAGGGAAGGUACUGGCACUCAUAAAGAAAGGGAAGGUACUGGCACAGCUCUUAAAUAACUAACCGCUUUUAUAUAACUUACAGCUCUUAUCUCACUUAAAGCUCUUACAUAACUUACAGCUCUUCCAAAUUCUUCUUUGUGUAAAGGGUCAUAAAAAGAGUCUAGCCCACCCACCCCAGCAGUCAAGUACUAGUGCUAUCAAUUCCUACAGCUCAGGGUCAAUUGUGUAUCGAACCUGCAUACAGAUGUUUAUCAUAACAGCGUUAAGGAAAGAUGCGGGCUUAUUCUCUAUUCUAUGCUCUCCUCUCUUUUUCCAAUAAAGAAGGAGGGGACCCCUUUUCAAAGCCAUUUCUCAUGAAUGGUGGGUAUGAUUCUAUAACCGGUUUUUCCUUUCAUUCAAGGCUCGACAACGAUUGGAAUAGUGUUUCUUCUUUAUUGAUCUGUCUGAUGGAGACCAUUUAGAAUCCUAUUAGUAAACAGGAGCAUAUCCAACCUUUUGAAGCGGCGGGUCCUUCUUGAUUUGAUUUAUACUUGUGUUAUUUAUACUUGAUUGGAUUGAUAUUUGCUAGCUCUUGAGCUUUCCUAACCCCAUCUAUCUUUCUUCUUCUCUGGAUAAGGUUUAGUGUAAGGCCCCUUUUGACAUUCAAGAUAUACUGACGCAAACCUCUCGGGAUUUUAUGCAUAUCCUGAUUACCCUCCCACAACCGAAAAGGUAGAAAACCAUGUCUACUUUGCCUUUAUAGCAAUUCCUUUCUAGCUAUGCCUUUCUGGGGUUAUUGUCCAAGCGACUCUAUAUUUGAUAUGUUUUGGCCGCUCCAAGAUCAAAGGAAUUAGCAUGUUCUGGACUGCUUACUUCCAGAGAUUACACGAGUGUGUUCUCGCUUCUUCGAUAGCGCCCCCAUUCGAAGUAUUUCCACGAUCUUUUGUAGUCUUCAAUCCUUAUUUGUUGGUGUUUAGGAAGGGUUAAUGGCUUAUUAAUCUAUGAAGUCUAUAGGGUUAAUGGCUUAUUAAUCUAUGAAGUCUAUAUUCUCCCGAUCAUAGGUGAUAGAGACCCAUAAGAUAGGCAAAUGAUAGAAACCUAUAAGAUAUAAGGAAGAAAGAACGUAAAAGAUAUGACUUUAGAAAGCUCUGGAGGCAGAUUCUAUUGGCCUUUCAUUAAGCCUCCUUUAAUUAAGCGCUUUCCUACUCUUAUUUGUAUUUGAUAUUAGGCCACUUCCUGCAUAUUGAUUAUUCUAGGAUGAACGAACUCCUUACAUUCGAGUAUUUACCUCCUAUUGCAAUUGCUCUUGAAAACCUCUGCCUUGAGUCCUCGAAUACCUGCACCUAUUAUCAUGUACCGGUCGUUAAACCACACUGUAGAUAAUGCUUUUGCCAUAAAGAAAUCUCUAUUAAUAUUAGCAUCACUCGAAACUCACUAACGGAAGAAACAAGCAAACAACGAACUCCUAUCCGACACAAGAGCACAUGAUAGGCAAUAGGGACCGGGCACCCACACCUAUUAUACCUCCUCAGGCGAGGCACCCACAGUCGACCCCGUAACUACAAACAUGAUAAACAAUAGGCACCCCUGCCCCAGUUUGGAGCACAUUUGUAGCACACUGGCUUUGGCAUGAAAGUGUAUGUAUUCGUUGUGAUGCGGCUCCUCGACACUAUGCAAGCUACGGCAACUUUCAAGCUUUGUUUGCUCAGAGAAUUAAUACCUGAGUGACUUGGCCGUUGUUUCACCUCUUUUAAACGGAGCCCGCAAUGUAGCAGUAAAGAAUUGGAACUCUAUGACAACACUCGCACCCUCAGAUAUGAGUAAUCAGUACCAAGCAACACCCUAUACUUUCGAUCCCUUGUUUCGUUCCCUUGUUUGUUCUCCUUACUUUUAGAGUUGAUAUCCGCACAGCUGCGUUAAUUUGCUUGUUUGCUUGCUUCCCUUGCCUGUUAAGCUACCCACCCGGGGUAAGAGAGUAGUUGAUGCUUUUGUUGAAUAAAGAGAAUCUUGAUAGACUAAUAUAGAAUAGAGUACUUGCAUUAUAGACUAAUAUAGAAUAGAGUAAAGGCAUUGAAGCGUGGUGUGGGUUUACUUUCAAUGGGGAGAGGUUCUAUGAUAGGCUUUCCCUUGACUUUAUGAGUAGUGGUCCAAAGAAUGGCGCUCGCCUUAGGAGUUGAGUUAGAAGCAUUAUAUAGCUCGGCAAGAAAGAUUGAAUGAUUUGUUGAGUUCUGGUUUUCGGCUAACGUGCGUGUGGGUUAUUUGGAGUUUCAAACAAGGAAGGUCUAUAUGAACUCAAUUAAGUACUUAGCGCACCCAUAAUCUACCUCAAUCCUCUGAAAGUCAACUACUGAAGUCUUGUAUAAAGGUUCAAGCUAAAAGUCCGGGUAUCCUGAAUCAGCUGUUUCUGUUUUCACAUCAGAAUACGUUUUUUAAAGAAGCAACGUUAAGGGUAGGAAUAUUCAGGUAAUUAGAUAAGGGAAGGUAUCAUAUAAAUAUGGAUCUAAAGAAUAAGCAAGAUCGUCGGCAUAAGCAAGAUCAGAGGAUCAUCAGAAAGAGCAGAAGCUGAAUCAAAAGAGAAAUCAUAAGCCAAAGAAUCCGCUGUGGUGUCAAAGCGGUCAGCUGCCAGUGAAUAAGUCAAAGCCAGUGGUAAGCGGGACCAGACGGAAAGUUGUUGAAUUCGUCUUUGUUAUCCACGAGAGAGGCAAUCAACCAACAUAGAGUUUUCAAGAGAACGAGCAAGCAAGGCCAAAUAGUAAUAAAACAACCCCUUUUUGCGUCGUUUAACCAUAUGCCGCCGUUCAACGGAGCUCAUAUGAUAUGGCUAAUCUCACUUAUGGAAAAACUCCCCACUACGCUCCUAACGCGCACUACACUACGUUGCUUGUUCUGUCCUUUUCAUGCAUUUUUCCAUAGAGAUUAAUUAAGAUAGACCUCUUCCUAGAUAUUAAGAUGGACCUCCAUCUUCCUAGGUGCCAAUCAAUUGAAUUCUACUAUGGGGGUGCUAACGCGAGUUGUUGUUGCAGGAUGUUUUGUUACUAUCUUCGAGUUGUUGUUGCAGGAUGUUUUGUUACUCUCUUAUAAAAUAUGUCAGUUAUUAGCUUUUCUUCAGUUGAGCAUGAUAGGUGCACUCAAUUCCAUGAUUUUCUUCAGUGUUGUGAGUUUGUAGAGUAAUGGAGUCUUAAGUUAGGUUAAUCCCUUACAUGAGUUGUGCACUCACAUUCAAGAAGCCCUGAAACAUACAAAUGUAAGCUAAGGUUCCCCGAUAAGUCAUUUCUGUUUUAAAGCAAAGUGAUUAUAUUCAUUUAUUAUAGAGAUUAUCUUAUAUUCAUUUAUUAUAGAGAUUAUGAGUUAGAUUCUUGGAAAUGGAAUUCCACAAAACAAGUCAGAAGUGAGUUUCCGGGGAACAAGUAAGAACAAGAGAAGAACUGACAUCGGCCCACCCGAAGAAGAGUUAGGUAGUGAGUAAGCUGUUAGGUACCACAAACAAGGCAACAUAGAAUAGAGGAAGUAGUGAGUAAGCAGAACAAGCAACAAAGUCAGGGCAGUGAACUAGAAGCGCGAGGCCAGAAAAGAGUACGACACAGUAACGAGUUAGUCAGGAUGCCAAUAAAUCCGAUUUGCUUAAAGCAACGGAAAAAGAAGUAAGCUGUUUUGUGAAAACUCAGAAUUCAGUAAGCAGUGUUGUUACAACUAUGACAUUAUAGGGGGAGAAUAAGCAACGGAGCAAGCAGUAAGUAAUGUUCAAGCUUAGAGCCAGCAGUACAGUAAUAGGUGAGCUUUUUAGUUUCGUUAGUUUCUCAGAGGAACCAAACUACUAAUAAUGCACAAGUAGGGAUAGCAGUGCCUCUCUCUGCCUAUGUCCUUUACAGUGCCUCUUACCUAUGUCCUUUACUUUGUAUGGGGUUCGGCUGCCUCAAGUAGAUUCAAUUAGGCUUCAAUUCCCCGGGGCUCCUUAGCUUUGAACUCGCUGACGCUAGAACUCAGGCUCCCGAAAGCUGGAAUUGUCAUAACUCUGCGCUACUAACUACUAAGCUUGGCGGUUAUAACAAGAGGAACUCUAGCAGCCCUGCCGCUACACUGACUACGUUACUUGGCGGACUUGGUCAUAACUCUAGGAUACAGGACUUUCUAAUUCUCCGGAUCUGAAAUCCACUGCUGGCUCAACAAAACUUCAUUGAAUCUUGUUUGCGCAGAGAGAAUAGGGGAGGAAUAAUACCCGAAUCUAUACCUUAUCCCUUUUCUAUACCCUUAGAGUCACAUACUUUCCCUUAGAGUCACUGACUUUUGUACCGAUCCUGCUCUAGCUGAUCCAGAUGUAUCUUCUGCUAUUGUUUAGUUGACUUUACGGGGUGCACGAAAAGGGACAAGCAUAUACUACUGAAGAAUGGAAAACAAACAUAUUAAUUGAUGGGGUCUUACCAUCCGAGGAUAGAAGAAGAUUACCCAUUCCCAGUGUUUUACCCAGUCCGUCCCAGUUAAAGUUCUCAUGGAAAGCAAGAGAAAGAUGAGGAAGAAAGAGCAGUUCAUCGAUUAUUCUUAGACAGCUAAUCAACUGGCUUUCCCUACUUCCGCUUCCACCUCCGACGCUGGCAACCUUACUUGAAAGUAGGAUCUAUUUGAAUCCAGCGCUUAAUAAACCUCUGUUCCCCGAGACUGCCUGGCUUUCUCCGACCUCUAUUCCCCCUGGCUUCACCGAGACAGCCUUAUGGUUAUGGAUGGAACCGGCCUUGCUAGCAAUAAAAAGGCUUUCAGCACCCGAACACAUAGUCAGUAGGCAAACAACCAACUACUAGACCUCUUGCUCUUUGAACUCAGGCUCAUCUAACUCUGGCUACAAUUCAUUGAACCCUGAAAGUUGUAGUUACUCGUCUGCUUGUCCCUUCGUCGGAGUUCCCUGUUAAGUAGGUGAGUCCUGUAAGUGGGAGCUCAACUCCUAUAAGUAGUGCUUUUCUCCAGUUAAUGCCUAGCUCCAUUAUGGAUUCUUGUAUCAUUACUUGUUAUCACUAGUUCGAUUCGAUUCCGGUAGACGCUAUAUCUAGGCUAUGCCCCCAUGGAUAAAGAAUCAAAGCAAGGGUCGUUGGAGGUUUGCUGUUCUAUUCUUAUAGUUUGUAAUUGAAGAAUACACAUAUAGUAGAGCAGGAUCCGAAUCAGUGUUUAAAGAAAGCAACGACUACAAGUUAACAGUAUAAGAAUCAUAGGUGUAAAUAAGGAAUUUCGUUAUGACCUGUUUUUUCAUUAUCAACAGGAGUUUUCGAGUGAAAGAAGGAAGUGUCGAACUGAGAUAAAGGAUAGUACAAGUGAAAGCAAGGAGCGUAGGGCUGCCCUAUUGGGGGAAGUGAACAAGGCUAAAAGGCACAAGAUCGGAAGGCUCAAACUAAUACUAGUAAGAGGGCCUAAGACCGAAAGAGGGGAUUGUUAGAGUUGGAUUACCAGUUGAGAGUUUGAUCAACCCCCGCCGCUGAGGCAUUCUUAUACUUGCUUGCUCCAUUCCUGUUAGUAGUGUUUGGAUCCUUACUUUGAUGUUUGGCUCCUUGUUUUGUUUUUGUACUUGCUAGCUGUAUUCCGAAGCUUUCAAUACACGCCCACCCGAACUAAAAGAAAGACCGAUAAGAAGACUGGCAAUAGGACCAGUAAAUAAAGAAGAGUUGUUCCAGGUAUAAGGAUGCGCCUAAGGAAUACAAGAUACUGGUCUCGAGCUACAAGACAAUUUAUAUCAGGCGACGAGACCGCUUUGAACGAUACAAAGAAUAGAAUCCGGGCUUAACAGGACAGGACUGAAAUAAGAAAAAGGGAAUUGAGCUCUAGAGUCAGAAAUGAGCUACUUAUUUGGAUUAUUUAGAUACCGAUUCGGAUCCUGCUAGGUUUAGUCUUUCUCUCCUUCCCUUAAGUCUGCUAGGUUUAGUCUUUCUCUCCUUCCCUUAAGUCUGCUUUUCGCCCGGCUUCUCCUUUAUAUAAUUAUGACUUUACUUACUAUAGGGCUUAGACUCCCUACUUCUGUUAUGUAUUUCACCUUUGGAUUCUUAUACUGUUAACUCGAAAACUGACAACCUUCUACUCAUGCGUUACUCCUGUCAGUUAGUAACAAAGAACUCACUAGCUAUAAGUAAGUCUGUUACUACUAUCUUAGAGUCUUCCAUUACUUUAUCUAAUCCUUCAAUUGCUUAGGUUAUUUCUGUAUGACACCUUUCAGUAUGAAACUAAUGCCCUCAAUACCGAGUGAGAGGUAGCCCUACCUUAGCCAUAGAGUCUGUCUUUAAGCUAUUCUUCUUACGAAAAUGGUUUUCGCUCUUGUAGUUGUCCCUGCAAUGCCUAUAGCUGUCCCUGCAAUGCCUAUGUUGUUCCAGUUAGAAGCUACCCGUAUGAGAAGUAUAAGCACGGGUUCCAUUAUUGAUAGCUGCGGUUCGAGCCUUGUUAUCAUUAUAGGAGGAAUAAUAGGAAGCAAAGGGCCAAAAAAAGAAAGGUGCUGAAAGCCUAAAGUAUUAUAAGGCACCCAAACUGUUCUUUUAUAAUAGCUGGUAGCUGGAUGCGCUGGACACCACACCACUGGAGUUGUAGAAUGAAAGCAAGGUGAGGCAGGCCGGUAUAGGAGCAGACUCCACAGGGCAUUGAGGUAAGUUUGGUAAGGUCAGUUUUCAGAGUGAAAAGGGAAAGUAGGAGGCUAGAUGAUACUCCUCCAGGGAAUAAGAAGAUCAGUCUGGUUACUAUACUAAGAUCCGGGAGUAGGAGACCAAAGGCUAAUAGGUUAUUGAGUAAUGGAGUUUGAGUUUCAUCUGAUAGUGAGACAAUUGAAUUAGAAUCAAAGAGUUGUUGUAGUAGCUGUCUCUCAGGGUAGUAGUCGCUGUCUAUCCAGGUAGUAGUGAAGUCAUAGUUCCGAGCUCAAUUCUGCAAUGGUUCCCACACCUCUAAGGUAUUUCCUCUUUGUUGAAAUUAUUAUAGGUAUGAGUUGGAUUCCCAAAACACAUAAGAAGUUAUAUAUCCUUAGAACUACCCCCCUUCUUUCGCUUACCCUUAUAUGGCAAAAGUCAGGAUUGAAUUCCAUCCACUUAUUCCUUGAGCAAGUAAACUCGAACAGGCAAUUAUGCGUCAUCAGAUCCAGCAUCUUCUGAUGUAUACUUUUCUCUUGCUCCAUAUUAUCCUUAUUUCUUCGUCUGCGCUAAAUGGAAGGAGCUCCUCAAUUCCUAUAUUAGAUGAAAAGGAUAGAGAUGAUUUUCUUUGAACAACAGAGCCAUCAAAGGAACCAGCAAGCAAAGCGGGAACAAGAGAAGUUGAGUAAGCUGUAUCCGGAAUGGGAGUAGUUAAAGAAUAUAGAGUUGGUCGCAGGAAAAGAAUCCGGAUUAGAAGCUGUCCUAAAGGAAGCUGAAACCAAUGUAUAUAAUUCUGUAACAGGGAGAAUCAGAGGCUAAAGAAGCAGAAGACUCAUAAGCUGUGCUAGGAAAGUGUGUUUCUGUUCGAAAGGGAAGUGAGGGUGUUGAAGUUAAGCUUCCGUUUCAGUGUAAUAAUGAUUUGUUGACUUCAGAUCAACUGGCGCCUAGUAGGGGAAUUCGAAAAGUGUAGUUCCAGUUUCCAGAUCAGUAUCAGGAUCAGCCGAAAUGAAAGUACUCGUUUUGGGUUCUGCAAGCGGUGAUGUUGGCGAGACCUGAGAGAAAGAAAGAAUCUCUUGGGGUGCGAAAGCAGUCUACGAGUUCUGUUGCUGCCCGCUCGCUAACGGGAGUUUUUAAGUCAGAAUUCAUGAAUGGGAGUUUCUUCAAGUAGAGUUCCAGAAGCCAAGGUGUGCUAAUGUUGAGACAGUUGAGUGCACAAGCUAGUCUAUACGAUAAGAAAUGCAAGCUUAAUCAAGUCUAUACGAUAAGAAAUGCAAGCUUCAUAUUAGUACUUUGAAGCGGGGCCAAGCAACUGGGCAAGGCCCUUCCCUUAACUACUCCAGAAAGAGAUCUACCGCGGGAAAGGAAGCAGCAUUAGAGUCGGCAUCAGAGCCAGUAGGGAAAGGCAUAAGAUGGAUGGGUAAGAGAGACGGGCAUGAUGAUUACCCCUAUGGAUGACUAGCUUUUCCUUCUCGACGGGUGCUUACUCCAUUAUAUGGGACGACUACCACCGAAGGAGGCCUUGCCUACAAUGAGACGAGACGACUACUUGUAACAUGCUUCAGGGUUACGUAAAAAUCAGUCAUUCCUGUUUGAUUCUUUCCUCUCCCUUUCCUCUCCUCUUGAGCUCACUCCUACAGCACCUAGUAACAGACUGAGGGGGCCAAGCAAUAGUCUAGGCGCCAUCCCUUGUGUCAUCAGUUUUCCUAUAUGAGGAGAGUGCAAAUGAUACUAUGUUUUUUGCUACUGUGUGUCUACUGAAUAGAUAGGCAGGAAAGAUGAGUUGUUUUUCAGUGAGCUAUAGUGAUUAUGCCAAUAUGAAGUCAACUCUCUUCUUAUUGUCUAACUUACAAUAAGGGCCUCUCCACUUCCACUAAUCAGAAUUCCACUAAAGCAGAAUCAUUACCUGUUCAGCAAAGACACUACUAAUCCAGUUCCGGGUCCAGUGAGAGUUUCAUCCCCAGUGUCAUUCUUUAAUGCCUUAUUCCUAGUUGUUAGUUCAGGUCUAUAGUACACUGUUUCUUUCUGUUAUUAGUAGCUAUAGUAUUAGUAUUGGAUUUACUGGUUCAAUUAAGAAGCACCUAUCUCAUAUGAAGUGGACCUAGCCUUAAAGACAGUACCCGCUCACGCUUAUUCUUACUUCCUUGACUUUGAGUGUAAUAAGUACUCCCCUUUGUUUCUCCUACUAGGUUUCGAGGAAGGCAGGAUAGAUAAGCUAGGAUUAGAUGUGUCAUUUAGUCGAAGAGGGUAAGAUAUUGCCUUUAUGCCUGCGCUUUCAGCAAUACAGGUGCUUCCUUGCCUCCCUUUCCGUUUCCUAAGGACUGCCAGCUUUCUUGUUUGUGAUUUCCUUUUCUUAAGUAGUAGACUGAGUCAGAGGAGGAAGUCGUUGGGUGGAGAGGUCCGGUCUCUAGCGUCCUAUCUUAUGUCCGAAUUCUUUCUCUCUGUUAAUUGUCCUCUCGUCCAGUUGCUCAAGAUAGAUAAGCAAGGAGAACUUUGAUUCAGGUAACUCUAUGUUGCUCCGGUUAGUUCUGUUCUGUAAUCAACUACCUGGGUAAAGUAGCUCCUGUCGGUUUAGAGCAAGCAAAGAAAGCUCAGAAUAGAUUAGAUCGAUCAAGACUAGUAGUUAGUUGUUCCUACUUACCUGACUUGCUAGUAGGAAGCGAUGCUAUGGAACCAACCUAAUCCACUCUCGUGACCAUGAUCGAAGAUCAAUCCGGGGAAAGAGAUGAGCUUAUAUAUGAAAAGCUACCCGUAUUUACACAUACGAGGAAUCACUCACUAACGGACAAGAGAGCGACAAAUGAGCUUUCAAAAGUGCAAAACGAAAGGGUUGGUAGCUUUCGGCCUUAUUGAUCCAAUCACUCUUUGAGACUACUGCUUGUGCUUGGCUCAGCAUAGCCUUCUUUUUGAAAAGCUGACUGCUCAAGUAAAGUGAGGAAAGCGAAAAGCUGACUGCUCAAGUAAAGUGAGGAAAGCCUGAUCUGAUUUGGAAUCCUUUUUCAACGCCUUCUUUCCUGAUCGAUUCUUAGGGGAAUCGUAGGCCAAAAAUGGAUUCGUCAACGGAGGAUGCCUUUCAAGGAAAAAGUAACGACACCGCAUUCCCACACUUUCUCAUCUGUUUCAUAGAGGAGUGAGGCUGGCUAAAGCACCAAAACCAAUAGUUAGUAAGAGAGCGCCAUCAGGAUAAAGAUCAAAAGGGGGGGCUCUAGAAAAGAUGCCUUGAAGAGUGAAAAUACCGUAAGCGCCCAACUUCCACACAUCGAAAUAGACAGGUGAUCCUGCACGCCUAACCUAACUUUCAUGCACGGAAUCAACUGUGAUCGAAUAAGCUUUUUUAGGUAAUGAAGCCAGGUACUGAUUUGGGAAGUAACUGAACUUACUUAAUCUCCCUUAGGGAUUCGAGGAGCAGAAGGCUUACUAAGGAAAGCUAAUGACAUUGUUAAAGAGUAGGCAGAGAAUGUGCUGUUGUCGCAUGAAUAGGAAUAGGUUGUUCAAGAAUAAUUGUAAGACUCGCAAUUGAAUCAACUUCUCUUUCAUUCCUAAACGCUGCAAAAGAAAGACGUAACCGGUGUUCCACUUAUAAGGUUAACUGCUCUCGGAGUCCUAGCCGCUCUUGGCACUGAUUCCUUUCAAGUUAUGCCCUUAUGCCCGAUCCAAAUAUGCAGGGAGGUUUUCCUCGAAGAGAAGCUCUAAUAGUAGUAUGCGGACUCAUACUCAUCCCAGUGAGAGUGCAGGAAUAUAAUAAGAUGCUCUUUCAUCUCUUUGCAAUAGAUUGUGUUCAAAUAGCCUGGGCUCAGCUCCUGCCGUGCAACGACUGACGCACAAUAGAAAUCAAUUAUGUUGUUUUGAUUAUUUAUGUUGUGCUUUAGUGUCUUCUUGUCGUCUUGUCUGCUUGCCCCCGUCUUUGCAAUAGAAUGACUAACUGCUCUUGCUGCUAUUUCAUCAUCUGUGGCACUGACUUUAGGAAUCCCAGGGGCGGUGCCUAGCCUUUGCACAUGAAGGCCUUCUUCUCUAGCCUGAUGCGGGCGAUUCGAGUCAUCGAGAUAAUAGAAGUGAAUACCAUACAAUUGACUUGACUUGAAAUAUACUAUAUUGUGUUUUUAUAUACAAAUAGGUUUCUUUAACAGGAAGUGAGAGUGAGUGUCACGCGGAGUUACGCUUUGGUUAGGCUUGACUUGAUGAUGGGUUACAUAUAGAAGGGCUUAGUUAGCUAUGGAAUCAGAAGCAACUCCGGGCAGAUGGGAUGCCCCAAAAUAAGGCUUAUGCAACUCGAGCCCAGGCUUACUUGGCUUACUUGGCGCUCCAGAGACCAAAUCCUUUGUUUACCACUAGAAUUAGUAAGUUCAUUCUUUGACCGCAAUCCGAUCCUAUAGACUCAAUGAUUUUCAGGACUUGGUCAAACAACUAAGCUUGGUCUUACUACGUAGCUUGGCUCCUCAUCCUAUCUUCUCUAUCUAGCUCCCCUGAUCAUUCGUAUAAGUCUGGAGUAAAGAUGAUUCUUCUCUCUCUUUAAUAACCUAAUAAUAGAAUGGAUUAUUCCCUCCUUGGCUCUCAUUGAUUGUUUUUGCAAUACCCGACCCGACCGAAACAAAUACUUCUUUUAUAUCUCUAGCUCAUAUACUUAUCCGUAGUCAACUAAAUCCAUUCCCACUUUCACUACUUAGUUCAAUAGAAUUCAACUCACUCACCAAAACUUGAUAGCAAAGAUCUUAUUGCCCCAAUUCCCCUUAGUACUGAGUCUAGCUCCUGUACUUCUGGCUACAACUACUUAUGAAACUACGAAACUACGAGUUUGGGCUGUAACCCAGGGCUACUACUACUGUACUGGCACCCGAAACUAUACUUGAAACUAUACUUUCUACUGGCUCUUCUCUAACUGCUGACCUUGCAGACCUCGACUCAAGUCCUUUCUUUGUAGUUGUCGACUUCACUACUUCCCGCCUCAAAGCCUUAUACUUACUAGUGAGAUUCUCAAAUUCCAUUACUAGAUGCGCUUACUGCCGCUACGCAUUAGUGGUUACUUGUCUGGGCAUAACCAGUGUAUUUACUCGGUUCUCUACCAAAAGUGGAAACAGAUUCUUCACCGGAACCUCUCUCGUCGACAACACAAUCAUAAACUUCAACUCAAGCUAGAGGAUACCAGGGCAAAGGGCUGUAAACCCAGAUUGUAUGAAUUGCCUUCCCCUCUUUGCCUUUAGAACGGGAACUGGUGAUUCGAUUCUCUUUCUUACUUAACAGCUUCCCUGGCCUACCUCUGCUCUGUCAACAAUACCUUCAUUCUGACUUUCACUUAUGGGCAUGCGAAACAAUAAAGUUCGAAUUUAGCUCCUUCUCGCCAACCCCAGUGCAACUCAUAAGUAAGAAGGAUACAACUACUAAUAAGAGUAAGAAGGAAACAAGCAUGACUUGAAACCCACAUAUUGUGCAGAAGACUUAGAAUUCCACUCAGUAGUAUAAGAAUGAAACCGAUACUAAUAAGAAGAAGACCGGUCCCUUUGUUUUAGUGACUGGACUCAGAGCCAAGCAACGACAUAAGACGUUGUGCGGCAGCCAUAGCCAUGAAAUAGUGAAGUUAUAUUUAGUUAGAACCGCCAAGACACUGGGCAAGUAACUACGUCAGUUACGCGGGCAGCUAUGAAUACUAUUGAUAUAGGAUUUGGAGGAUGAAACUCUACUGUCAUUGCAGCCCUUAACCGCACUGCUUCUUUCUGCUCGAGUCGACAACUAAGGUAAACAAUGACCUAUCCCCCUAUACAAGGAGCUAGAGCCAAGACUAUAAGUCCUUUCUCCACGACCGACGUAAACAACAGAGGAAACUACUGCUCUGAAAACGAAAACAGCUGACUAGGAAUAUGGCCCCGUAUCUAUACCCAGGCUAACGUAAGCUUACUUUUCUUCAGAUCAAGACUUGGAGCCAAGAACUGAUCUCACUGCUUAUGAUCCUGAUCUUUCAACUUGAACUACACUUCCUGUUAGCAUAGCACACUCUGUAAACUCCCAAUCUAUCUUCUCUGGCAACUGACACUUCUCCUCUUGCAACUAGCUACUAGCAACUACACUGGAAACUUUACCACUACACUACUAUAAGGGAUGGGCAUUUCUACUAGUUUGGGCUGGAAACCUUAACUACUCUACUGGUAUUCAACUAGCACCAGAACAGGACAACUACUUUACUUAAAGGAAGGGGCAAUAACCAUACUUUCACAGCUUACCAAGCCGACACCUCUCAUAACCAUACUUUCGAACUGGAACAAGUCAUUCCACAAGAAAUACAGAAUACAGCGGGCUCUGGCUCUUACUAGCUCAACUCUUUAACUCUAGCUUAGCUCUACUCUCUACAACUACUGGCUAAGAAUUCCACCACUAGUAAGUAAACUACCCGACCCUCCGCCAAGUAAGUAAACCACCCGACCCUAGUACGAACUCUUUGGGAGCCCUCAUUUCGCCUAGAAGUAACUACAACUACAGGUAUUCACCAACAACAAGAAAAGUACUGGCAACCGAAACUCCCCUUUCUUGACUUCCCCAUAAGACUUCUGGCUACCCUUUCUUUACUUCCCCGACUAGACCUCUGUUAUUGAUUACUUGACUAGCUGCCCUUUAGCGCUACUUACUAUGUUACUUGGCCCGAGCUCUAAGUGCUGUUUUUAUUCUGAUUACUCUUCCCCAGUAGCUGGGAAUCGGUGGUACUGGUUCCAUUCUGUCGAGUAGUGGUUGCAUUCUGGUUAGCACUAGCAUCAAGUCCGAUUAGCUCAGGUUGAAGUCUGACUGAACUGCUUAGCUGCUACGUGGGCAUGAGCACUCUGCUUGGCUCCUACUUAAGAGUAUCAUUCUGACCUAGCCCACAACUAUUGAAGAGUAUUCUCCUUUCCUUGGCACUGACUCAGAUCCAGCUACUGAUCUUAUAGAUUCAAUAAGAACAGGAUAUUCUCCACUGUAAACUGGAACAGGCCGACAAGGAGCUACUACAGCAUCAACACUGGAACCGACUCACUACAAGCAGACAGCUUUCAAGUAUGGGCAAGUACCGUAUUUUGAGUUUCAAUAUAAAUAGAAGAUGGAUUAGUUUACUCGGCGCGGAAGGGAAGAGAUAGAUCCAAUUCUGAACUUGAAGUAUGGGUUGGGUCGGGAAGCUAAGGGAUGCAACAAGAACAGAAAUCUACUUUUUACCAAAACCCGUGUUUUUUAAUAGCCAAGGGGAGCUCCUGCCGCGGUUUUAACUCGCUGACGCGACACAUUAGUAGUGUCUUGUCUAGUAGUUCCUUGGCCCGCUAAUAGAUCACCAGAUUUCAAUGAGCUUUUUCCGUUUUCCCGUGUUUUUUCAUAGCCAAGGUAAUUUCCCUCCUGGACCGAUCUAUUUCCAUGAUCUUUUCACGUUUUACCGUGAAACAACACUGCCGCGUAACAUUCUGUUCCUUGGCGGGUAGCAAUCAGAUUUCCCCUGCUAAAGGGUUCCAUUUCUCCUCUUUUUUUCAUAAACCCCGUGUUUUUUCAUAGCAAAGCUUACUUCCUCUAGCUCUUUGAACUCCAACAAAACAGGAUUUCUUUCCCACUCUUGACCUUCCCUUCCUUAACUUGGCUUUCGAACCUAGACAAUUAAGUACUACUUUCCUAGAGAAUUAGUAGAGCUAGAGCAACAACUAGAGCUAGAGCACCAACCUCUUCUCUUAGCGCCUAAGCUUGUUCUUCACUUUCUAUUAUUAAGUAAGGCAACUCCCUUUCCAUACUUUAGAACCAGAACAGGACCACUACCCGCGCCCAGUAUAAGUAAGUAAACAAGCCUAGCCUAACAAGUCAGUAAACUAAGUAAGUAAACUAAGUAAGUCAACAACACUACCCGAGUAAGUAAACAAGCCGAUCCCUAUUAACUUCUUUCAACAAGCCCAGCAGCUGGCAACCGGAAUAGCAAACAGUCAAUAUAUUCUAACUAGUUGUUCCGAGUCCUAAUUCCAAGGCGUCAGGGCCUCUAGUGUUUCCUGGCAACUACUAAAAGCACCAAUUACCCUAAGCAGAAUCGAGACCUCACCACCCGCUAUAGAACUCAAAAGGGCUGUUUUUGUCUACGUUGCUUGUAUAGUAGUUACUUGCACUUAUUAACGCAGCUUGCCUAUGAAACAUCCUGUCCCAGAGAGUGGCUUUGAACCUGUAUUGAUGUUAGGAAAAAUGCCAUAGAACAGCUGAGAAAGGCGGAGAUAGUUGAUUCACAAAGUUAUUAGUCAAUUCCAUUCAAGUUGACCAGAGAGAGAGGAUCGGUGCUUAAUCCUUUAGGGGAGAGUUCGGUGCUCUAGCUCCUUUCCUUGUAUAGGGCAGAGGUGAUUGUGUUGGUGACGCUGGCAGAAGAGGAUUGAGCUGGGCAUAAUAGAGUCAGACUUGCUUUAGUUGCUAGCCCUUACUAUUAAAGGUUAACUCCUUCUCUUACCCUGCCUUAGUAGCUUGUCGACUUGGCCCUUAGUGACUUGGCCAGCAUAUAGGGCAACUCAGUAGUGAGAGUCGGAAUUGACUAAGGAGUUACAGGCUUAAACAAGUACAACUCAGAAUAGACUAGUGAACAGAAAGACUCAAACAAACACCGAUCAGACUCAAGUCAGCUACUAAGACACCUAACAACGCGACUGAAACCAGUAACAACUAGAAUGCAACUGGCAACUAGCAGGCUGAAACAAGUGCUAACCGGAAUCGAACUACUAACAACAGGACUACAACCAGUGCCACUAAGCCUUAAAAGCACUAACUCCAAGAUUGAAACCUGUGGGAGCUAUACUGGAACCACUAACAACCCGACCCGAGUCAAAGAAUUCCACCAGCCUGGUAUAUAGAAGAUAAGAUCAAAUGCAUUCUUUGUUUUCAUAGGUGCCUUCCCGCUCUAACAGAUUGCUUUGGGUAGCCUUCUUCUCGAAUUGAAAGAGCUGGAUCGGGAUCAUAACCCCUAUUUCUAGAAGUUGAACCACCAAGCCCCUACUCAAAUGAGGCUCUCUUCUCUUUAUAUUGGUUUCGGAGCUGCUCCUGCUGAUUCUACCUUUGAUGCCAAAGGAUCAGGUACUGGCUUUGAUGCCAUAAGUUCAUGAGUUGGCGAAAGGGGUGUCGCGGGAAGGGGAAUCCUCAAGAAUUAUUGUUACCCCCCGCUCCCUAUAAUAGUGGAAAAACUGUCGUCAACUGAUUGGUCCAACAAGAAAAGAAUUAAGAGCUAGUGAGGAAGCGGGAAUCGAAGUUGUAUCAGAAGCUGGAAGUAAAGGCUUUUUAGCGAGGUGUACUAAUGAGGGUGUAGUUAGCAGAGAUGAGCCAGUACUUUCGCAGUUUCACCCUGACUUUCUUUCUUUCUUUGUCUUUGAAGACCUGAUUGAGAGGAUAGGCGGGCAACCAAGGAAAAGAGGCUAAAUCUAAAGAAUCCCAGUUUGUUAGCCAAAGGCGAGCAGUAACGCAGUGUUCGAACAAGCAAGGAAGGGGGAGGGAAUAUAUAAUCAAUCCAAAAGUGAACAAGCCGACUCUACGGAAGGAAUAUGCUUAGCGCGCAGAACUCGCUAACUCCACUGAGCUUCCAAUCAUAAAUGAGUAUUGGUGGGGUAAGGGAAGAUUAUCUCAAUGCGCGCGUCGUGGUCCAAGCAUUCAAGGCUGGUCUUGUCUUCAAGGGGAGUUUUGGUCGGGGAAUAAUAAUAAAGUGACAUUUUCGUUUUCAGAUCAAGAUCGGAGGCCUGAAUAGAAGAUGGAUCUGGAGAUAAAGCUUUAGCUGUAGAAAGGUUAAGGGCAGAAGCGUUUCGUAGAGUUCUUGUUUCAUCCUAGUCCACUUCUGAAUCCGCAGUAAGAGAAUCCGCAGUGCCCGGAAAGUAGUAUAGAAUGAGGCCGUGAUAGCCUUAAACGAUAAAGAAGCCCAACUCUAUAUCCGCGUCAACAGAUUGUGCGGGCCUACUAGACCUGGCGCUCGCUCCAAUUAGGACUUGCUACGGAAACUCAAUUAAGAAAUGACCUUUAACACCGAGAUACAGAAUGGAACUUGAAAACACCUCUAAUUACUGUAUCCGUAGUAGGAGAAGUAUCAAUAGAUGUAUAAGGAGUAGGAACAGACUCAGUGGCUAAAGUUCAAUGGAAAAGGGAAGCAGUGUAUUUCUCUUUACUUAUACCAGAAGCUCGAGAGUGAAAUUGAUAUUCAUGAGUAGCGCCCGUGGAGGGAGUCCCUUGUUUAAAGUCACGUUCGAAAGGAAUCUUCAAGUUCCGUUGAGUGGGGGUAUCUUAUCGAAUAAGUAAGUAUAGAAUCAGAGGCGAAACCAGUAGUAAGAGAAUCCGCAGUGAACUAGGGAAGUCUCCAAAAGAGGAAUCCGUUGUCGUUUUGUCAACAAGAUCAGGAUCCGUUCUCAAGUCAGCAACAGCAAAAGACUCCGCUGUAUCAGUUUCAAGAUCCGAAGCAAGCAGGAUAAGAUCUUUCUUAUGCCCCUUUGACUUUAUUCUUCCCCGAUAACUACACUUUAAACAAAUCAUUCCACUUGCUGCUGCCCUUACUUAUAUUAGGCUUGAUCAAGCAUCUAUCUAAUCUAGCUUACUUACCUAAUUCUAUAUGAUACCUAUAUCUUUCAACAAUAACUCAAAGGUAAUAACCGCUUGCUCCUUAACUCUUACUUGUCUAGCCUGUUUCCUUGUCCUUUUUUAGAGUAAUGUUUCCGGGUUCCAGAAGCAACAGCUAAAGUCAAACAAUCAUUUCUUACUGAAUUCAUUCAUAGAAUCUCAAACAAUCAUUUCUUAUCUUACUACUUCAUAUAAUAAUCUAGGAAAGUAACAGAGCAUUGCCAACUUGAUCUUAUCCUAACGCCGAAGACAGGAAUUGACCUAGAAACUCCCGAAAAUCGGAAUCUUUCUUUUGAGCGGUCAACGUAAACAAAUAAGAAAACCCACUCUCCCUGGCGCCACAGCUUAUGCUUCCGCGGAUGCUUAUGACUAAUAGCCAGUACUCUUUGGAUUCAAGUCGAACAGAACUACUUGUUGCUGACUUUGGCAGAGCUUCCUCUCUCUCUUACAAAGGGAAAAAGUCAAGUCAAACAAAGAAUUCCAAUAAGGCGUAUGAAGCACCACUUACUUAAUCUAUAAGAAAGUCACUGGUCACCUCAACUUCACUUUAAGAACAUUGUCUUUCGUCGACAACACAAGCAUCGAACCUAGCCUGCGCAGGAGCAAGAAGUCAUCAAGUGAAAGGACUGGGCGAUUAAGAACCAACCCCUACCCCUAUGUCUUGUUAAUACAAAUGCGCCCUUAACUACAAGGAAGCCUUAAAUAAGGCCUUUAUGAGUCGUUGAACAGAGGUUUCAUGGAGCUAAUGGCAAAUUACCUAUCUUGUACACUUACAGUAGUUCUAAUGCAUUCAUUAUUUGAUUAUAACCGCGGUAGGAGAGUGAUAUUUCUCUUAGCCCUAUCCUUGCUCAUACUUUCUUUUUACCUUGAGCACUACGUUACGUGGACAUUUUCUUCUCGAGUCUAUUAUUCUUCUGUAUAGUGUAGGGGGCAACAGAUUGUCCUGGUUACCGCUUUGACACCGCUGAUUCCAUGUAGGAUGACAGUCUCACUUCUACACUCGCUUCAGCAGUUUCUCAUUCCAUUCCACAAUUCUAUUCUUCCUUUUGAUAGGCCAUAUAGGGAAAAACAACACUCUUUUGCGUCGCCUAUCCUUUUGAUUCAUAAGCUUCUGUAACGGAACUCGUACUCGUACAUUUGCUUCAAUCAAAUAAUCUUUAUCGGCAGCCCGCCCUUCCUUUGCUUUUUGAAUGAAACUCGAUUGUAGUAGACCGCGCAGUUCUUAGUGUUCUAGAAAGAAUAGGUUUUGUUUAACAAUCCGUUCUCGCACCGGUAAGAUACGAGUGAGAAACCCCUAAAUGAACACUGCUGAUUCUGUUGAAACUGCUUAUGCAUAUGCUGAUGACUUAUAAACUCCUUAACGCAUUUGUUUCUUGCUUAGUUACCUUGUGUUCGAAGCAAGCCCUAGUUAUAGUUCUUUUGCCGACCUCGACUGCUUACUUUAGUCUUACAAGUCCUUUCUUCAGCCGUUUGAUGCUUACUUGCCUUGAAACCUCACAGCUUACUUGCGCCUUUACUUAAUAGCUAUUUCGGAUUAUUCUUAUGUAGAGUUGCAGACUAGGAUGACUUUCUAGUUUAGAGAAGAAGCUUUUUGAGUAUAAAGGAAAGGAAUAGUCUCAAGGUUCGGUUCAGUUCCAGGAAAGUAUCAAGAUGUUGGCGACGAGCCGAGUAGUUCAUCAAAGAAAAGAGAGUGAGAGUUUCCGUUUCGUUCGGAACUUCCAGUGCUUUUCCAGAUUCAAGUCGAGUUCAAGAAGCCCUUCCACUUGUUUGAAUUGAAAUAAAUAAGUAACAUAUGAGAUAAUAAAGUAUUCAAAAGAAAGCUUGACUCAACAAGCAACGUAGAAAGUAUAGCUUGUUCCCCAAAACUCACCUAUUACUGCUUGCUCUGCUCGGACCCUUUCAUAGAGAGAGCAUUGAUGUCGUCCACCCUUGAUUUUCUAUACGAGACUAAGAGCUGUAGUCGGGCCAUUGUGAGGGUAAACUAAUACGGACGUUGCUUGUUCGAACUCAUAACUCUGUUCGUAUACUAGGUGAGCACUUAGGCUUUCGAAACUCCACCUCCACUCAACAACGUACUCAGGCGAAAUCCAAUCUCAAAUAAAUCAAAUGUUCCAUAAUUGAGUAAAACCACUGCAUACAUAAAAUCACUACCGCUAUAGAGUAGUCGAACUCCAAGAAUAUUACUUACAUAAAGAUAAUCUCUCUAGUAUCAUGUACUCUAGUAGAAUGUAUAGAAAUUGGAACCGAACUAGCUACUCCAAUAAGCUGCUUAUGCGCCCUAUCUUCUUAUUCUUUCUGUUCUGCUACCCCCCAUUUGAAUAAAACGAAAUCUCACUGACAACAUCUAUAAGCGCUAUACCAUACUGCGAAACUUCCAUCACCUAUUACAGCUGGCUCUAAAUCAGAGGCACAUCCCCAAUAAUAGAAUGGAGUCAAAACCCUGUUGACAUCUUACAUAGCAAAACCUCACUGCAUGUUUCUGGCGCCGUUCAUCUGUUUAGUGAGUAAAGCAUUAAACAUAAACCAAUGUAGGGGUGGGUAGGGAGAGUGUGAAGUCCCCAAAGUAUUGAGAAUGAAAUCCUUUAUAUAGUAUAGAAAUAAGUCCCCAAGGUAUUGAUAAUGAAAUCCAGAAAGAGAAUGAAAUCCUUUAUAUAGUAUAGAAUAUUCAAGUAAACAAACAGAACAAGAAGAGGAAGAGAAUUGAGGCCUUGUUGGUCCCGAUUAGGAUUGUGAAUUGAGUGAGGCCUUGCUCCAGCGAAUUACUAACAACUAGUGGCUUGUUCCCUGCAACUCUAUGAGAUCUAUGAUCCUCCAAAGGUAUAAGGCCCCUUCCAAUAAUCAGCGGUAGCAAGAUUGGACUGAGGACGGACCGCGUGUCCAACAUUUCUCAAUGGCCAGCUUGAAUAUUGGCAAAAUGUUCCAUAUCUCCAUUCUACCUUGACUUUUGUCUGUCGAGUUACUUCGUUCCUCCUCUGACUUUAUUGAAAUAUAGUGAGUCAAAUAUAAUGUACCCUUGCAUCCAAAUCUGGCACUACAUAACAAGUCAAUAAAAGCAGAAAAUACCGUAUGCAUAUUAAGGUGUGAAAGGAGUCUCUAAAAAGCUUCGUAGCCAUCAUAGCUUAGCGAGACUAAUCGCGCUUGCGAGAGAGCAUCGAGUGGGUUUACUUUAAGCUGCGAGUGCACAAGUGGGUUACUUUAAGCAGCGAGUGGGCUGGUAUUCUUGUAGAUGGGGGAGCCGUACCUUAUAAUCAAAAAGAAGGAUGUUGUGGCGUCAGAUGAUUGAGAAAGCAUCCGAGUAGAGCUUAGUUGUGACACCGGACGAGUUGAUAAAUACACACUGGUUAUGAAGGAACUAGCCGUGAAGGUGGGUGGGUUCCCGAGCAAUCAUCAUACGAAAACGAAAACCGCGUUUGGUGCUUGCGCGCGUGAGAUGAGAUCCAGUAAGCUAUCUAUAUAUAGAGAGAGCCAGCUGGGUAGUUUUGCCUCAUUAGGGAGGAAAGAUGCGCAUGAAGAAGCAAGCGGGAUUAAGCAGAUGCGCUAAGAAUAGAUGAAGCAAAGAUGGAUCCGCGCUUAGGGCUAGGGCUGUUAUUGGUCGAACUCGUCUUCAACGUGUUGAGGCCAUACUAGAAAGAACCACGCCCACACCGCUGUAGCUCUAUGGCUAUAUAGACGCAAUAGGGCACUAAGAAUCCACUUGGAAUUAGUAGUUUCGGUUCAUAUCGGCAGGAAUGAGCCAUUCUGUAGUACGUAGUGGCGAGCUUUCAUUUCCGUUCAGUAAGUAGGGGAACGGCCGUAGUAGCUAGCGAAUCCACGUAGUAGUUGUGUUUUGUGUUCUAUCCAUUCUUUGGGUGUGAAAGAAACCAGAAAUGGAAUUGUAAGUAGCUUCAUAUAUAAUAAGAAAGUAAACAAACUAACAAGCAACGGAACUCGCUAACGUGAGGGGUGCUUAUUUCUAUUUUGCUGUUCUUUCAGAGUUUAGGUCCUAUUACUCUGGAGACUCUUAAGCCAUUGAUGUCUGGAAACCUUAUUGUUGGCUUCUGGUCUUUCUAAAGAAGGCAAGCCUCGUGGUAGUCCCGAGAUUAAGUACUCCCGCAGGCCGAGCCCCCUUCUUCUAUACCGGAAAGCCUCUAACCCUUACCACUGCUUCUUGCUUUUCCAAUCCCUAUUUCUAUUAUAUCUCUAUAUAUAUAUUAUUUCAGAUAGAUUUCUACUUCCUGCCUUUUCCAAUCCCUAUUUUGUCCAUUCUAUUUCUGUAUUAUGAGAGAGGUGAUUGAUAGAUUCUUUCUUUGACCACUGAUAUGCGAAUGAUGCAUAAUUCUUUUCGUUCGCAUCGGAGGAGUUGCAAGCCGAUCUACCUUAUGCUUAUGUCUGGAUAGAGAAUUGGAUUAUGGCUCCGCUUUUCUUGACUAUCCCGCUUUUCAUUACUUUAGCAGGAUAAGAAGCAUUUCGGGAGUCAAUACCUCUCCUCUUCCUAUUCCCGAAGCUAGUAAGAGUAAUAAGGUCCCAACUCAGAGUGUUGUUCUUUUUUAUGAUAUCGAAGCAAUGUCGUAUCCAGCUCCGUUCUAGUAGCGGAAAGAGAGAUCGAGAUGUGAGAUUCCGGGAUGAGUGAAGAACACUAGCAGCUCAGCCGCCCUAACGGAAAAAGGACUUGGAAAAAGUUGCAGCGCCUGACGCUCUUAAUAGCCUAAAGUGAGCUAAAAGCGCUAAAGGAGUUUGGGCUUGCCCUAUGUUUCCAGUUGAUUUCUUAAUUCAAUGCGCUAGCAAGUUCUGUAUUCUGGCCCUAUGAAUAUCUUCUCUUAUUAGAAUGCGCUAGAUCGUACCCAAAGAGCCAAGUAACUACUAAUGACCAACCCACCACUACUAGGCAAAACGGGACCUAAUCAACUUGCCUUAUAAUGCAUUUAUGACUAGAAGAUUUAUGGUCGAAGAAAGGACUUGUACAGGGUUUGAUGCGGGGAAGUGGAGAAUUGCCUGUUCGAGGUAAAGUUUCAAGGAAAGGUGUUGUCGACUCUCAAUCGGGAAUAAGAUAAUAGUACUCGGGCUUGCUUUGAAGGGCAGAAGAAAGUAUAGGCUUAGUUUCUAGGUGUGAGUGAGCGAGAUACUUUUCGUUCCUAUGGUCUACUGCUUUAAGGGGCGAGGGAAAUCGUGAGAGAACAGUCUUCCUUCAUCUGCUGCAAUGAUUCUUUCCUAUGGAUAGAUACCAUCGGUGAACAAAUGAAAUGAUGGAUUUAGCUUAUUGAUUGAGAAUUACCUCUUACAGAUGCACAUAUAAAGGAAGAUAGAUCGCUUAUGUCUAGGUCGCCCCGCUCUCGCUUUGCUCUCCCCUUGACUUCUGUCGUUGGACUACGCGCACAGGAUCGGUUUCAAUAAUGGCUGGAUCAUUCUGCCGCUGAAAGAUCACUUAAUCACACACAAGCAAGAUGAAGUGCUAUUCCACCGGUGAGAAGAGAAGAACUGGUACUUUAUGCGAAUAUUGAAGAAGCGAGAACACACUCGUGAUAAGGGCGGAAUAAGGGUAGCGGUAAGUCUAGACUACUACUUUCAGGGGCCAAAAGCAGGUUCACUCAGGACUACUAUACUACCUUUUGUUUGGGAUUCCACAACUAAUGAAGGGGAGUUCGGUGUCGGAUCGGAGUGGGAAUGGGAAGUAGCUCCCAAGUCCUGUGUUUGGGAGUUAGGUUAGUUGGUAAAGAGAAAAGAUGCUGUUCUAGACUCAACUCGCCCCCCUUCCGGCUUGGCACAGCUGAAAUUCCUUUACUAUAUGAUUUCUUUUCUUUUGCCCACCUCGACUCUUGCAACUAAUACCUCCUCGCCUCUUGCAACUAGCUAAUCUAACCCCUUAACUUUAAGCUCUUGAUGAAGAUACCUCGCAAGUUAAGAUAGUAUGACCUGUGCUCUGAACCAACCCAGUACACUUUCUUUACCACCUCUCCUCUGUAAACUAAUGCCAAACAGGUCACCAACGUAGGUAAGGGCUAAGUAUUUGAUAUAACACUAGCAAACUGACUAUACGGGCCCGAACAGGAUUGAUUGUCUCUCUCGAAGCCAACUACUAGAGCAGCUCUCUCCUCUGUAAACUAUUCAAAGAAUGAGGCUCUGUUACUUGGCCCCUACUAAAUGAUAGAUUCUCUUUAUAUAUGAGAUCUUUAUAUAUGAGAACUUCUUCUAGGAAAAUGGAUAAGUAAGAUCAACUACUAGGUGGGUAAGGCUCGUAAGCUAUGAAAGUCUAGUUAUUGCCCCUGAAAGGAGUAGUCCAAAGAGUAGAGGAAAGUUUACUUCCAGCCUAACUAUUGAACUCAGUAGUCAAAGAACCAAGACACCAAUAUUGGAAGAAAAAACAAUCAAUGAUCAAAACCAGAAAUCAAGAAUAUCAGAAUAAAGAAUUCCACCACAGUAUACACAUAGUAGGGGAAAAUAUAUAUCACUUUAUUAAGGAAACUAGAUUCCACUCAGCGGUGGGUAAGAAUUCUACUCUUAAGUAGGAGCCAAGCAGAUGCAAGCGGUAAGGGAGUUCAUUCAGCAAGUAAGAAGGGCGAGCUACUAUAGAGGAUCCAAUGAAGCAAGUCAGAGUUGCACUCAGUAGUCAAAGCACCCGAAACAAGACUGGAAGUGAAGAAGUUCAGAGCAGAUAUAAUAAGUGGCACAGGAACUAGUUAGAGGCUUUGAAGCGGGAAGAAAAGAAAAGACCCAUACUUAAGGGGGAGCAGCCCUGCCGCGCAACUUACUAUGUUGCUUGGUGGACUUGUUCAUAAGGAGAGGGAACCAUGUUUAUAGCACCGGGUCAACUAGGAGGUCAGUCUUAUUGUUAGGUAUCUUAGUUUAGUUGUUAGUGGUUUCAGUCGAGGUGGGCAAGGUCAGAAACAGAAUCAGGGUAAGGGGAGUCGGAACAAGAUCUGAAGCCGGGUGCUCGAUUUCGUAUGCAAGGAAAGAAAGUCAAUAAUGAGUUCAAAGAGACAGCUCUAAAGUGAAUGGUUAUAGUCUUCAGACCGGGAGUACUGUGGCGUAGUAGUACUGUUGCAUCAGUAGUAGGUAGUAGCCAUAGGAUAGGUAGGCAAGCUAGAACAUCUAUUUCCUCCCCUGGUAAGUACUGUUAGAGUGUUAGUGUAAUCCCGGUAGUCCAGGUAGUACGAGUUGACAGAGGAGACCCCCCUAGCUCCUGUUCGAAAGUGUAGUAGGCCUAUUCGCCAGUGAGAAAGAGAGAAGCAACAGAGAGAAUAGUUAGAAGUUGCCAUAGCUCGUGGAGUCAUAGGUAAUAGUCAGCAUCCCGUAUUGGUUCAACCAGUAAGCAUCUAGUAUUGGUAUGAACUCUAAGGUCUCGAUUCCCCACAUCUAGGUACUCAGUUCAUUCUUUGCCAGUAGUUUAGAGUUGCUAGUUUGAUUCUGAUUAUAUGUAAACUAACCACUCCAGAAAUGAAGUAUGUAGGGUUCAACCUGAAUUCUUCUCCUAGUGAAGUCAACUCUAUUCUCUACCUUUCUUACCUUGAGCAAGUCUAUAAGUAACAAGUACUAUCGGUAUUCAACUCAAACUAACUAACUUGUAAUACUCAUCUAACUCAGGCAAUAGGGUGCUUAAUACUAAGAUAGUAAAUGAAGAGGGGCACUGGUAUCAGGCUUAGAUGCCCUGGGGUUAAGGCUGUUACUGACCGGUUUCAGGCUUAGCCCCUACCUUACACAACUCUAAACUCCCCUCUCUGACAAGGAUAAGAACAAGUAGGAAAUUCCAUAAGCAAUAAGUGGUAUGGUCUGCCCUGUAUUAUAGGAGAAAACGGAAUUAGAAGCUCUCUUAGGUGGACUUCUCCAGCUUCUGUAUCAAAGUAGGAAUUACUGAAUUUCACUAACAACUAGUAAUAAGUCAUUUAAGAAUUCCACAAAUAAGUCACAGAAUUGACCUCCUUCUCGCCAAACUCCCUUUGACAUAGAUGCUUGCCCGGCCUGGCCUCUACUUAGUCAACUCCAUUCUUAUUGUCUGCCUACCUCAACUCAAGCUUUCAUUAUAUAUUAGGCCCGCUCUUGCUUCUGUUGUAACUACUGAUUCUCGGGUUACUCCUGACUCCGCCUUCUCUUGGGAGUCCUGUCUUCAUGGCGGUACAACAGGGCACAGGAAUAGUUGAAAAGACUCUCACUUUAUAUACCGAUCUUUGCUUCACUGGCUUGGGCUUAUACUCCUUACUUCCGUCCUUACUUAUGCGUAUGCGCUUUAGGCUGCUACUGCUUCAUCUAGGUCUACCGCUCCCUGCUGAUAAAGUCAGUCUGUCGUUCCCUUAGCUUGGUCUACCUCUCUUUGUUUUGAGUAUUACUUUCCUUACUAGAAUUCUUUACUUGCAUAUUCAAUCUUUCGGGCAGGAAUCCGACUACUCACCAAUAAGACUUACCCCACUCACCGGGGGAAUACGAAUACUACUAUGGAAUACAGUAACCUAUGGAAAUACUAAUACCACCAAUAAGAGUUGAGCUUGGAACUAAGACUUGCACUAUUGAUCCGGGGAUCCUUACUUAUGAGGUUUAAGACCUUACCCUGUCUUUUAUUCUUUCACUGCAGGAACCAAGGCAGCCCCGUUGUCCACUUCAUUAUUGUAUUGAUAGCGUGAGUAUGCCACUAUAGGAACAUGAUCCGGAUGCCCACUACUGAAAUUGAUAUGUGUUUUUUCAUAUGAUAUUCAAUAGUCGUUUUCGUAUAGUAACUAGGUCGAAAAGGGUGACUUUUUCUUCUCUUUUUGGAGCCAAACAACUUCUCUUUUUCUAUUGGACUGGACGAUAGAGCUCUAGUUCCGGCUUCACUGAAGGAUAGGCGGGCCAGCAAUAUGGGCAAGUAGUUUACCAAGGAUACAAGAUGCCGGGAACCAGUAAUAGAAUAAAAGUAAGUGAAGCAAGAUCCGAGGGUAAUAGGCGAAGGCCGGGAAGGCGAGACAUACAUUCACAUUAUGAGGGCAGCUUUAGCUGCCAGCGAAUCCAAGUAAUUAGUAAAAGACUUUAGUGUGCUAGGGAGGGAAUUCCACUCUUAAGUAAGAUACAUUGGACUGGGAAUUAAUAAUGGAACUAGGACUUCUCAGAACCAGCACCCCAGAAUACAGAAUAUACUUACGCCACUGAUUGAUGAGAAUCGAAACACCCGCCUAGCCUAGCAAGACCAAGAAAGUAGGGUCUAAUUAAGAGUAAGCCUGUUUGACUGCAGCUAUAUUAUAAAAAGCAGUAGAUCAAUUCUCUGUUUCGAGUUAAGGUCUCGCCAGAACCUAGAACUAAAACUACCUGGCAAAGACAACUGCAAUAAAAAACAACAUAUAGUAUAUUUAUGUAGAGUUCUCACUUUAGAUGUGUUCGGCCAGUCAGUAAGUCGCCGUAGAGUAUAAAGGGCCCUUUACUGACUCCAAGGCUACCUUGCCUAUCUAUUACUCUUGGACUUAUUACUUCGAUUCUUCUAACACCAACUAUAGGCCUUCUCCCCUUCCAGUACUUGCAUUAUUUAUUGAUAGCUCUAGUCUGCUACUCCUCUGUCCCAGGCUUGCCUUACUUUAUCUAAGACUUACUUGUUUGACUCUAUUACUUCACUCAAUAAUCAUUGUUAGUCGAGUGGUUGUUUGGCGUUUAGUAGUGACUUUACCUGUCCUCGAUUCGUUAUUUUGUUUCCAAGGCUCUAACCAAUACAACUCGGCCUUAUACCCCAAACGGAGAAGCCAACUACAGCUCAUAGGGCUUUCAACCUCAACUAGGAGCCCUACUACUAAUAUCAGACCGGAGCUACUGGUUCUAAUACAAUAUCUGGGAAUAAAUCAACUUUCAGCAAUACUACUCGGACCUUCCCUAAAAUCUGACUUGCAAACUUCGACUCCGCUCUUGCAUUCUAUGAUUGUAGCUUCAAUCUCCUUUGCGCGGAUUGCUAGGAACUACUGGCCCGGGUAUGACAUGACUUUCUCUUUAUAGAAUAUAUAGGAUUGAACUGGCGCUAACAGGACAAUAACUAGAACCUGGGACCUCCUAGUAAGCAGGAACCAAACAACUAUACCGGAGAAUUUCGCUAAUAAGUAUAGGAUCUAAGUGGAAACAAAGGUGCUACUUAUACUUAAAUGAACAACUGGGGAUCGAACACUGCCUAGCAAGACUCUCACUAUUGCUUUUAGAGUACAACCACUAGCGAUAAGAGUUGCCCCCACUAAUUAGACUCCUUUAUCCUGUUAUGUUGCUAGUACCCUUCAUUCUAUAUUCGUAGCUUCAAACUUCUACUAGUAGCUCUUGACCUGGCAUUCCUUGGUUCUUAUGCUCCUCGGUGAAACCAUUGCUUCCGUGUUUUAGUAUGUAUUACUUCCCUUUCUUUCGUUCUGAAACUCAAUACUUGCAUCCUAUCUCCUAUGUUCGAUUGUCGGCCUACUACCAACUUACUCCUAUCGGAAUCAAACUAGGAAAUCCACUCGGUGAGCUCAACCCGGGCCAAGCAAAUAAUACUAAAUGAACUAAACUCAAAAAGGGGCCAGAAUAUUAAUGACACUACAAACAAGACUCUCGCAGCUGGCUUCCACGAAGAAAUAAAAGAAUACAGAAUUGGCUACUUAUUCCACAUGGCAUAUUUCCUAGAUACAAUACAGAGUAGCGGUAUUUACUUAAGCCUUCCUUUCAGUCCCUUGUGCCCGAGUUGGUGUCUAGCACCUUUCCUAAUAAUAAUGAAUUGGAUCACUGCUCCCUUGUCUAUGUGCCUCACGCUACUUACGGAAAUUAUGUAUUAUCACUUUUGCUCUUCUACUACUAGCUACCAGAUUGAACCGUGCCUAACAGACACCAGUGUGCUCUCUAAGACGACUUUCGCCCCGGCUAAUCAGAACAACGUCAAUUGUCAUAGGGAAUAGGAACAGUUACAACGAGACUUUACUGGCGGAUACAGAAUUCUACUUGUAACUAUAGGGCUGAUACUGCCGAUAGAAAGAUGGAAAAAGGAAAACAGGAAUCCAAUUGACUACUCCGCCAACUCACUCUUACUUUAAUGCCUAUAAGCCUGGCGCGCUACUGACUUCGAAGCUGACCUUAACGAACCAUACCCAUAAACUCCAUUCUGUAUUUCAAGAUUCAGUAUUACAGGACCCCUGGCACACCCUUUGACUAAUGAAUUGGAUUUUUGCUUUCCAACUGCCAACUAAUGGUUUCUCGUUCUUGAGCUACCGGCUUGGAUUCUGUAACUGGAAUACUGGGUAUUGUAUUUCACUAUUACAAAGUAGAACUGAGCUACUACUGAUUAGACUGCUCCACCACUAUAUCAAUGUUUAAACACAUUAUUAUUAAGUCAAUGAAAUAAGGCAUUGAAGAAAUCCAAUAUAGAUUCAAGUAAGUAAGGGAAGGCUAACUGGCAGAAGGGGCAGACGCAGACUCGGAUAAUAUGCAAUAAGUAUGGCAUGUCGGGGGGAGACAUUAAUAAGGCUUGGGCUACUCAGCGCCAUUCUUAGAUUGGUGAAUUGACUUCUGUAAGUCAGGUUUUGUUCCAUAGUAAGUUGAAUCUCUUAGAGCGCUGUUCUACUCUUUGACUACUCGGUUUCAUUAGAACUUUACUACUUGAAAGAGAUAUUCUAUGGUGGAUUUACAACUUUACAGAAAUAGGCAUAGGUGGGCGAGAAAGAGUUCCUACUCUAGUUCUGGUUCGAGUUAUCUUCUUAUAGUGGGUAGUGGAAUUUCUAUUGGGUAGUUUCAUAGUAUUCUUUGCUUGUAUAGUAGUUACUCGUCGUCUUGGUGGUCUUAUUUUGACUAGUUGAAAUACCGGGUUAGAGUUAAAGCUAUUAGGCUACGUUCUUUUACUGCCUUCCUUGAUUCUAAGUUAGAGUUAAGGUCCCAUCCGUACUAGCCAGCAGCUGACGCUGCCCUCUCCUUAUUAAGAGCAUAGUUCUCUAGGCGCCGCCGCUUUGUAAUUCCUUAUUUGAAGACCGGAUCAGCUGUUAAAGAACGAAAGCAAAGAGAUAUGGAUGUCGUGUCCGAGUAGUUGGAAUCAAAGUAAAGGUAGCUAGACUUAAAGCAAGUAAGGAAAGGCUCACUUCUGACCUGAACUAAGUAAUGUUAUGUUAGUCGCAGUUGGAUUCCUGCUUGAUAGAUUCGGUCUUGGAAGUAAGUGCGAAAGCCUGUUAGAGUAGCUUGCCUCUUGUUGUCAGUAGAUUGAUUCCUCAUUAAUAGAGAGAUUACCCACCUAGGAGAGAAGCCUUGUAAGCACUAGUAGAAUUCCCUAUAUGGAGUUAUCGUAGUAUAAGCCUAUGAGCCCGACACCCAUUCUGACCUUCCCUGCCUGAAAUCUAGAACUAUCCAUUUGCAAACUGACAUUGCUUGAUCUUAUUCUGACUAUCCGAUAUCCGAUUCUGACUCGCUAGGUUGAGUAUCCUUCCUGGGCUAUCAACAACAUAAUUGGAAGAAAACCACCACCAACAGGACUUCCGCUCAUACUACUUUGAUUUAUACCUGGGCCAGCAAUACCUCAAUUCUUGACUACUCUCUUAGGAAACCAGUUGUUUGUCUCGUCUUCUCAUUCUUUAGUUAAUGAUCGAUCCGUUUUACUUACUUCAAAGCUAAGCUGGCUUUCCUUUAUUUACUCCGAUACUAGUACCGAUUAGACUUUCGCUAUUGAUCUCAAAGCUUGCUCCACUGGCUAUGUGCCUCCCCUUCCCUUCCCAAACUCUGACUCCUAUGACCUUCAAUACCUGUGUUAGAGCAUCAGCCUGUAGCAACUGCCUAAAAGUCUGGAAGUUAGUCCCUUCCUACUAGCUCCCUAGGCGCUCUGACUUGAACUCCCUUCUUGCUGUACAUGCUUUCAAUCUUAUAUUCCUUUCUCUUGGCCUGUGACUCAUACCUUGUUCUCCGCCUAUGAAGCCUUACCUCAGCUAUUUAUCUACUGAAUCGGAUCCAGCUUAACACUAUCCUUCUGUGCUUCCAUUCCCGGGCUUCCACCUGUCACCUGUCAUUCUUUAUUCACUCAUUAGGGCUUAGACCUAGGCCUGUCCUGUUAUUCCUAUACUAUAUAAAUAAGUAAAAGAGUGAACCUACCUCUCGCCCACCUACGCACCCCUCCCUAUGAAAAGUAGGAAAUACACCUAUACGCCUAUGCCCCACCAACGAAUGAAACAAAGAAGUCAGACACUCCCCACCCACUAACUCGGGCUAACACACCGCUAACCGACUUGAACUAGUGGGCAAGCAACGUACAAUCAACGUACAACUAAGUAAGAGCCAAAACAAGUAACAACUAGUCAAGCACGGAACGAGACCAACCCUACUCUACUAUAUUGCAUUGCGUGUAUCAAGGGUAGAGGUUUGAUAUUCUAAAUCAGAAUGAAAUCAAUUACUUUAGAGUUAAUCCUAUGUGUUUAGCCUGGAAAUGCAUCUAGAAAUGUAUAAGUAGAAGAUCGAAGCGGAAACAUCAGAAGUUCACUCAGAAGUAAGGAUACCUCUGUCUAAGUAGACCAAUAAUAAUAUAGCGUACACAUAAUCAGAAUUGAGGCUUAACUACUUAACUUAGGGCCGAUGUAAUUGAGCCAACACCAAUGAGACUAUAGCCCAGAACUUGUACUUCCCUUACUGCCAUAUAAAGCGGCCCUGCUCCACGCAAGAUAAGGCUAACUGCCCUCACCUUAAAACUGCAUUUCAUCUUCGAUUCUUAUAAUGUAAACAAAACUCUGGUCUAUCAGACUCACUACCUAUUCACUAAGUCUCCCUUUUCUAUAUCUCCUUCUGUUACGGGACCCACCUAGUGCAUCUAACAAUAGAUUAUAGCUCUACCCUUACUUGCUAGAGAACUCAGCUUACUACUAAAGGAAUGACUUCUAUUUAUAAGAGAACAACUUGAAAGUCAUAUUGACUUGACCACCAACAAGACUGACUUUACUAGCGGGUAAAUCCACUGCUGCUAACAGGGCUUUUGUUAACUGCUAUCAGAGUACUACGACUACCAAUACUGGAACUGGAACCGGGAAUCCAACACCCCAGUCUAAUACCUGGAACAAUAAAGAAAGAAAUCCAUUAGUGCUUCUCAGAACGUAGCUACUGCCUAUGAAAGAAAGCCUACUGCCACUAAAGAGCUUGAAGUCCUUGGCCACCUUCUAUGGUUCUUCAACUAACUAAAAACCAAGAAAAGAACAAAGAAAUUGUACUCGGGGAGAUGUAUAGAGACUACUCCAGCCGGUAUAUAGGGCAAUACUCACUACCAAGAGCAAACAAAGCUUUAAAGCAGUAAUAGCUUGCAAGGUAGACAGGAGCUGCAUCGCAGUACACGAGUACAUACACAUUAACGCUCACGGGGGUGUAGAACAAAUGUGCUCCAACCAUCUUGCAGAGGGGGAAGUCGCUCAUACCGAGGGAGAUAGCCUAUCACUCUUAGAAUUCGCCUACGUACCUCUAAUAAGCACCAAACGGAUGAAACUCAACCUAACCUAGCGCUUCUAAGCCAACAACAAGAACAGGAACAGCCAAGGAAAAGAGGUACGCAAGGGAGACAAUUCCAUAUAUGAAGAGCCAGAUCUUGUAACUUCAAUUGACUUAAGGGCUUGACUUGCAACUUCAAUAAGAACAGGAACAGGGGAUUCCACUCCUAAUGAAAGGGAUUCAACUACUCUACUACUAGUUGGUGCUGUCAACCAGUUCAGUCUCUUCUUAUAAUGUAUUCGUUGCUUGGCCUUUUCAACUGAUACUGUCGAUAAACAGACUCGCGAACUACUGCUACCAAGUCUCCCCUCUCCCGCUUCCAAUCUAAUAUUAAUGCUCAUAGGUCUGAUUCCGCUGCUAACAAGACUUCUGCCCGUGUCAACAAAACAAUGCUUGAACUUAUAACCCUUACUGUGUAUCUAAGCCCGUAGCUAAUACCUUUUUUCACUAUGCCUUUCCUGCCUUACAUGCUUUAACUAAUGGUCUAAUUCCCGUAGUUCACCUCUCUUAGCUUAGCCCACCACUCCUAGCUAUCAAACUGAAACUAAGGCCUUACACUCAUUCUUUUAGUGCUUCUUUUCAUUCUGAUUCAGUUAACUUAUAAUAAUGCAAAUAUUAAUUAAUAAUGAGUAAUCUUGCGCCGCUUACUUGUCUAGUGUCUUGGUCCGAACACAUCAGUCACUGACCUAAAGCCUGACUCACCGGGUAGGCAACCUAGAACACCGCUCCGCCUUAGUGUCUUGCUUAUUAGUUUCAAACUAAAGCUGGUACUUCUUAUACUGUAGCUAUUGAUCUAACCAAUACCGGUAAGAAGCACACUCAUAACUAGUAAAUCACUACUACCCAGAUAGCCUUAACUCAAAGACGGCAAUCCAACAACUAUUGAUGAGACUGUAGCUACUGACUACUAGAUAACACUACUAAUAUAUGGAAUGCACGACUACCCACUAGAUCAAACACUGCACUAUGGAAUUUGGAGCUGCUGCUGAUGAGACUUGAACCAAUGCUAAUCAGAACGAAAACACCUGUAAGAAUAGCUAGCCUUCUAAGACAACCUAGUAAGCCCUACCUCCUUUCAGCAAGUAAGGGCAAGCUCAUAAGGCAAUAGAGCAAGGAUAGGGAUCAUAACUACAGAAACAGAACCCAAUUAAUAGUUAUAAGACGAAACAUAGGCUGAAACUCCAAGUAGAGAAUAAAGGUAGUGUAAAAGACAACUACAAUAAAUAACUCCACAUAAUGUACUUAGUACGAGUUUCUUACUUCGGAUGUGGUUAUGGCGGCAGGUAGCGAGUUGGGUCUCGUGCUCCUGUCUUUUGUUCCUUAACGCUGACUGUGGAUCCUCUAUUGAACCUGUUAGUCUGCCUUUGCUUGUGAAAAGUCUUUAGCUACUUACUUGAUUUCUUGUAAUACUGCCUAUGAUCCUUACUAUACUUUGACUUUGAUUCUCUACUUUAUCUUGGGCCCGGCACCCUUGCUUGCUAGUUAAAGAAGCCAACUACUCAUUCGAAUAUGAUAACUCGAACCAGGGGGUAAUAACAACCAAUACUUAGGGGAAUCAUAACAACCAGCACCCAAGGGAAUCCAACUAUGGGCAAACUGACUUGAGCUACUACUUCUAAGAAGAGAUCUGCCCUACCUAGCUAUCAUUCUGACUAUACCUUUGAUCAGCCUACCCUUCCUGACUCUUAUUCUUUACCUAGUGAUCCGGAUCCUUACUCAUUUGGUUUAGAACCCAACUACUACUAAUAAGGGUUGAGCACAGAACAUAGACUUAUAUAAUGUCUAGCGAAUCUUCCUAUUACUGAUAAAAUACCCGAACUUGGUUAAGCAGACUGCCGCUACACAUUACCUGUUAUGUUGAUGCUUAGGUUUAAGUCCUUCACUGCUUAGUUUCAUCUUUGUUACCUCGCCUUUCCGUCUGCGACUACUUGAUCUAAGGCUAACUCCGCCUCUCCUAGCUAUAAAACGGAAAUGACUUAUUUACAUUCCCGCUUGCCCACUACUUUCUUGGGUUCUGUAUUACCUAUUAUUUCACUGCUGACUUAAAAGCUGUCCUUACUCGCUAUAGGUCUCACUGUCCUUGCUUCGAUUCUAUGUAUUCUUCCUGACAUCUCUGCCUGUUAGUUAAAGAAUAUCCACCCUACUAAUACUGAUUUCAAUCAUCGCCAACAAGCCUUUGACUACCACUCACACGAUCCCCGCUUACAUGCCUCUACUCCCUUAGGCUUUCAGCACCCGAACCCACUUCUUUACUUAUAGCUUAAAAGCCUCUCCUCUGUCAACAACUACUGAUGAAACGGGUUCCCUUGCCCACCUCUGUUGGAUUAUACCUUGCAUACCUAGACUCUAAAGUCACUUAGGAUAUCCCUUUGAGCCCUCUCCUCUUUCUCGCCUACCCAUCUAUAUCUGACAUGGCAAAUGAUUCUAUUUCCACUUUACAACUGGACCAGACCACUUACUAAUGCUAAGGUAGGGGCAUACAUACUAUACUAUAUUACUUAUUACAGGCAAGGAAGCACUAACGGUAUGAAGACUCUCAUUGCAGCUGACUUUGGCAAGCCUCGGAUCCUUCUCUUGCAACACCUGAUAGAGAGUCGACAACCUCAACUCACACUGCUGAAGAAUUCUUAGUUGACUCGGCAACUUACAAUAAAUACUCUGUGCUCUCACUUUUAUAAGCAUUACUCAUCCUAUAGCCAAGCAGUAUAUCCUGGGAAGACCUUUGCUUAUGGAGCACUUAUCGUUUUGGCCUUUCUUUGCCUUUGUAGUAGUGACUGCAUUGAUUCUUCAAAUUCUAUAAAUGAUUUCUUAUAUAUUAUAUAAUAGAACAAUAGAACUGAUGAAACUGCUAAUGAGUCUGACCUAGAACUGAUGAAACAGCUAAUGAGGAAUUAACAGUAAAGCCUAACUGCUUCCCUUUCUGACCCAACUAAGACAGAUUCCACUGGCAAGGAAGCACUAAAUAGCCCCGGGGUGAAGACGAAACUAGGGAUGAAACCUACUCCUAGUAAGCGCUAACCUAGGAACUCCGCCUAUAUUCCUUCCCCCCUCUCUCCUUCCAACAAGCCCAGCAGCUGUCAACUAUUGACUGACUGAAUGAGGCCGGCUCCUCUACCGUAGUUAACAAAUACAGAAAUGGACUAGCGGCCCUUUAGCCAUGAAUACAGGACUCAUAGGGGCACCGAACUAUAAAGACAGAAAUCAACCCUGCUUAAUUGACUCAUUGCCCGGACUGCCGCCCGAACAAAGCACUUGGUGUUAACUCUAUUAUUAACUGACUGUUUCUUGUCUGCUUGGCCGGUAUUCCACUGGCAUUAAAGAAUGAAACUUGCUGAUGGCUCCUAUAGCUCGUUAAAGAAUCUAUCUCCUAUAGCUCGUUAAAGAAUCUAUCUCCUAUAGCUCGCUAACUUUCAUUCUCACUUGCGGAAUUCUUAUCCUAUAACUCCGCCCCUAACUCUAAUAAGUGUUCACCCCGACCCGAACGAAACUUUCCACUUACUUUACCUCGAACAGCAUCUUUUCUCUCUCCUAUAGCUCUGGCAACAGGCAAUACUUCUGACUUUGUUAACUACUGACGAGUUUCAUUCUUACUUGAUAACUGGAACUGGGGCAGACCUGCUUGCGCCAUCGGAUCUAGCUUCUAUUCCACCUCUUACCUAUGUCCUUUAGUAGUAGUAGCACUGGUAGCAAUGCCAAUAUUACCCUGCAAACUGGGAAUUCCGCAUCUGUAUUCUGAUACGACUUCUUCAACACCAAAGCUAUCCUUUCUUCACCGACUACACUAGCACCUAACCUAUCUUAUACUGGGCCAAGCAGCCAAGCAACGGCUACUGAUGCUGAUUCUAUUUCUUCCCUUGAUUCUUCUGUCACUCCUAUUGAGAUUUUCCCUUGAUUCUUCUGUCACUCCUAUGCUCUCGAUCGCGUAUAUAGUCCCUUGUUCUUAUUCUUUCUAUGGCAUCUUAUCUUCUCUUUGGAACCCCUGAUUUCAGUAUGAUUGAGGAUCCCCUUCAUUCUCGUAUGUGAUGAAUCCAUAGAUGAUCAAAGGAAAUCCGAUUUCGGCAUGAACCCGCUUACAACUCAUUAUUGAUUGAACCCGCUUACAACUCAUUCGUGAUUGAACCCGCUUACAACUCAUUAUUGAUUUCCCCUGUUAGUCUGCCUCUAACUCUACUUGGUUUCAACCUUGUUGAUUCUUUUCUGACUCUUUCCUAUGCUAUGGUUAAGGCGUUGGUGCACAUUCCACGGUUCUUACUAUUAAUAGGCGUAUUUCUCUUCCAGGGUUUCGAGGUUCGAUCUCACAUUACAUUACACUCACAUUACAUUACAGGUUAUCGAGUAGUUGCUAAGUUCACUUGUCUCUGCUUGUCUGUUCUUUUGAGUUUCUCUUGUUUGAUUACAAUACCCUAGCCCUACCAGAACAAGUAAGUAAACGAAUUCUUCUUUCUGACCUCUACUCCCAGGAUUGGAUACCUUGCGAAGGAUACCCUGGCUAAGAAAUGCACUGAGAAAAGUAUAAGUACGAUCCCCUAAGGCAUCAGAUAAGGUACGAAUGAAACUACUCAUUCAACAUAUUUGUAUAGGACCUACAAACGGAAAGUAAGCCUGCCAUUCCUCACUCUAAAGCUACCGACCUCAGAUCCGUGCCUAUCCGCGCCUUUCUCUCAGCUUUCUUACUGCCCUGGCUUUCAUGUCUCCGUUCCUGCUACUACUGCUUGCAACUCCUAUGUGCGAGUCUUCUUCUCCUUUCUUUCAAGUAGUAAAUACAGAGUGCAACUCAACAGUACAAUAAUGACUCAUAAGUAGGGAAUUUUACCCUAAAGCAAGAAUCCAUCAAGUAAGUCACAGAGCGAAACCCAAUAGUCAAAGAAUAAUGGAACAUAGGAAUGCCGGGCAGGAAAGUCAGCCUCACUGUUUCCAUUAAGACUAGAAGGAAGGAUCGGCAGGUUCACUCUCGAACUGUAGAAUACACGACAUGGUUCUCAUACUUUAAGAGGGAGGCGGCCGGUAUUCUCUUGCUGAUUCUCUUUGUGGGCGUUAUUUAAGUCUUAGAGGUGAUAGUUUUGUUUCCCCUACUAAUGAGUUGAUUUCUCCGACUCAAGAGUGUAUUUCCCCUGCUUGAGCUUAGGUCUUAUACCAAUGGGGAAACUCUGAUGCUUGCUACUCAAACUAUUAGUAUAUAACUAGAUGCGCUAGCUGUACAGUACAGACUUAGGCUUUAUACUUCCGGUAUAUAUAGUUCACUUGUGAGCCUGUGCCCCUCGUAAUUCUUCUUCUCUUCUUGCUAUACCUUAUUUAGCCUGCCUUUCAUUCCUAUACUAUUAAAUAUUCAUCUGAUUCCUAUGCUAAUAAGGAUCACACUACUGCGGAUGAGGCUACUACUACUUAAUUUCAUUCAUACUUAUCAGAAGGAACACCUGGGCCCUAGACCAUACCACCUUGCUAGAUUAGAUCAUAGUCACCUACCCUAUUCUCAGUAUCCAAACUUCAGAGUCACAUUCUUAUGUUCCGUACUCCAUUCUGUAAUUCUGAUUUCUCAUAGAAAAACCAUAUCCUUCAUCUACAUUUAUAGGAUUAACUACGGAUUAACUACAAUAACACAUAGGAUUAACUACCAAUUAUGGAAUUCUUAUUUGCCAUAGAAAAACUAUAUCCUUUAUUGCCUAACACCAAGCUAUGGAUUGCCGCCUGCCACGCAUUUUCCUUCGUAGGAGCAGCAUUUUCUCCAGUCAUUUCACUAAUAGGUGUGAGCAACGGAGAAUUACAAUAAGGGGGGCGGGUUUGCUUCUUUAGUUUGAGCUUCAAACUUCGACUCCAGAUCUAACAUCUAGCUUGUCACUUUCAUUCUCUGUGUUGUUCCCUUCCAUUCUUAGACUUAUUUCUGCAAUGCCUAGUUAUGAGUUAAAGCAUUAGUUCUGAGCUAAGGCCUCGUGCACCUCUCGGAAGCCUUAAGCAGGAGGUUGACUCUACAGAAUUUCCCUCAGUAGUUUAAGAAUGGGACUCAUCGGUGAGCUAGUAGGAGCCUAAGAAUCAAACCGGGGAAUGAAAGAAUGAAGCAGUGUUGUUACGAGAAGAAACAGUGUUGUCUCAAGGAACCGAACCGUAGCAAGCAGGAAGGAAAGUGUAGUGAAGGGAAUGGGGAAUCCAAAUAAAGGGAGACAAUUCCAUGUGAGUUGCAACGAGACCCUUAUUUUGGAAAGGGUGCGCGAGCAGAGCAAGCAAGUGCAAUUCCGGGUCGGUCUUUCAUCAAGUGGAAAGUCUGGAUCAAGAUCUUAAGCGGGAAGAAACUGACCUUAAAGUGGAGUGGAAUCUGUUUGUCUUAGAGAAUGUCCUGUAUUGCCUUCACUUGCUAUCCUUGCUCAAACUAAACGGAUUGCCUUUACUUCUUAUGGGUCGGUGAUUGGCUUUCCCUUGUAAUUGAGUUCAAGUCAAGAAGUGUAUAGAAAAAGACAAUAAGAGUCAAAGAUAGAUUCACUUCAUACAGUUUCUAGUAAAGGGAAGGGAAAGAAUUCAGUAAAGGAUUGGAAGCCCUAAGUCAAUCAGUAAGUGAAUCCCUGACCUCCAGUAAGUUAAUCCGUUGCCCUCAAUCCUGACCUCACAGGUCAUAUUCUUUCUUUCUUACUAUCACAGCUUCAACCAAGAAGGGGGCACUCAAAGUUCUUCCAGAAGCCGGGGGGCAUGUCAGAGGAUGAUUUGCAGGAGCGCACGCUGCUUAGGCAUUGGGUACUUCCGCUUGUGUCGUGUUACUAUACUGUACUGGCUUCGGAUUAUGUUACUAUUGAAGAAGCCCUUUCAGGCCCCGUAGUAGCAACAGAUUGGCGUGCCCAUAAGGACGUAAACUCAGUUCUCCAAAAGUAUGGUUGACUUUUUCAGAUUGACGAUCGGAUCGCCUCCCUUGGUUUGGACUAUACAGCUCCUUUAUGAGUUCCUCACAACUCGGGUCAUAAUUGGGGCGGACUCCUUCUCGGAUGCAAUGCAGUGGUCUUCUCUUUCUAUGGGUUUUCUGCAGUGGAACCUGUCAAGUUAAGUAUUUGAAUUCACAGUGGGACGUUAUCAAUCCAAAGUGGACUUUGGGGUCAAAGCCAAGAGGUGGUGCCCCGUCCGUAGCCUUACGUUCUCUCUCCUUCUUUCUCUCCUGUCUGGUUUUCCGGUAGGGGCGAAUAGCAUUCCCAGAAGUGGACAUUCUCUGUCUUUUCCAUUCUAUCUCUCCCCCAGCCCAGCGACGCAUUUCCCUUACUCCGUUAAUUCAAUAUCUGUCUUUCGCCUGCGAAUCCUUAUCUCUAUCCCUUUGUUGAUGAAUAAAGGAGCACGUGGUGAAUACUGAGAACAUGAAUUCCCUUACGCUGUUGCGAAGCAAUUGGAAUUCUGGAUCAUCGAAGAAUGGAAAAAUGCGCCUAUCUCUAGGAAGACCGUUCAUCAACUCAUUUCUCGGUCUGGUCAUCAAAAGUAGAAUUUGCACUUUGUUGUCACCAGCCGAAUCUCUGAGAAGGAUCACCUGCUCCUGUUCAGCUGCACCUCCCACUAUGAGAAGUCAGAACUUAUAUGCUGUGUCCUCGUAAUUAAUAUGUUAGUUUGCUCGCGGUAAUUGUGGCCUAUCGGGAGAAUCGAUGACGACUUGAAAAACUCCCUUUCCGUUUGUCUAUGUACGCGACCUUUCUUAUAAUAAGAAAGAGACACAAGAAGAGGCAGAGAGAGAGCUCAGAAAAAAGUCAAGGAGAGGUCUUCGGACAUUCAGUCCAAAUCUAGGAAAAGGAGUCAUGUAAUAUGCAAUCAGAGUGCUUACUGCAUUUUCUCCAUGUCUUCGAGCUCUCGGUUUAGUAUGAUUUUCAUCCAAGCAAGCCGCUUUUCUUUGCUUUUCCCGUAAAUUGGAGUCGAGAAAGAAGCUCUAUCCUUACUCAUAAGAUCAGAUUCAAGUUAGAAAGAAGGCCAUCCAUUCAUUUUCAUGGACAAGGCUGGAAAGGAAGUUCCAUUUCUUCUAGUCUUUGUUUAGAAUUGACUUUCUUUUGAGUAGUUGCAACGUGGGAUUGCAGAUAUUGCCAUUGUCUCAGAAGUCGCAUCGCAAUAGUAUAGAAAAGCGCCUAUAGUUCCUAGUGUCACUUCGAAUAUCGACUACUUUACUGAUUCCAUUUCGAAACUCUGAGAAAUAGAUCCUUACCGAUUGCCCCAUUCUCACGUGUUGCUGUUUCUUUGGUUGCCUUCCAUCCCGUAUUGUUUGAAAGGAGUGCUCAAGUUUGUAAGUUAGCUCUACGGACAAGAGCUAGUCACAACAUAAUGAUAGGUGUAAGAUAUUAUUGCUAUUUGAGACAGGCGCUAAAUCGACAGAGUCCCGUUGCUUGGCGUCUGCUUGUUCUAUCCAUUUCUGAAGUUGAUCGAAAGUUGUUGAAAGGUUAUAGUUAUAAGGAAGUCCCUCCCAUCUCUUUUGUCUUAUUACUUUAGAUUAUGAUAUUGAUAGUGUCCUAUAGUGUUUUUAGUGGAAAUAUGCUACCUGAUAAUUACUAUAGUUGUCAAGAAAGAAAGUAUGCUUUAAAGGUGCGCAGCAGCAAACAUUAGAAGGUAUAGAUUUUCUGGUAAUAAGAGUAAUAGAUAGAUGAUUCAAUUCAACUAGCAGGGGAACCAUCAAGCGCAGCGGGAACGGGAAGGAGAGUUUGCCUUUCAAUCUGCAACUACUAUACAAGUUUCUAUUAGUUGUCCAUUCAAUGAUUCUCUUCUUUUUGUUUGUGCCGGUACACUUUCUUAGCGCGCAUUUCUUGAGUAAGGGCACCCAUAUUCUAAGAUGACUUUCAAUCCACAUUAGAUAAGAGAACUUUUCAAUCCAUUAGUUUCAUAAGUAGAAGCUGUGAGGUUCGGUAUAGCCAGCAGUAAUAGGUAUGUAUAGGAUGGGACAUCAUUCAUUAUCUACGUUUUGCACUCAAUUCUUUUCAACAAGCAAGGGAAAGGGCUAUCGUGGACCACAAGCUUUAGCGACCGGACCACUUUAAGGCACCUACAAACAAUAUAGGGCAAGCAAUACUUCACUUUCCGGCUUGAAGCACAGAGAGGCUGGCUUAUUUUGCUCUUCAUCAUUAUAUAGUUAAGAGUAUACUAACAUUUGUUUCCUAAGCUCGGGUCGGGGUGCUAACAUGAGUUUGCUAAGUUCAUAAGUGCUGUUGUUAGUGUGCGAAAGCCUAAUGUGUAAUUGGUUUAGUGGUAUGGCAUAAGAAUCCAAAAUCCAUGAUGAAAGCUAGAGCGCAAAGGUCAAGUUCACAAAAGGAAUAGCUGCUCUCUCCGCUGGGCUGGGCGCUAAGGAAGACCAUCAUCUCGAUUCCGUUCAGGCUGUCAACAACUGUAAACUACUCCCUUCCCAUCAACCACUUUCCUGGAAUUCCCUAUACACUAGCACCCGACCCUACAUCCACUGUUUAUUUGAUUGAUUGAUUUCCCACCGACUUGAGCCUCUGUUCCCGCUUUUUCCGUUUAUGACCUUAGAGUUCCAUUCUGAUUCGAGUCCAGUGCAUCGGCUCCCUACUUAUAAUCUGGAUUCGACUGAGUGAGAGUCCUUUCCGAGAGACGGAACCUCUGCACGAGAUGAGGCUUCUGUAUAUAUGAAAAACUCAAACAACACUUUCUGCUCUAACAGCUUACCUUGAAAGCGAAGGAACAAGUUAACUCGCAACGGCUGCAAAGACGAACAAGCAAAGAGAGGGUAAGACUAUGGAAAUCCUUCUAUGAAGGAAGGCAUUCUGAACGUCUACGUGGAAUAGUCUAGUUGAUGGACAGGACAUCGUGUAUUUAUAGGCUCUAACAAAACGAAUGGUUGCAUGGUGGGAGGUUUCGCAAUGCCUCGCAUCCGUCACUACUUUGAAAUCGCUUUAUCGUUCUAUUGAUUGAGCAUUGGAGGAAAAGGGGAGAAAUCUCUGUAAUAAGAUUCUGUCAAGGACUUAUAAGCAUGAAUCGCACAGAGGUACUCUCAAAGAUCAAUCACUAUACGAUAGAAUUACGAAAAAAGAGGAAAUCAACAUGGAAUUUUGGUCGAAACCCUUGUUUGUACAAGGCUCAUCACAGGAGAUCUAGUACAUCGAGCUACAAACCAUAUAGUAAAAGCGCUCAGACGAGAAAAAACUCAUAGAAUAAUGGAAAACAAUCAGGAGUUCCAGAGGUCGGAACGGCGGCUCAGGUGAGAUGAGACAAAGUCAACUCGGCAUGCAAGCAAACCGAACGUGUCUCGUAUCCAUCAGCCAAACGGGUUACCUGUAAGCGUAGAGUUAUUACCCAGUCCUCAUUCAGUAGCGGUGCGAGUAUAAGUAGUUGGAGGUGAUUCAAAUACAAGUACGCGCGGGAAGGAACUGAAGGUCGACGAGAGAAGAUGUAUCAGCCGUCUCACAGGAUUAGACUCCGUUUCAAUAGAAUCCGCAGUUAUAGUGGGGACCGGGACAGAAUCAUUUCCCUCCUAUGCGCUAAGUACUGAAACGGAAUAAUUAGACAGGUAAAGAUGGAUUAGGGUAACUCACCCACAUAGUGCUCAAGUGUCAUAAUUCCAUAAUGGAGUUUCUGUUCCCUACUAGCAAUUCUAAAAAGAACAACUAUGGGAAUGAUUCAAACGCGGUUAUUCUACGCAAAUCUAAGAUAAUAGACCAAGUUAGAUGGGAAUCGCCUCUACAAAGCUUGUUUUAUUUAUAGAGACUUAGUAAACAAGGAAAGGAUGCGUUGAGGCCCGCGCCCUUGAUACGUAGCUGAUCUUUAGCUAGUUUCUAAUCUUUUGACCCAGCAGUGGUAAACUAAUAUCGGAAGUAUCCUCGGGACGGAUCAAGGUUCUACUUUCAUUGCUUCAAGAAAAACGAAACCAGAUGGGGAACCUUUUAGGACACAUGCGAACAAUCAAACUACGACCGCCACAAAGUCUUCGUAUGCUAUUCCAUUCCUCACCCAACCCAAACGUCCUCAGUAGGGAUCACCAUCCAUGCGCUCUUUGGUGCUACCUUAGAUACAACUGUAUACUCCCAUUGAGCAUUCGAACAGAUGGCAUCUAUGCUAUCAGCCAACAACUAGGAUUCCUGAUUGUCGCCCGCUCCGAGCAAACUAGGGGACAACACGUCCUCGAGACAUAGCCUUACCAGAUGGGCGAGACAUAGCCUUACCAGAUGGGAAGGAAGAAGGGAGCCGCACUAGUACUUUCGGGGCUUACUAAGGGCUUCUUUCUUUCCAGGCGUAACAACAUUUUCAUUGGGGGUCGCACCAUACGCUUUUGACUAAGACCUUUUAUGGAUAAGGACAAGAGGCUCGUUACCAAGCUCGAUGCUUUUAAUAGGAACCACGAGGCCUCAUAUGCUGCCAGAGGUAAGUUAAGGCUCUUCCUUUUUCCCUUUCUCUUUAAAGAAAAAAGAAUCCGAUCCGAUUUGCAAGGAAGUGACACAAGCUCCUUAUUGCCAGUCUUAUGUAUAGGAAAUCAUGGGCCAAGCAGACAAGAUGAAUAAGUGCUGUGCCCUUAAUUAAUGCCAUGGGUUUGAAAGCCCUAAGUGGUACCAGUGGAAUCAGUAUUAGUUUACCUUAUAUUAAGUAACACUAGCGGCAGUAACGAAUAACAGUGUCGUACGAGUGGAAAGGCUUUCAGCACCUUCUCGUAAUUGGCUAGUCUAGUCAAGGGAAACUUACACUCAUGAAGGAGCAGCUAGAAGGAUCAGAGUAUUACUUAUAAGCUUGAGAAGGAUAAGAGUAUGAUGAGGAAGGUGGAAACCAGAGGAUAAGAAUGCAGGUAUCAAACUUCAGACUUAUAUAUCUGCGGAGCUAUAAGACAAGCCGAAAAGAGGAUUGAGCUAUUCAGGUAGAAAACGUAAGAAGAGGAUUGAGCUCUGUUUAUAGAUAUUGGUCGCUAACCCUUAAUACCAGAAGCAUAUUUGGAACUGGUCUAAGCGCAAGGAAUCAUCUCUUCUUCAGCUAACGUACGAGUCUGUCCUUUAUUUCUGUUUCGCCCUUGUAACUGAGUCCGUUGAGUUUCUAUCUUCUGCUAAUGGAGUUAAGUCAUGUGAGUUACUGUCUUCAACAUUUGGUGUUAGCCAGCGCCAAAGUGCCUUAGUGCAUUAGUCAAUGUCAAGAGCAAGUCAACAAGUAUUAUGGAAAAUGACACACUGAAUACUUCCUUUAGGCAAGAAUCAAGUACUUUAGUCUAUGGUUCGUUCGGUUAGGAAGCAACGCUGUGUUGUUUACCCUUGUGCAAGAGAGAUUCCAUGAAUUCUGCUUCUGGGUUUCCUUCAGACUCAACAGUACCAACAAGACUAUGUUUAGUAAGGGAUGGGAAGGGAGUUGGGAGAUGUAGACAGUUCCUGUUCCGUUUCUAGGUCUAUUCCUCAAUUAUAUAACACAUCAGUAAGAAAUGAAUGUUUGACUUCCGCUAAGUAUACAGUACAAACAAUCAAAAGUGGUAGAGUGAGCUUACUUCGGGCUGCCCCUAUUCGUUCUUAAACAAACAAGUCUGGAGUGAGUUUAGUUUCGGGGGGAACAAGCUUAGACUAAAUAAGCGCAGGAGUGAGAGGUGCGAAAGAGAAAGCUAAGCCUUACAUUCAACAAGCAUUAAGGUGUUUGUUAAUAAAUUCAUUAUGGAAUAGGGGUCAAUGAUACACAGAAAAAGAAGCAAGCAGUAGAAAGAAAGUCAGCAAACUUUUCUUCAAGCAAUAAUUCACUGGUACUGGUUUUGGCAAAUUCGCUAAUGCUAGUUAUGGCGCUAACUGAGCUCACCCUUAAGAUACUCGUACUCAGAGCACUUCAGAGGAUAAGGCAAUUAUGAAAGUCAGGCAAUCAGGCUUCAUUCGCUGUCGCCAACAAAGCAUUAAAAGCAUUCCUAAAAAGGAAACAGGUCGUAUUUAUGAGCCAGAGCAGAGGUAUUAAUUCAGCAAGUAAGAAGGAAAGGAGAAAACGUUCCAUUAUUGACUGCCCGACGAGUGGUAAUUGCCUGUUUCUCUGCAGAGUAGCGGUAACUCAACUCCCUUAGCUUACUUGUCUUCUACUAUAUGCGCUAGCAAUUAUGUAUUAUGGCCCUCAGGUUUCUUAGUCAUUAAAGGAAUGCGCUACAUCUAUCUCUUAUCCCUUGCCCACCUAUCCCUUUUGUUAUCUUACAGCGACCUAUCUCUUCGAUCACCUACUUCUUUCUUUAUUCAUAUAUAUUAUGUUCUGUUCUUGCCUCCAUCUCAUCUAACUCAGGCUACAAUUCAUUUCACCCUGCUGGCUCUGCUGGGCUUGUGGAAUUCCCGAAUUGACUAGCUAACCUGCCGUUCCUAUAGCUCGCUACCUCUUUCACUCGCUAUGUCUUUACUUCAGUAUAUACCAUUACUUCAGUCUAUACCUUAUGCUCAAUAAUAAAGUAUUGACUCGGUGUAAGAAAGAUUCCUGUUUGACUCGGCGUCCGGAAAGAAAGCUGUUAGAGCUGUUUCUGUUGAAAGAGAAGAAUGACUAGUUCCCCUUCGACUUGAAUCCGUGGUUGCAACGAUAGAAUCGGCCGUUCAAAAGUCAGUAGCAAUUGGUUCUUCAAGAAGUAUUGUUCCAGCUCGAAUAGAAGAUUUGUAUAUAGUUGCUCGUCGGGCAGGAAAUGGAACUGAUUGUCCGUCCCGCUGAUGCUCUUGAAACUAAAUCACCCUUACCUUUAGCCGACCUCAACACUGAUUUAAUUGCAGAUGAAACUCCAACUGGAAAUCCAUCUACUUCAGUACAAAGAGCUACCUGGGUUGGGUGCUAGUGGUUUAGUAUAUGGAAACCGUUUUCCUUUCCUUGGCUUAUGUGAGGAAUAUAUUACAGGCGUGUGAAGCUAAGGGAAUCAAAUGUAAGUAAUCUAACUAGGGGGAGGCUUUUAAGAAAGAAGUAAUUCACAACGUAUGAAGAAGCAGUGCGAAAGUCAGCAGCAAACGUAUAUGUACUAGAGUCUAAUUCAGUUGCAGUAAACGGGACAAGAAGUCUCCUAUACGGUGGAAGUAGUGCAAUGAAAGUCUUCGAAAUCCGAAUAACUGGAUCAGUAGUUGAAAGAUCUGUUGCCGAAGCCGAAGAUAGAGAGGAAGCAGUGCGAAAGGUCAGGUCAGCUGAUAUUCCAUUCCAUUCUUCCUUUAGAGUGAAAAGACUUAGUGCUAAAGUUCCAUUCACUGUUUUUUCUUUUUAGCCAGAUAGAGCAGGAGCUGGAUCUUGCCCAGUAUAAAGCUAGGCAAUAAAAACGAGAUCUCAAGGAAGGAUUCGAAAUUGCACGAGUCUAGUUAGAAAGGGGAUUUUGCAGAAGGAUGAGUGGGUCAUAUGUGGAGAUGACUUGGCACGCUGUGGCAGAAUCCUAAGAAGUUCCAAUGGAGUGAGAAGUGAAAUGACGCAGUCCUAACUUCAGAAAGUAAGUAGCUACACCAUUCCAUUUGAUGGGGAAUGUUUUUCCUGUCUUGAAAGCUGAAGGAAGUAAAGUAUCUAUCUAGUACUAGUAAACUUCUUUUCUCACGAUGAAGAGUUGCUCAGGACUCGAUGUUCAAAGGACAGAUUCCUUAGGGCGAAGCCUUACUAGUCUCAUUACGUCAGUUCCGGAAUCGGCCAUUCCAUGAUCAUUCUUUCCAUUCCGCGCCCCUACAUGAUCCUUAAAUAGAGAAGGUGACGGUGCAUGAUCCUUAAAUAGAGAAGGUGACGGUGAGAAAGAUCGAAUCCAAGUAAGCUAUUUCGAAUUUGAUCAUCGGCAUGAAAAUAGGCGCUUUCACGACAUGAGAAUCGAACUAAACGUUGUGCUAACGGUUUCGACGUAGGGCUUUUCGAAGAGCGGAAGAAGUAAAGGAGAAAAUGACCGAGACCAAGACCGCCCACGUAGUAAGCCCUUUGCUGGCUUGAAUCCCAACAAGCAACGGGACAAUAAAACAAUAAGGUUGAUUCCACAUAUAGAUAGAUCUUGGUAAACAAACGACUUCUCUUUCUUUUGCUUCAAAGCUAAUGAAUGUAUAAAGAAAGUCAGAGUUACGCUUGUCUAGUGCUAGUGGAUCUAGCUUAAAGGAUGUAAUCUCGCCCAGUGGGAGCCUUCACUAGAAUGCCUAUCUUCUUCAGCUCCCGUUAGCACAACAAUAGAAUCAACAGUAUUAAGUUCGUCAGCUGCCCGCUCACUAACUAGUGCUUCUGUAACGGCUGGCUAAACAUUUCCUGCAUGUUCAAAUCCAAGCAAGUUAUGGAAUUUCCCGCCUAGCUCCUGACCUGAACACGACGGUUCCGUGGCAGAUGGAAGAGAAGAGAGGAGAAACCAACCGUAUUCAAAGGAAAGCAAAACAAGGAACUCUCUAACGUGCAACGUCUUGUUGAGUACAGAGGAGAUGCUACAUAUUCUCUUAUCAUUUCUGCAUUCAGGCGUGUAAGGAAGCAAAGGAAGGGUAGAAACAUGGGCAAAGACGCAAAUGAACAGUGUUGUUCCUUCAUUCUAUUGGUAGUAGCGAGAUAGGAUUCCAUUCCCAAGGGUGGCCAUGUCUUUACAUAGUGGAAUAUUAGGCGCCAUGUCUUUACAUAGUGGAAUAUUAUGGUAUAUAUAAAAGUGUAGAAUAUGAGGGUUCUUAUCACCUGUAGAAUAAAUAGAACUUCAUCUUUCUCAGGUGACCAAUGCCUGAGCCGAAAUCCAAAUGCAUUCUCUGCGGAAGCGAACCCAUCUUUUCUACCACCUGAUUGGUCGACAACUGAACUGCUUCUAAAGCCGCAUUUCGCCAACUAUAAGAGAGAAAGUUACGAGUGGUGUACCACUCAAUCACUACAUGGAAGUCUCACUUUCUCAGCAACCCUAAGAGAGAGGCCGAGCGACAACUAGAUAUAGAGUAUUAUAGUAAAGGAAGGAAGAGCCUCUAUACUGAUGUGCUAUACCACCUGCCCAAUCAUUCUUAAGAAUCGACAGAGAAUAGAAAGCUGCUCAGAAAAACUCUCACAGCAUGCUUUCUUCAUUACUAAUCUGACCUUUGAGAAAGUUGGCUAGUGGUGCAGGCAUGGCAUAGUAGUAGUAGUAGGCCGUUCUCUUUGUUUCUUUCUUCCGGCUUUUGUUCUCUUGCUCAUCAUGCUCUUUUCUUGAUAAUAAUAUCUAUAUAGGGCUAUCAAUCUCGAUCUUUACCCUGUGUAUUCGAACCUUCUCUGAUUGAUCUGAUCAGACGCUUGCACAAGUAAGGUAAGUACUUUGGACAGGUCGCCCUUUGGGCUAUAUUGUACGGAGGCUGUACGGAGGCUAAGUCAAGUGUGCAUUUCAUAGACCAGAAAAUAACCCCUUGGGGUGGCUUUUCGUAAGGUUUUCCCAGACUUCAUGUUCAGGGCGCCAAUUCUACAAAACCAGCAUAAGAGCAAGCAAUAGUUAUAGUGUACAAUGAAAGAGACCGAAGAGCUUUUAAUAAAGUCUGGCUAUUCCCAAAAUACAAGAAAAGAGGAGAGAAGUCGUAUGUCACACACGAGGAUUCACGAAAGAAUGGUUUUCUUAAUCGGAGAGUUGAAAAUAGCGCGGGAAGAGAAGAAUUAAUGGAAUAUGCCCCGAGAUAGGGAGUGGUGGGAAUGAUUCUAUUUCUAUGAUGGAAGAGAAGAAUCCACCGUCCAGCCACACACACUAAUUAGGAAAUUCAUCUAAAUAGUGAAGUAGACUUUCUCAGGAUAUGAAACCAAAUAGAUAUAUGAAGAGAUUGUAUCAUGAUCUAUAUGAUUCGACCGACCUCUUUAAAAGACCUCUUGCUUUUAUUUGCAUUGGGCUCUUUGAUUAACCGAUAGAAAAGCGAGUUUACCCACCCCAUUUAAUUAACAGGAAGAGAACUGCUUGCUCGGAUUCAUAUCUUAACAGGAAGAUAACAGCUCGGAUUCAUAUAUUGUAUUCAAGACAAUACCAAUUCAUAGAAAAGGGGGCUUAUCUUUACGUGGGUCUGCAGCCUUGGGGGCCUAGAUCUGCCUAAGUUAGAUGGAGCCCCAAGAAUUCCAUAUUAUACCUUAUACACCAGAAAGUGAAUAGGACGAAAAGCGAAAAGGGAUGAAUUUGAGGUACUUCAACUCCCCUAGCAUUGAAUAGACUGGGUAUUCAGAAAACCUUCUCCAUAAUAAAAGCGAGAAACUCACAAGAUGAAGGGCAAUAAUCAAAGCGGAAAAAGAACUUACCUGAGAAAGGGCUCGGAGGGGAAGUAGAUAAGCCAGACGUCUCAGUGGAUACCGCCCGCCAGAUAUUACAGCAACGAAUAAGUGUAUGCUUGAGAAGGCGUCUACUCCCGAUAAUAAAUAGAAGUUGGUUGCCUUAGUUCCCUUACCGUCAUAGUCACAUUUCAGACGGGGGAAUCCAAGAAGCUGCCAAGCUUGUGAGCGAGUCCGCUUGAGUCUGAACCUCUAUCCGGACUUAGAAGAAAUUCACCCGCUCCAGGGAAUUGAGACAUGUUGUAGUCUGCCCUAUAGGGUCGGAUACUGACUUUUCUCACCACACAUAUUCUACUCGGAGGCAUUUUAUGAGCAGAUUUUCUUUUAUGAGCACCAUAGAUAGUAAUCAUUUUAUGAGCACCGUCUAUUGUCAGUUAUUCAAUUGAUAUCUUUAGAACUCACUCCAGUUCUGUGAUCACGGACUCGUAUUUGUCCUCGGUUAUUUGAAUUGGAGCAUUCCUAUGUUCAAGCGGGUAUAAUAGCUUUGCCCGGUUCAGUCAAACUAACACUAUAAAGAUCCUGUCUUUCUUCGUAUCGGACUGCUCCGUUCGCGUUCCUUGAUUUAGCAUCAACCUUCCUUUCAGGACCUAGAUUGGAAUUACUUCUUCGUCUGCGCCAAGCGGAUAAUUCUCUGGAAAAUAGGGUGCCCUUCCGGCAAGAUAGAAGUGAAUGCCUUUCCUUUGCCUUAAACAUAAGGGCGUUCAACAAGGUAUUCGAGAUCAACUCGGAUUGUCAUCCUUCCCUUGUUUUGCGAUCCGGACGAAUAGAGCAAGACAUAAUGGACUUUAGGUUGGUCUACCCUGGAGAUCCACUUUUCUCUGUGCUCUAAGAGAUAAUGCCUAAGCUUCUCUUUUCGUUGGCGAAGAUCAAAGCGAAACAUAUUUUCUUUCUAAGGGGAAGAUGAUAGCUAAACUUCUAUUUCUAAGGGGAAGAUGAUAGCUAACCAUUGUCCUUCUAUCUUCCGCGGACCUUUCAUUCUGCUCAAACUAUAGGGUACGACUUAAGUUGUAUAGUGCGCUCUCCUUCCCUUGUUCAUUGCGCUGGGCGCGGAGGAGUACCCAAGGAACCAACCUUCUAAGGCCAUGAGAGAUAGUUAAGAGCAGUGGCUUGCUUUUUCGGUACUGAAAGAAUGUCGUCUGUCUGUUAGGAAAGAGAAACUAGAAUCAAUCUGGGGACUUUCAUAAGAUAUGCUUUUUGAUGCUGUCGAAAGCAUUCUGGCAUGCUCCCUUUUCAAAGAAAAAGAAGAGAUCCGUCCUUUCCCCCACCUAUUAGAGAAUGGCUGAGACCCUCCCUUCCUGCGAGGUUGGAUAGAAACCCUCAGAUAUACGCAACUUUCACCUGUAGGCUUUUGACUCUCGGAUCUUUCUUCAGAGGGUUAUGAUUAUAGUUUGGUCGAUUUCUAUUCUCCGUAGUCUAACUAGAAAGGAAGGGGAAUUGCAUUUGCCCUAUGUACCCGCUGCUAUAUGAUGAAAAAGGCUAUUCCUCCGUCGAUCAAAGAUCUUCUGCAUCAGCCCUAUGUUUUGACCACGAGAUCAUCGACCAUAGACUGGAAAUAUUGUUCCAGAGGUUUCCUAAUAUGAGAGUCAUGGCCCCACCCCAACGGAAUGAGAGAGUCCUAAGGGCAUUACGUAGUUGCAAGAAAGUGCUUUUGGUGUCCUGAAGUAUGCUAUGAGACCACGCCGAACUCGCAAACCUAACUGUAACUACUUGAAGCUCACGGUUGCUUAUUCCCCGAAACUUCUAUUACUUCAGUUAUAAUUCAAUCCUGUUAACUCAUCUUAUGUGGAAUCUUUAUCAUUGAUACAACUAAGAAUUCUAUAUUUGCCAUUAGCAGAGUAGAUCCUAUGUUCAACUUAAAGAAAGAAGCCUAUUAUGUUUCCCGGGGGAUUUGUUUGAUGAAACAAGCUUAGGCCUACUUUAGAGCACUUAGGUUGGUGAGAUAUAGUUGUUUUCUGCCUGUGGAGUCUCAUUCUUAGAUACGGAGGAGCAGUACCCUUCCUUAUUGAAUAGAAUUUUAGUACCACAUAUAAGAAUAGAAUUGAGGAGCACUAGGGUAGGUGAGUUACCCGCUGCCAGCUAGCAUACCUAGUUUCUUAGGACUUGAGUUCGACUUGCCUAGUGUCUUGUCAGCUUGGCCCCGCUUAGCUUUAGGGUUCAGCUACCUAUUUCUGUGGUUACCUAUCGAUUUAUUAUGCUCUACCAGUCCUUAGGAGAGACUUAGAGGUGAGGCAAUAAGGCUUGGUUGGGAAGGCUAACGAGUCAGGCUUUGACUACAGCCCCCGACAGUUCAUUAUGAGUAUUGUGACUUUGAUUCUUCCUCGUAUAAGUGGAUUUCUGACUUCUUAGUUUGAUUCGCUGAGGAAGCCGCUUAUGAGUUGGAUUCACUUAGAAGAGAAAUAAGUCUGAUAUUGGCAAUAAGUAAUGAGGUCGGAUAGAGGAAAUGAGAAAUCUCGGAAUUAUAGGUAUAGCUCUGGAAGGUAAGUUGGUAUUGGUAGUCUCACCCAUGUGUUACGCGCCAAGGAACGGAUAGACAAGUCCUUUCAUUACUUUCCUACGAGGCACAAGUCAGAAUACCAGCUCACAAGAUCUAUAAUUUCUAGUGGGUUAUCAGAAGAAGUAAAGUAGUCUACUUCCGUCCAAGUUGCCCCGGCUUCUUCAGUUGUUCCUACUGCAGCUCUUGCUUCUUUUGUAACACCAGAUUGAGAGGGAGAGGCUUGAAGACCAGACUUAGACCUAUACAAAGCCCAAGGAAGGCGGUAAGCAGCAAUCUAGGAGGGUCCUGUUUCUUUAGUUGACAGAGCAGGAGUGGUUAGUUGAUUUCACACUUUUACAAUUGAUAAACACAAGCCCAGCUACAUCCUUAUUAUAUGGCUAAAGUGAGUUUUCCCCCUUAUUAUAUGGGGUCAGUUAGUUUUACCUAUGAGUUUUACCUAUCUUGGAGACUUUACAAGCACUGCUUCAUCAAACGGAAUUGAAUAAAAGAGUUUUGUUCAUCUAUUUAUGAUAUGCUAUCUUACUUUAGCCAGACUUCCUGCAUUACGUGAGUAGGCGACAAGAACGAAGCGAAUAACUUAUCUCUUUAUCUUUCUUUAAGAGUUAAGGACGGAUACAGGCUCUUUAGGCCUGAUAGUAGUUCCCGCUCUUUCAUUCUGAUAUUUACUUGUUGCAUUCUGUUACUCGACUUGUAGAACCUCCCUCUCGCCCACUAAAGGGUAUGCGCGCAUCUAGUAUAAGGCAGAAAUGGGUAUGCAUCUAGCGAAUCUAGUAUCACACUUAGAAAGGCUUGUUCUUUUGCUUGUUGAAUCUAUAAGAUCAGAAACAGCAGUGAAAGUUAAGGCGAGAAAGAAUCCGCAAAUGCGGGAUCAUCUGAAGGAGUAGUUUCAAGUUGAAGCCCUGCCCUGCCCUAUUUGCCCCUACUUCUAAAGCGAGGUUAAAUAGAGUUCUAUAAGCCGAACGAAUCUCCUAUUUAGCCAGCUUGUCCCGCUGUAGCUCCUUCCCUUGUUUACGAGAGAGAUCAUACUUCCUGUUAAGAGCGAGAUCCUACUUCCUGUUUAAGAGGUUGCUUGCCUAGUUACUUUCCUAGACACGGGUACUAUCUAGCGCAUUAGUAGUAGUUGCCGAACACAGGACUUGCUCAUAGCAACGUAUUAACAAACAUACUAUGUGAGUUUCCUUUUCUCCUUGCUUUUGGCUCCUUGUCUUUCUGUGUCUUUGUAUUAGAUCUGCCUUAGAGUAGGAGCGGGAUCGGGUACUAUUGCGGGGUUCCGCCUCUACUUUCUUUCUUUCUUUCUUUAUAAUAAAUAACUGCAUCUCUUCUGUCCUUCUAAAUUCGAUCUUCAAAUUAUGUUGCUUGGCCAUAAGUAGUAGCUUGUCCUGGAAUAACUCAUAGGGACUCUGGAAUAACUCAUUAUAUAACAUAUUUUAUGGAGCUCCCGAAAACAGAGGACUUAUUUCCGUUUAUUCUGUCUUAGUAGUGUCGGUUCUUUAAGUGGAUAGUUUGGGUCUUCAAGGAAAGUGAAAGUUGUUGACGACGAGCGGUGCGGUUCAUCAAGUUCAGUAGAGGCCGGGGAAAGAGCACCACUACACUCAAUGUAAGAUACCGGUCAACUCAUUUUAUGUGGAAUCGAAUUCGGCUCUUUUCACUCUUUAGAACAAGCAAUAGAGUUUCGAGAACAAGCAACGGAAUGAAGCAAGGGUUCAGAUGCCUACAUUGGUGAUUAAAAGCAUUGGUGAUGAAAAGGCUCUCGCAAGGGAAGUGCUACUACUAAUCCAAAUUCCCUUGAAUCUCGAAACAAGCAAAUACUCCUAGCUGAAGGAUCCCUUUAAAUAAUCUGUAAAUAAGCAAGAACAAGUAACGAUUGCGCCUAUCUUCUAUUCAACAGGAAAGGGUGCCUACUUAUUUGUAUAGGGCCUUCCUUAUAGUCUAGCAUGAGGAUGCCGCCUAGCUGAGUUCAACAAGUUGAGUGCCCCGACUAGCUGAGUUCAACAAGUCAGGAGUAAGCAGUAAAGUAAUAGGUGGUUUAUUACUGAAUGACAUAAUAGGAGAGAUAACAUACAUGUAAAUAUAAGCAAGGGCGAAAGCAAGUGGUAGAUAAAAAGCAAGCAAGGGCGACAGAGGGAAUAAUUGAGUCCGAAUACGGGACAAAGCUUCAAGCAGUUUAUUGACUCCAUUCUAUACUACUAUACUUCAAUUAUGAAAUAUACUAGGUUUCAAUUAUGAAAUCUACUUCGGUAUACUCGGGCUGUCUCAAUUCUAUUCCUUUUUGCACUAAAUAAAACAAGCCAAAGAAAGUGCUAAGGCUUAUUCUCAGGGUGCGGAGUGCGUUAGUGAAGCCUUUGUUUCGAGUGUUGUUACUAAUUGGAAUACAUUUGUUUGUCACGCUCAAUUCGAUUCUUUUGCAUUAAUUCCAUUCUUUCGAUAAGAGAUGAUCUUCUCGCCUAUCUAGCUAAGCAUUUGGAUAGUUGUUGCUUGGCCAUGUUUAUUACAAGUAAGAAAAUACAGAGUUAGGCAAUAGCAGCUUCUGGCUUUUGAUGAAUCCUCUUUUUCGGGGUCGAUCAACCCUAGAGGACUCGAUGGCUUAACUGCCCUGUAAACCUGAUUCAGAGAGAUAACCCGGUUUUUAGACACUCGCCCUACUUGACUUCUAAAGAUAGAUAGAAAAGAGUGAAAGAUGCGGACGCAGUUCCAGUCACAGCUGCUGAGGUGGCGUAGUUACAGGCGGGAGCAAUAACCAAAUCAACUGCUCCAGAUCAGAUCCUUCAUAUUCGGUUGGUUGUUUGCGGUGGAAUAGAUUAUAAGCGUCCGGGCCAGUAGAUCCAGAGCAAAUAGGCGUUCGUUUACUUAGUGGCUUUGCUGUUUAUUCGAAUCCCGAUGUUGAUCCGACGCAACUUACCGGUUAUAGUCGCAGCACCAGGAGCUUUCAAGGGAGGAAGACAUAUAUAAAUAGUAGCUUAUAGUAGCAUACCUUCCGGAUCGAGGGUCCCACCCGGUAAACACCAUACAGGCGAAAUACUUGCGGUGGGUGGAGGAGGCCUUAUUGCACCUAGCCUAAGUAACUGAAACAAGGGAUGAAACUGUAACAGGAACUGCUUUAUCUACUUAAGUUCACCUCGCUGAAGCAGUUGAUCAUGAAAUUCUAAAUGAUGUAUUUCGAGCACAUGGCAUAGAAUUCUUUACGGAUACCCCAGCUUCCCUUUCUUUUGAAUCAGAUACUGAUCUAUCCUCUGCUUAAUAUCCUAAUCCUUCGACUUCUUGAGAUCAGGCCUAUGAAGAGCUAUAGGGCAAAUAUGAGAGUAUCAAAUGCAUUUCCAGAGAAGAAACAUCGCUCCCGAAUAAGCAGUUCUCAAGUAAUGCUUCCUCGCCUGAUCUUGCAGACAAUGCCAUUAACUUUAAGGGCGGAUGAUUCUGAUUACCCAGUUUUCUUCUAUACUCAACAUGAAGUUCAGCUGACCCCAACACAGCACCUCCGCAGUAGAAUCAACUUCUCCUUUAAACUUUACCGACGGAGAUGAUCUUCUCUCUUUAUAUUAUCUCUUAUAUUAGGAUAACGUUGACUCGCCCCCGCCAAGUAACUUAUAAUGACCAAGACACUAGCAAUAAGGUGGCUUUUUCCGAGUUUUCGUAUAGAUAGUAGAAAGUAUUCUAUCGCUCGCAUGGAAGAGAGCUGCUUCUUUUCUAGCUUAUGCAGCAAGUACAGUAUAUUAAUAGGGCUUUCUCCCUUUGCCCAACCCGCCAAGCAGAACAGUAGGAGUGAGUUCAAAAAGAGACUAUACUAGGUGAGCAACAGUCGGACUAGCUAUAAGAGAGGAAGAAGGGAAAGUAUUGCUUGUUUGAAAGUAUGGUUAUUACCGAUAUGCCCGAUAUGAGUCACAGCAGUAGGAUGAAACAAGGUAUUCAAUAAUAAAGUCAGUAUCUGCAGAAGCCACAGGUAGAUCAGCAACUACAAGUCAGCCAAGCAGACAAGACACUAUUAGCCAAGUAACAACUACAUUCCUCCCCCUGCAAACACAGGUCAAGAUAUAUUUCAACAUUGGAAAGAUAGGUGUGUGUUGAGGUCUUCGCGAGUGGUAAGUGAAGUUCUCUUUUUGGUUAUGGUAGUCUGAUUGAAGCGUUUUUUGCAAGCUUUGUAUAGCACAGGACUGUGACAAGGGUUCUUUGGAAUGAAUUCUCUUUUUAGUGCCAGCCAUCUUUAGCCAUUAGGAAUUCCCUUACAACCUUUUACUGUUUUCAAAGCGAGUUCUGCCCAUGCGCCAUAUCUGCUUCAUCUCGCAAUAAAAAGAUCGGCUUGAUUCCUUAUAUUCAUUGUGCAAAUACAUCUGGUGAGCAAGCCAGUUAGACUUUAUCUCCUUGAAUCAAAGCCUUGAAAGCAUCAAUGGGAAAGAACACGCUGUUUGAGAGUUGUUUGGCAUGUCGGUUUAUGCCUUCUCUAUUCAUUGGAGGGUUCACUUUUGGUUCCAUCUUCGAGCGAGUGAAAGCUUUUGAUAAAGUCCUGUGAGUAUGAGCGGUUUCUUUAUUUACUGAGCUCGCAUCUCGGCAUUCUUCUCUCGUUGACUUUGGCCAAGAACCUAUCUCUCUAUACAAAGAGCUACAGCACCGACACAAUCUGUUAACGCAUAUAUCAUAUAUAGAAGUCUGGCUUGGACCACGACUCGGGCAAGGGUAAAGGAAUAGCUGCUCUGCUAUGGGCAAGAAAGUCAAGAGUGAGUUUCGGAGUGUUGUACCCUAUAGACAGAGGCUGAGUGGUUUGUUCGGUAAGCACAAUAAAUCCGGAAUAUUGGAUAGUGCACCACCUAUGAGAGGUUCAGUCUCGACUUGACUUUCACUUUCCAACAGGAUCUUUGACUCUAACAGCUGCCGAGUAAGAUUAGCUGACUAGCGAACAGGAACAAAACUCUACAACUUUGAGCGGGCAACUUACUUGUUCACCGACACAAUUACCGAACCGCUUAGACAAUAAAAGCACUUCCAUCGUAGACAACGAAAUCACCUCUAUCUACCGACGUUAAGUCAAUAACAGAACAAUACUUUCUGCUUGCAGUUGACUUUGCUUUGGCACAGCUGAUUCAUUCUCUGGUCGACCACACCUCGAAUCAAAGCCUUUACCUAUACCAGUGAAAAAGCAGCUCGAAAGCAAGUAUCAAGUUUCGUUUAAGUUGGAAGAGCAGGAUCCGGCUUUGAAGUUCGGUCUAGCUCCUCGUAAAGAAUACGAGUCACUGUUUCUGUUCGAGUAUAGAGAACAAACAAUCUGAUCUGAAUGACGAAAUUCCUUUCUUGCAAUUGACAAGGUGCUGAAAGCCUUUCUUGCAAUUGAGUCCAGUCCGGGCACAGGCCAAAACACACUCCCGUAAGCGCGCCCCAAGCAAGAGAGUUAGGAGGUAGGUAGAAAGUGUUGUAUCCUGUUUAAAGUACUGCUCUUAAAGCAAAGGGACUACCCAGAUACAAAGAUUCCAUUCAUUCUUUAGCUUAUAGUUGAGUUAGCCAUUGCGCAAGGGAACCUAAAAGCUCCGUUCGAAAGGACAGGUAAACUACAAGUAGCAGAAGCCUCAGCAGGACAAUCAGUUUCCUCUUAUACAGAAGCCUCAUCUCCUGAAGCAGAAGAAAGAUCGGAAGAAUUAGAUCUUUCCUAAGAAGAAGAUGCUUUAGCAGGAUAUUGACUAUUUUAUAUGCCAAGUGAAAUCAAGUAAGAAUCAUCCAAUCCUGUUGAAAGUCCGACAAGCUACGAGUCUUCGCCAUUCGUAUGAAAGUGGAGAGUAAGGAGCAAGUAAAGUAUUAGCACUCUCGCAAACCUAGCACUAGAAACUAGAAAGUCAGAAUUGCACUCAAAGCAAAGAGACAACUACUCUACUACUAGGGACACAGGGCACUCUCAGAACUCCUAUAAGCUAUAAGCAGCCUGGGCAAUCAGAGGGUCACUUCGCUCUCCACUCAAUGAAAACUGGACCUGGGCUCUAAUCUACCUCUGUAAACUACUACAGUUAUUGCUCUGGACUACUAUACUAUUGCUAGAGAAAGAAGUGUUCUUCAGCCAACACCGAGCUCACCCCCGGCUCAUCUAACUCAAUUGGUUUGAUACCUUAAUUAGGCUAGGCUCAUCUCACUUCCUUCUGUUCUUGCUUCAUAAGGCUCUUGCUACUGCCAAUCUCUCUCCUCUGUGUUGCAUUCAAAGACUCCUUAGGUCACUUCUUUCACUGCCUUGGUUCAGUCUGGUUGUUGGGUUGGGUGUUUAGGUCUUACUGGCAGUGGUUUCAUUCUCGCUACCCUGGCUUUAUUCUGAGUAGCAUGGGUUUGGUUCCGAUACUACUUAGUUGGAUUCUAUGUAUCAGAUUUCUGGUCAUAGGGAAUAGGAUUGGGAAUAUCAGUUUCAUUCUUUGAUUCACUGGUUCAACUCUACCCCUUACUAGCUCCCGAACACAGUUUAAGCUUCCUCCGCGACAGCGAGCGCAUAACUCGGAAUGCGAUUACUAACUAGGAGAUUCAAUUACAAACUACCGGAUCUAACUACUACUACUAUAAGAAUUGCGCUACUGCUUCUCAGAUCGGAACUCAGGUCAAAAUCACUGCUAGCAAUACUGUAACUACUACUUCGAAUACAACAACCAGUGCUAGCAGGAGUUGAACCACGACUAAGCAGAAGCAACCUAGGAAUAAAGAAAAGAAGAACUAACCCCCUAACAACAACCCACAUAAAAGAGAAACGCUAUCUAUAUUACUUCAACUGGUCACUCAGAUCCGUAUCCUUACUCGCUUGAAGCUGAACCUACCGCAGAGCAGAGCGCCUUACUGCCGGGGAAGGCGCGCAAUGAAAAAGGAUUCUUACUUAUAUCUCGCAUUAGUCGAUUCAGUAUUGAGUUUUCCUAUAUUAGAAACAAUUACCACUAACAAUAAGAGUGGAGCAAGCAACUGGGGAUGAAAACGAAUAAUAAGGGAUUGGACUACCGACUUCACCCGAAACCGCUGAUAGUAAGAAAUGCACUGGAAUACACUGUAUCAAACAACUACCAAGAAUACAUUAUUCAGUAGCUUUGCAUCCGACCGCCUUACUGUCUCCGAGCCUUACUCACAUCGUUCUUCCCUCACAACUACGACUUGACUACUGCCUUCUAUUACUUUUACUUGAAACCCGUAAUUGUGAACUGGUGCUAAUGAGAAUCCUACAACUACUGAUAAUAAUGAAAACAGAGCUAGAGAACUUAACGGGCUUACCCUACUGUCUAUUAGCCCUUACUUUACCGGCUAUUGGUCUUUACUUGCUUAUUCCAUCUUCCAGGCAGAGAUCGAACUACAGCUUAGGGGACUUCACCCACAAAUAAAGCCUGCCCUUACUACACUCCUAUUAUGACUUUCCUGGCUAUCCGCCUAUAACCUUAACACCUAAUACUCCUGACUUAAAGUGCUUAUUUAGCCCUUUCACUCUUAUUAAUUAGGGUAGGGACCUUUUCUUUCAGCCUAUAGCUCUUUGCUUUGCUUUGCUUCGAUUCUAAGACCACUGAUCCGGUCAAUGUCAACGAUACUUGUAACUAGAAACUAGUAACCGAGCUACUACUAUUAGAGAAUUGACUAGUGCCCAACAGGGCUAAGCCCAGCCCACCAAUACAAAGAAUCAAAAAGGAAAUAGGACUUUCGUUUCGCUACUGAACUAAAAGCUACCUUUCCUGUCUCCUAACCUGCUCUACUUGCGAAAAAUCCUAUAUUAAGGCCAACAAGCCCUUAGCUCAUUAAGUAAAAGAACUCUAUAUAUGGCAAAAAGGCAGCCUCAUUGGCACUAGUGAAAGUAUGAGUUCGAUCCUAAGGUAUUAGAAGUAGUAGGCGCAUCUCUUGUUUUGAGUUAGAGUCUAAUCAGCAGUGCCCUUUUCCCUACUCCUAUCUCUUAAUGCGCUAGAUCGUAUCCUGAGUUUGACUUAUCAGCAGUAUUCUGAAAGUACCUAUUCGAUUCUCUUGUUAUCAGUAGCGUUCCCUGGAGCACUAGCUCUCUUUAUUCAUGCCUUAUUCUUUCUAUUAGUGGGUGUUUCCUCUAUGGGUAGGUUUCUUCUUAGUAGUUUAGAGGUUAAAGGAUCCGGACCAGGAGUUACAGAAUUCCAGUCAAUAGCGUUAGGUUGAAAGACAAGAGAGGCAAGGCCGCUACACUCUUUGGCGCGGUAGUGUAGCUCUACUCGGCAUACGGAGCAAGCCUUACACCACGCCUCCAAGGACAAAAGCCUUAUUAUGCAUUAUGCGCCCCUCACCAAUAGUCCAAAACCCUUUCUCUUAGCCUAAGUCUAUGCCCCCUACUUUUAUACCCGGCUCUCCGCUUUUUGCUUUCAAACUUGAUCUCUGCUUUCAUAAGCAAUGAGGGUUGAGCAAGUUAUGUAUUCUCCUACUUGAAUUACUAUACGAAAACACAUGCUUAGUAUUAUAUAUCAUAUGAGAGAAAUAAAACACAUUCUACUAUAACUAUUAAGAGAAUAGAUAGUCCAGAUCCGCAGUUACAGAAAGAAAGAAGCCACACGUAAGACAUAUUAACUAACUAACAAACCAGGCUAAAAGCAAGGAAAGUAGGCCUCCCCCAAGAGAGCAGACUUGAGUCAGUAGCAAAAGGUUUGUUGUCACCAGCUCCAUUAUGCUUAUUGGUAGUUGGAAAAUGAUAUAACAGAAAGGUAGGCUUAAAAGCACCCGUUAAGGAAUAGGCUUUCAGCACCUGUUUUUGGCUCCUGUUAUGAGCAAGUCGUCCUGUGCUCAAGUAAAGAGCUAAUAGAAUAUGGUUUAAUGAGUUAUAAUACAUUUAUUCAUUGCUAUGGUUUUGUAGUAGUUACUUGGCCGGUAUUUUUCAUAGCAAUAUGUACUAGUCCUUCUUAUUCUUCUGGCUAUGGCUCAUCUACCUAUAGUAACGUAACGAUGAGACUUACCCCGCUAACUAGGUAUUCAACCACUGCUAACGGGGCCGCUCCCGGGCAUGUCUUUUGUGUCUUUUAUUCUUGUAUUUCACCUUUCAUUCUUUCCUUCCUUCUUCUCAUUCUUACUAUCAUGUAUAUCUGGCUUACUUUUCUUGCUUUUAGUCUCUAUCUAGUACCUUUCAUUCCUUUAUUUCCCCGCCUAAGAGCCUUACUUAUUAGGUUGAGUACUUAACUCGCCCCUUCCACUCCAUACUGAAAUUAUUGGGCUACUGAGCCGGAUCCUGUCUUACUGGGCCACCCACCCUACCUUUAUGCCCUCCGGCUUUGACUCUACAACUAAUGCUUCUCAGACUUGAUAUCUCCUAUAGAAACCUUACACUACUUACUUGAACUCUGAAUUUCCUAUAUUUUCUUCUUAUCACUACUAUACUAAUAGAUUAGGCUGAUAGUUAGUCAUCUAAGACAAAACCCGAAGAAAGGAAUACUUAAACGAACAAGCGAGAAUGAUACAAAUACUGAAGUAAGGGUUCGGUUAGUCGACAGAGCAGUAGAGGCCUAAAGCCCAGAGGAGACCAGCUUGAAGCCUAGUAGUGAAAGCCUCAGUACGGGUGUUUUCAUUCCCAUCAGUCACCAGUCCCAUUAGAAACAUUCCCAUUGUUCUAUCUUAUUCUCCAACUGUCCCGCCUUAAAGUCCCGCAGUUACUUAUCUAACUAAUGGAAAUCACAACUACAAGAAUAACAGGUGUACUAUAGGGCCUAAUAGAAUUUCACUGGCAAUAACAAGACUCUAGCGACUGCUAAUAAUAAUUGAACUCAGUGGUGGCAUAAUCCAGCAGUAGACUCUCUCAACAGGUGCACAACGACAUAGUUAAGGAUACCUUAAGUCAUAAUAUCCCCUAAGGCUCUAACCACAGCAUACAAGAAUUCCAGUUUUGGGUGGGGAACAGGACUUCGCGGGGCUCCGGUUUUAUAUACCGUCCAGGCAGGCUGGCUAACAAGUCAAAUACAGAAUCGAAGUUAGGCGUUUCAACCCAAUAGUUAAGAGUGAAGGAUUCGACACCAGUUUAGGAUCUAGUUUAAGGUCAAGUAAUACAGGAUGUCAGGAAGGAGCCACAGACAGACCAAUAACCAAGAAAGGUAGACUUACUUACAGUAUAGUCAGAAUGGGGGGCAGGCCCGGAGCUAUUAGUGACAGAAUUAGAAGACGGGUAGUGAAGAUCCGACUCGGUCUCAACCGCUACGUGGACUUUAUCUUCGGCUUAUGUAUCAAACUUGACUCGCCCAGCUUCUUCUCUCGGAUAAAAAAGAGGAACCAAUUCAGAUGUUGCCCUCACCUUAUCCACCUUAUAAAGGGUACGUACGCAUAUAGCCAUUUAGGAGAUAUCAAAUUCCAUUCGUAGUUUGGAGCGCAUGUCUCUAUAUUUGUUAUAUUGAUAGUUUCUAUGCUAGAGUAACCCAUCCGUCCUGUCUUCAAUUCAUAAAUUCGAACUUACAAACUGCACUUCCAACCUAGGAAUCAUUCCCAUACCACUUAGAUUCAUAUGGGCUCCAGGCUACGCAACACAGGUCCAGUCCAGUCUUCUCCCCAAGGUGAGCAAAAGCAGUUUAGGCCUUCCGAACGCUUACUUAUUGGUCUUUACUACCUCGGUCUCUAUGCCAAGGUGUUUUGCCCGUUGCUUUCUGGGGGUAUUAUAGUUUGGGCUCUGACCGAAAGCAUUUUGGAUGAUUCCUUACUACUGUUUGGCGGAGGAACUUAUGGACACCCUUGGGGAAAUGCACUUGGUGCAGUUGCUUAUAUGGUCGCUUUAGAAGCAAGCGUGUGUACAAGCUCGUAAUAAGGGACGUGAUCUUGCUCAUCAAAUAUCAUUCUGAAUAGGGAAGAAGCUAUCAAAUAAAUGGAGCCCUGAACUAGCCACUGCUUGUGGAGUAUGGAAAGAGAGAAAAUGAGAAUUCGAACCCGUAGAGUUGAUUAGCAAGAUAAAGAUCCAAAGUCAGUGUGCAUAAUUCCUCCAUUCCUAUUUGUUCUCCUAAUGGAUUGCAAUUAAAGGCCUCAAAAAGCAGAUUCAGCCGAUUACCUCCGAUUACCUAAUAAUAUAAUAAGAAGUAGCAUCCCAUAUUCUCAUAAGUAAGGUCAGAGCUCUAUUCUAUGUACUGAUCUGCCCUAUCAAAACUAUAUCUAAAUACAAGAUAAGAUCGAAGACUAAACAACUCAAUACCGAGUUUGUUGUUGGAUCAAAGACUAAACAACUCAAUACCGAGUUUGUUGUUGGAUCCAAUCCUAUGAUGCUUGUGGAUUAUUGGACUUUUCCUCGAUCUCAUUCUCACACUACCUUCCCCUGUAGUCGAUCUCUACUAGGACUUUCCGAGCGAAAGGAGUCAGAUUAGUUGACUUUCAUGCGUUAGUUGUUGACUUUUUCUAUGUUAGUGAAAUGAAAAACGGAAUCAUUGAGUUGACUCUGUGCUAACGGGUCUUAAAGCAACAGAGAAAGUCAAAGGAGAAAGUCAAAGAAAGAAUAAGCCUAAGAGGGGCAAUGAGGGGCAAUGCAGAGUGAAAGCCCAGGAAAGGCAUAGUGAAAGGCAUUACUUUGCGAAUUCACCGAAGUUAGUGUUAGUGAAAUGAAAUGAUCUAGAGCCUUAGGGGAUAGGUAGAGCAGAAGAGUCAGUAUAGAAUCCUAAGAUAGAGCAUUCGAUCUAGCAGUCGAUUCAAAGACGAGAAAGAGGCCCGCUCCCUUAACCUUAACCUUGAUAAUUGCCUGACUUAGUGCCUAGCCCUUGAAAGUACAGUACUCUCUUAGCACCCUCGCUUGAAACUCCAAGUAUGACUAGUCGCAUACUGUGCUAUAUCUAACCACACUAUUCUUAUUAUUAUGUAAUAUUAUCUAACCACCCUAUAUUCUGAUUAUUAUGUAAUACAACGAACUCGACCUUGACAUUGUAUGAAACUAUAGCACCGACCGACACAAGAUGACAGGAUUACACCAUUACUGGAAUUCUGAUUUGUCAUUGAAAACCUUUGUUUGCUGGGGUGCGCUCCUAAUUAUGAGUUUACUUAUUGAUUCUCUUUGGUUACCUAUCUGCUCUCCUUGGUUACAUAACUAUAUCUAUAUUUGUGUCAGUCAACUUCUACUUCAUAAAAUAAACGGAGAAACUCUCCUUUCUUAAUCACCCAAUCAUAAGAAUUCCGCUCAUUCUCCGGGAAGCUACCCGGGUUUACAUCAAUCGAUAAAGGUACCCACUCACCUUUUCUCUUUUCUUGCCAACAAACCGGCGUGCUUUUCAUAAGAAAUCCCUGUUCGUUGUUGUUCGACUUGCCGUGGUAGGUUUGUUUGUGUCUCGGGUGCGCCAUCCCAUUACUAUAGUAACAUAUCCAUAUCAUACCAUAUUGUAUUAUAUCAUAUCAUACCAUACUCGGGAGCGAUGUCAGCAUCAUUGUAGCAGGUGAACAAGAAAAAGCAUUCUUCUUAUUAAUAGGAAACAUCUCUCUUUCUUCUCGACCUUGCCUCACACCUAGCUAUACGAGCGGAACUUCCCCUUGACUUGCUAUACUACACAUCUAUUAUUAUUAACCUCUUCGCUCGCCAACAACACAACACCUAUUUCUUGGAUUGAAACCAUAGUAUGGUGCACCGCAACACAACAUAUAGUAUGUUAUGGCACUAUGUUAUGAUAUGUUAUGAUAUUAUGGUAUAUAGUAUGAUAUGGUACAUUACGGUACACCAUACACAUACUCCAGGACGAAACAAACAUACCCAACAGAGAGCUCCCAUGGGACCAAUUCUUCUUAUAGCUUACCAUCUGAACAAUCACUCUCAGAGCAGCCAUCGGAUCAUUCUGUGAGCAAAACAAUGUGCCCAAUCAUUCUAAUCUCAGAGCUACCAUCGGACCCAUCAUUCUGUGCUAUGGCCCAAGCACUCUGUCUUCGCAAUGGUCCAGCAACUCUGUCUUCUAGGGCGAAAGGUCGUCGCAUGGCACACCCCUAUUGAUUUGGAUUGAAAACCCGGCGUAUGAUACAAAACACACCCCUUUUUAUUGAUACAUUGAUUGAAACCAUAGUAUGACACAACACACCUGGAGCGGACCAGAAAUAAGUCUGCGUGUGAACAGCCAUUCAUUCAGUCAUUCUACAAUGCACUUAACGACAACUACGGGAAUGAAACACUACCGUUGCAGCACACUACCUUAUUGAUUUUCAUAAGAAAAUGUAAGGAAACAAAGCAUUAUUCACCAGCGUAUCCAUCUUACUCACAGCCGGGCAAGCACCGAGCCUUAUUAUGUUUCUUUCUAUUUCAUAAUUGUUAGUGAUUCCAGCUUAGGGGAGUAGUUAUGACUUAAUAUUCUCAUAAUCAAAGAUGGGCAACGCAGGCUUAAAUACAAGGGGGGAAGGCUUAAACUCAGCAGCGACAGACUGAAUCCAGGGAGUUACAGACUCAGAUCAGUGCUUCCAAGCCUGCUACUGGUGCUAUUGGUACUCGGAAUGGAGCUGGUGCAGGGCAGAAUGGAGCUAAGGAAUCUUUCGCUCGCUACCGUUUAGCUCAGGCUCCCGAAAGCAUCUACGAAGACAGUUUAAAGCUCCUCCGCGACACAUUAGCAGUGUCUUGGCGGCUAUAGCUCCUGCCGUCGGAAGCAUAGACGAAGACAGGACUUGUUUAUAAUUGCUGCCGUACAACGUCUUUCGCCGUUGCUUGGCCGUUAUACCUAUUACCUGCUGCCGCGCAACAUUAGUAGUUGCUUGGCCCGUUGCUUGGCCGUUAUAUCUAUUACUAUUGCUACCGCCGAGAGCAUCUACGAGGACAGGACUUGUUUAUAACUUGUUAUAAUUACUUAUUGUUGUUGCUGCCGCGCAGCUUUCAACUCGCUGCCGCGACACGCGAACACAGGAAUUGUUAUAACUGCGUUAUAACAUACUAUUGUUGCUGCCGCACAACGUCUUACUUAGUUGCUUGCCUAUCCGUGUCUUGGCGCGCCGUUGCUUGGCCGUUAUAACUGGUUAUUCCGGCCGGGCUGCCGCGUCACCGAACGCAUAGAAAGUAAGAGAACAAACAUAACCCCGAACACAGGAGCGGCCCUGCCGCGACACCGAACACAGGACUUAUUCUUAACUGGCUAUAACUACUUAUUUGUCCUACUGCCGCACAACGGCGUAGCCGUUGCUUGCCUAUCCGUGUCUUGGCUGAGUUUAUUAUUCUAGAUGAGUUUGAGGCCUUGGCGCGCCGUUGCUUGGUCGGCACAUUAGUCGUGCCUUGGUCAUUAGUAGUUGCUUGGUGGCUUAAACGAGAGAGCUACAGGCUAUCCGACCCGGGUCAAGGAAUAGAGCUAGUGAAUGACAGCCUUAGCUAUACGAAUUGGAAUCAGGAAUAGGAUCGGAGGCAGAAGAGACCUUACGUACUUUCUUCUUUUCUUACCUGAACCCAACCAGCUACAUUGAGAGUCUACAGUUUCAAGAGCCAAAGCGGAGUUCUACGCUCCCUUAUGCUUAGUCAGUUCCCUUAUUCUUAUAAGUCAUAUAACUCACUAGUUGACUUCUUUCUGGCCAACCGAGUUGUGUUCCUUCUUGACCAACCCUAGUUCUCUUUCUCGCCAAUCCACCUAGAAAGUGAGAAUUGCCCUCCUUCUCGCAAACCAACCUAGAAAGUGAGAAUUGCCCUCCUUCUCGCAAACCAACCUAAGUGCUCUAUUCUUAAAUUCAGUAGAGAUUUAUAUCUAAGAUAAAGAAAAGAGAAUGUACUCGUUGUCCGGUAAUCGUGUACAGAGGAAUUAUUGUUCCCCGCCUAGGUAUGAGAGAUCCAGGUAACUCACCCACCCAGUGCUUCUUAUCUCGAAAGUCUUAAUGGAACUCAAAGGUCAGAAUCAGAGGAAUUAGCCAGGUAUUAUGGAAGUAUAAGAAGGUCACUAACCAUAAGAAGGUCACUAACCAUACUGGUAAUGGUGUAUCUGGCUCUACUCUUUGCUCUGCCAGAACGGAAAUCGCUUGUCUAGUAUACGCUUGGCAAAACGAUAAGUACUAUAAAGUAGAGAAAAAGCUACAAGGGAAUAAGUAAACAAGUAGUAAGCAAGCCAUUGUGUAUUAGUGAAUUAGCCGUUGCGCAAGGGAACCAAUUCAGAUUAGGGGCUCGUCUACGAACAGCCUUUAGUAGUCUGAGAUGAGUGUUUCCCUAGCAUAUGAGUUUACCCAGGGCAGGGUUAAACGACGAGAAAGAUGAAGUUCAAGCCCGCCGCCUUAUUCAGCCAAAACCUUUAUUAUGACCUUCCUCAGCGCACUUCCAUAGAGUCUCUUUGGAUGGGGCAAGUGUUGUAGUUCAAUUCAAAAAGGGAUGCUGUGCGCAGAAAGUCUCUCGGAACAGGGGCAAGAGUCGGGUCAGCACAGCUGCAGACAAGCUACUAGUCCCCUUAAGUAAUUGGUUGCGCGUAAGUCUCAAUUAGUUCGAGUUUGUUGAGUGCGAGGCAGAAUAUACUAAGUAAUAAGUUUGAGAGCUCAGAGUCUGGAGACGAGAAAGAUGCCUUAUAGCCUUUACUUGGAUUAUUGCCUUACUUGUAUAAUGUCCUUAUGAUGCGAGGUAUACUUCUGUAUAGUCUCUUUCUACUCUUGUUUCAUCCUAUUUCGAAUUAUAAGCUGUUCGAGCAUUAGGAUCUGAAACAAACAUAAGAUGUCAAAUAAGCAGGAUAAGAAGCUUUUCAAAAGUCUGCUGCAAUAUUGAAGGUUGGAAAUUCGAAAGGUGAUCUCGCUAACAGAGCUUCUACGCUAAGGGAGGGAGUGACGAUUAGUGCUUCAGAAGCCCUAGUAUGAGUCUCCUGUUCCUUUGAUACAGAUUCGAUUCGGCUUUCCCACCUGAACCAUCUUUUGAGUCCUUUCCUGUAGACAACACCUCAGCAUUAGAUUCUCGGUAUACCUAUAUUCUGGCUAAUUCUUAUGUUUCCUCUUAUCCAGUACUUGAUGAUUCCCUUUUCUCUGCUUUUCUUCUCUGACCUUCACUGCUAAACCAGUACUGAAUUCUCUUCUUUAAGGUUACCAUUACUUCCAGCCUCAGAUCAGUAUUCUGCUUCAAAGCCUGCCUUAUUACCUUAACCGGGCCAGGCCAGUACUUUUCUUCUUACUCAAAUUCAUUAGUUACUUGACACUUUUACCAACAGCUAAAGUCCAAAGAGAAACCGGAGAUUGGGCUCCAGAAUAAAGGCUCACACAGGACUUGCUCAUGGCAACAUACUAACUAACUAGUAGUGGCUUUUCUAGUAGUUACUCGGCGGUUAGUAGUCACUUGUCGGAUACAACACUUGAGAUACAGCUUCUCUUACAACACCAGUAGUGCAGGCCAGGACGAUCUACUUUACAGCUUUAGCCACUAGACUUUCUCCCCUAGCUUGCGGAUUGUGAUCUACUCCUUUAGAUAGCUUAUACUUUCAAUUCCUUAGCGUAACUCCAUAAGCGCCCUUACUUUGGAUCUACCUUCAAAUUCCCUUACUUGUUCACUCCUGACUAUAUGGUGCACCUAUUCUAUAAUUGAGUCACAAUACAUCUUAUAACUAUUGGUAAUAUCGGCACAGUUCUAUACUUACAAUAGUCAGCCCUCAUUGAACCUACAACUCGAGAAAAGGCUUUUUUCGACAAGCAAGGGCGUUAGUUGAGUCAGGAUAACAAGCUAAAAGGGCGAAAAAAUCGAAUAAUGUACUUUAGUCAGUGUAGGGGUGAACUCAAUUCAUUUGUUCUUCAAGUUCGGAGUGCGCCUAUGACUUUCAAGUAAGGAGAGCCAUAUAAGAGAAAUGAUCUACUAUGCAAAAGAGAAAUUAUUUGAGAACUUGUAUUAGUGGUGCUUGAAACAAACUAGGGCAAUAAAAGAAGUACUCUCGUAUAGCGUGAAGCUGACUAGCGGAGUUCCUCAAGUCGUGGCCUCAUCAAUUCUUAAAGAAAGGGCACAAGGGAGUUCCAAUUUCCAUCUUCCAAUCUUUGACUUUCUGUUAAAAGGGGACUUCGACUCAAAUCCAUGUUUGUUGGCGACUCUAGUAAUUGCUUUUCCGUAUAGUAGUUACUUGUUGAGUGGAAUCCGUCUUUGUUGUCUACUUGUUUUUUUCUGAAAGUUGAGAGUCCGGAGCAGGGUAUUUCCAUUCCUCUAUUACUGGUGUAAGAUCUAUAUUCUUCAAUUCCAUUCAAAGAGCUUAUGCUUUAGAUUCCAUUCAAAGAGGAGAAGUCCGGGUUAGUUGGAGAACCGUAGUGCUAAGGUAGUUUACAGCUAAUUUCUCUCUCGUCCACUUUCCAGUUCAAUUCCAUUCUUCACUGAAAUAAGAGUUCGGGUCGAUAACACACCUCCUAUCCAUCUAUAAAGAUGCUAAAGUGGGCUGGGCUAGAUAUGGAACUAAUUGUCCUGAGAAGAAACGCUACAAAAUUCUAUAUUAUCUUAUUAUAGGAUGAUAUUUACAAUAGUCCGAGGCAGUAGCUUGGCAGAUCGGAAGAAACAGAAAAGAAAUUGUAUUGGAGAUCAUCAACAGUCGAAGUCAAGUCUCUUGUUGUUGGCGAAAGAGUCGAAGUCAAGUCUCUUGUUGUUGGCGCAAGUCCUUUGUUUGGGAGUAGUUAGUUGCCCUUAUAUUAAGUAGCAAUAGAGGGAUGAGCCUUAAGUAAAAUGGGUAAGUUAUGAAAGUGUAGUUCAAUAGCAGUUACGUAUCAGUGCAAGCCAGAGUCGAGUCAGAUAAGUAGUACGCCCAGAGUCAGAUAGUUAAGAAGUCAGAAUUAGACUCAGCAGCACAAGAAACAAGCUAUAGUAAGUAAAACAAAGAGACAAGCUUUCGAACAGAGCUAUAAGACAAAGAAGUAGUGGUAUGGAUCUAUCGCAUCCAGUAGCGGACUGAUGGGAGUGUAUAAAUAGAAGAAUGCUUCUUUAGUGUGUGAGGGCAUAAUGCACCUUCAAAGCAGGGUGAGCAAGGGAAGGGCGUAACCGAACUCAUAAGUAGCAGACCGCAACGCAGGGCCUAAACACAGAAGUGAGCCUACCAACUCGUCACUCUAACUCUUCAACAAUGCCCUCUUGACUUGCAUUCUAUUCUAUAGUACCAGUGGAAACCUACCCUACCAUAUUUUGGAUUAAUAGCAUAUGGAGCGGCUCUUGCUUGUAUCAAUAUUCGAAAAAACCUACAGCUAUUAUGGACUGGAACCACUACUCUAAAAGGCUCUCACUACUCUACUUGAAAGAAUGGAACUUGGAAUAAAGAGAAUCGUCCCUGGGCAGCGAACAACGAUGGUCCACAGGCCGGGCAACUGUCCCUGGGCAGCGAACAACGAUGGUCCACAGGCCGGGCAACUGUCCUAGGUAUGGUCAGCUGACUUAAGAAGAAUUCUUUUGACUUACAAUAAUGAUUCCUGGGGGCUAAUAAUAAGAAUGCUUUUCUCUUGUCUAACCGAGUAUGGAUGGUAUGGUACUAUGGUAUGGUCAUUCAUGUCAUUGUUCGUUGGUGCAUCGCAAAGUGAAGUAAUAAGUAAGUUAAUAUAUAAUAAUAGAGUCCAAAGCUCAGUAAUAGAAGAAGCUCAGUAAUUGUAAUAUCAUAAUAGUCAUUAAUAUACCAUAAUAGAUUCCGAAGCUCAGUAAGAGAAUCACCGGCUUCCACAUGAGUCAUGGAAGAAUCGUCAUUGGUUCCAAAAGUCUGUUUCAGCUCGAUUCGCAUCUUGAUUUGCUACUCUCAUUUCUUUUGCCAGACACUUUUCAUUCCUUAAGCAAACACCACAUAGUCUUUUCUUAGCCCCAUUCAUUCUGUGUGAGCGGAAAGAUAUGCUCCCGUGGGUCAUUGGACAUCGGCACAAAGGUACUAAUUCAGAAAGUCAAAGCACUCGUUCUUGUAGUGGAACCGCUCAUUCACCCAUGAAACGAAAGUGUAGGUCCCGUUCCGUCCCUGGCAACGUAGGUACCCAGUUCAUUGUUCGUUCGUUCGGUUCCCGGGCUAACUCUUUCUUUGAGCAGCAUCGCCCAGUAAUAGAUGGAAGGCGCGGGCGGGGAUGUGACUGUGACUGAACGAGCCACUAAGAGAAGAAUCAACAAACAAGGGGCCAAGCAUAUACUAAAUAGGGUUCACUCACUACUCAAGCAUAUACUAAAUAGGGUUCACUCACUACUUAAGUAAUAGAAUGAAUAGGACAGGUAUAAGAAUUAGGCUCAGGGCCAUAAUACAUAAUUGAUAGUUUUCAGGGUCAAACUCUACCAUCAAGGGAAGCAGUUCUCAAGUGUGAAAAUACUCUGACUUCUACUAUAGGUCGACAGCAGCUCCGGUAACAAUUAAUAUAUAAGAAAUAUACCUUUGACUCAGCCAAGCAACUACGUUAGUAUAGCGUUAGUCUUAUUUGUGUCAUUACAAUUCCUGUUUUUGGGAGCCCCGGAUCGGUUGAUUGUUCCUUAAAGAAGAUAAUCAGGGUUGACUGUUCCUUAAAGUAGUCGUGUUUCCUUAAAGUAGUGGUCCAAGUCGUCUUUAUUCGACACCUCGCAUCAAACCAAGAAUAUCAUCCGUACCACGGAAACUAUAUUAUCUUAUAAGAAUCUCAUUGGCACUGUCAAAAGGCGUAUACUUAGAAUAAGGGAUCAGAAGCGGAAAAAGUAUCCAAUCCAGUAGCAGUGUUGUCACCCAUGCGAGUAUGUCAACGAUACCAGAAUAAGGCUCCUAGGCAGCAGUGGUCUCAUAGAAUCAGUAACUACCCAACCAUGGGCUCUUUCUUCUUUAUUAUCAGAUUCAACUCGGGGCCAAGUAACUGGGUUAGUCAAAUUGCCCUUGACUCAGUACGCACACGGUGGAAGAAACCCUAAACUUCCCAUUCCCACUCCGAUAUCCUACAAGGGUAUUAAUUCUCCGAUGUCAACAAAUACUGACACAUAGCAUCUUUUCUCUCUUAACUAGGGAUUACACUCUAACUCGCCAGGGGAACAGGUAAUUCUCCACUCCCCUAACCUAACAAGUAAGGAAACAAGUCUAUCCCUUAACUACCCUAAAAGUAAGUACUCUCUUUUGACUACCCUAUCCACCAAGCUACAGGAUAGGGAAAGUGCAAAGUGAACCCUAAACUCCAGGCAUCGCAGCUGACGCUGCCCUCGCAUUAAACUAUUGGCUAUCAAGCAAGUCGACAGCUAGGUGCAUUCUGUUACUACUGAGUUGCAUUCUGACUUGAAACUCUCCCUCUCUGGCUCUGCUCUAACAGCUUCCCGAAUCGACCUCUAUACCUCUUGGCAAAUCCUUAACUUGACUAUCUGAUUGCCCUCACUCUACUUGAAACAGUUGAUUCUCUAUGCCUUCGGGUGCAAUGAUAGGUGUUCUCACUCGAGUCCUUGGAAUCUACUUCUCAUAUAAGAGAGAAUGCAAGUGGGAAUUGUUCCAGUUCUCAAGGAAGCACUAAUGGAGUUCAAAAGCAAGUCCUGUGUUCACCAAUCUAGUGAGUAAUCCUGUGAGCAGUGAGAAAUACAGUUCAAGAAAACCCGUACCUUUUGACUUAUCUUACUUAUUUCCUUCGAGUUACUUAUUUCCUUUGAGUUACUUCGAGCGAGAAGAGAGUAUUUGUUCCAGCAACCAAGUGUUUUCAAGUGCUUUCAAGAGAAGAGAGUAUUUGUUCCAGCAACGCUAACUCUUUGAGCAGCAUCGCUACGAAUAUAGAUUUGACGCUACGAAUAGGGAUUUGACUUAACGAACACUAAGAUAAGAAUCAACAUUGGACAUUGCACCGGCACAAACAUCCUAAUAUACAUCAAAAGUAGAGCACUUACUAAAUCGAAAAACCAUAGACCUUUUUCUACCACUUUUCCUUCAUCAAAUACUAUCAAAUAUCAUAUAAAAUAACUAUAAAUACUAUUGAAAUACAAUUAAUAUUCUAUAAGAUAUAUAAUAGAGUGUUUAAACGCAUUAAUAGAAGUGAAUUAAAUAAGGCAUUGUCGAAAGAGAAUACGGAAUGCAAGAUACCUGUAGGAGAAUAACAAUCGAGCUAAGGAAUGAAAAGCUAGGGCAAUUAUCAAACUAACACUCUCACAGGACUACUAACUACUGGGAGCCAUCUAAAGCAUAGGCCUUACCUUAAUCCACGGAAUACCAUCUGAAAGAGUGAACUGAACUUACUGCUUGGCCUUACUGUCAGUGUAUAAUUAAAGCUCUCCUCUCUUGCCCCACAUUUGAUUCAUGGAGUACUUGGUUUCUGGGCGCUAGUUUGAUUACUCCACUUUUGACUUAGAUAACAAUCGUAUAUAGCGUUAUACCUGCACUAAACAAGUGGGCUAUUAGCCAUUCUGCCUUCAAACAACCUUUAGAGACAAAGGGAAUAGGCCUAGCUAGUGUGGAUCGAAAACACUUAGUCUGCAUGUCUAUAGAUUAGCAAAGGACCUAUCUUAUCAUAUCAACUUACAAAGAAUAAGAAAAGGCGCAAGGGAGCUCACCAAGGUGCUAAUGUUAGUUUCAGAAGCCAACAACCAUUGUGCGUUAGCGAGCGGGCGCGUUAGCUUACGACUAUAGCUAGGGGAAGCCUUGCUUCAAAGUAGAGUUUCUUGGGGAUGCUAUUAGGUCACAGAUUCAUAGGUAAGGGAUGCAGUUAGGUUACCCUCAUUUUAUACCUACCCCAUGUGCUCGAUAAGAGAGAUAUUCCAUUCAACAAGUUUCUAGUUCAAGUUCCGCUCGAAAGUAAUCUGCAAGUGGUUCCUCAAGUGGAGAAGAACAAUCAAUUACUGGAUCUUAAGCGAGAAGGUCAGUUUCAAGUCGUUAUAAAUCCUACUCUGGAGCAAUGAUGUUUCUGUUGGAGUAAAGUCGUAGAUAUUAGAUGAAGAAGAGGCAUAAUCCGCAGGUCCAGGUUAAUAAAUUGAUGUUAGAGUUUCUCGUAAGGGAACAGAGUGGAUGGGUGCAGGUGCAUUCGUGUUAUUACAUUCUUCUAUUAUGGCCAUGUACUCUUGGUAACACCUAUGCUCUUGUUUCUUCGUAUAACACAGGGUAUCCUGAGUUCAGUUAAGUCUCCUUCUAUUCGACGAGUAUCUUUGGGUUUGGUGCUUUCCCACAAAUAGAAGUCAGUUAAGGGGUCAGCAGCAAGUUAUAAGUCAGCUACAAGACGUUGUGCGCCAACAGGAGUUUUUGACGGAAAGGGAGUGGAAAGAGAAACCCCAGUGUGAGGAAGAUCUAGGAGAGGUGGUAUAGGUGCGACUCAUAUUGAAUUCCACUCCUCCGGUCUAAUACUAAAACGAUUAUGACUCAUACUUAUACUACCUGUUAGGGCAAGAACUAUACUUUAUGAACGGACCUUCACUCAAGCUUGCUUCAAAGCCGAUACUUUCUUCUUUUCUUCCUCUAACUGCUAGCCUUUCCUUUCGAAAUACCUUUGUUUGUUCCCUAGCUUGUGUCGGUUAAGUAGGCAGUAGCUCCUUCUCGUAGCGUAGAGAUGGGUUCGGCGGUAGAGGGAAGCAGUUGAUUUACAAACUUAUAUACCAAGUGCUAAACCCAGGGAGGAAAUAGAAGAACCUGAAGCAGCAUGAUUCUGUUGCGAGUGUUGGCGACUCGAGAGGUAAUUACGUUGUUGGUUAAGAAAGAAAGUAUAGUUCGCGUGUGAAAGUUCUCUACGAUAGAGAAUCAGAGUCUCAAAUCAGUUAUUAAAAGAUCUUGGAGAGAAAUAAGUACUGGCCGGUUAAGAAAAGAAGAAAAAGAGAUACUACUGGCUUGUUUUGAAGGGAAGAAUCAAUUACUGGUUUUGAAGCAUGGCUGUCGACGAUAUAAUUAAUCAGCUGUGCGCGUAAGGUACGGAGUUGUAGAAAUGAAUGUUUGACUCGGUGCAACAAGACGAGCAAGCUUUGACUCGCCACAAGACAACGGAUAAUGAAAGGUUGCAGGCAAGUGCAUCCCUUAGUUAUUAGUUAUAUGAUAUUAGGUUAUAUAGAUAGAGAGCAUGUAGUUAAGAAUUAGACUCGAAUUUGGAGUUUAGUCCGUAGCUGUGCUAACGGUAGCUUUAAGAGCGAGUUAAUAUUUCGUUGAUUUUGACCUGCACCUUGAUAGUGAAAUACCAAAUGUAUGUCGUCAGUAAAUUGAAGCGCUAAGUUGUUUCGCGGGCUCGGGGGUGAAGUAGAGUAUCACUCCGUUCUUGGUGAAUCCUUCUAAGUUGGUGAAUCCUUCUGAGUUGGUGAAUCCUUCUGAGUUGGUGGUAAGUCUCUUUCUGCUGAAUUAGGACUCGGCUAAAAGAGUGACUGUUUGAGUGCUCGUUAAGUCUAGGAAAGUAGCUAGGGAAAGAAAGGAACCAAUGCCGUUUGUUUGUAAGGCAAGAGAAGCAGUUAGAUCUGUGGAGCAAGAUCAGAGGUAUAGUAGCAAGACAAGAUCAGAGGGCCAAGCAACUUCUACAAAGGCAUAACAAGUAAAGAACUCAUAUAACAUGUCUUAAUGAGUUGUUCCCGAGUCUUGUAUUCAUGGCGGCAGGAGCCCCGUCAGUAGAAAUAUCAGUAUACGCUUGGCAGUUGCCCUUAUAUUUAGUCGGUAUAGCUCUUUCAAGAAGUAUUUGUUUACAGAGUAUGAUGAGACUGCCCUUAAUUAAUGCCAUCAAGCAAAGCGGGAAGGGAGAGAGGUUCGCCCAGUGACAGUUCUAGACUCCACUCUUAACUUCUCGCGCAUUCCUUUAAUGACCAUUCCUUUCAUUACUAGUUUUGAAUUACUUUUUAUUCCAAUACUCGGGGAGGUUAGGGUUGCCUUACUUAUAUUACGCAGGAAAGUUCACUUUAGAAUAAUAGGAUGGAGCUAGGCAUGCUAGAGGCCAGGCCGGGGCAGUAUAAAAAGAAGAAAAAGUAGACUUGGAUCUUAAAGCUAACUAUCCCUUUGAAGACUCCAAAUCAAUCAGCGAGUAGGAGCGGGAUCGGGAUCUGAAGAAACAAGUAAACUACUGAGUGACUUAAAAGAAGAUAGUUUGGGUCCGUUUCCGUUUAAGCAGAAGCAAGAUCCGGCGAGGAUGCCCUACGUAAAUGUUUGUAUUAGUAUGCACCACAGGCGAGCGAAUCCUAAUUAAUAUCGGCAGUGAG